ACGGCGCUGACGGUUGUAUUGUGUUGGUGUCGGAGUCUCAAUCUUGUCUCUUAGCCAAUUACACUUUUCACGAUCAGCAAUAUGCAUGUAUUCAUAACCAAUUCUUCCACAAUAAGCCUGUUCUAACCUAGUCAGUAUCGCUCUCAAGGUUUGCACGGGACGAUUCUCAGACAAGAACCCAGAUAUUCUCCAAACACCAAUAAAAAAUUCUCUAUCGAGAUCAGCUUCUGUAAACCCAUAAAGGGCUGGGUCUAAAUCAUCAGGAAUAGGCCUCUGUUCCAAAUCUAAUGGGUCCAACUUGGCUUUCAUGUGACCAUAAACCUGGUAAGCUCUCACAAGCAACAACAGCCGCAUACUCUCUUGGAUUGUUUGGCCAGAAAUUCCAGGCGAGGUGGUGGCCUGGCCAACAAAGUUCCUAAAGAAAUUGUCCCAAGAUUCAUCCACGCUAUUAGGAUCUUUCUCCCAAGCCCUCUGGAGCUCCUCAAGAUAAACACUGCUUGUCCCAUCUAAAAAGCUAUCAGUCAACCUGGAGAGAGGAACGGGACGCGGAACAGGAGCAGAUUGUGCCUUUGACUUAAAAACUGUAGUGUGGAACUGCUGGUUCUGAGCACGAGUGACCUUUGUUCUCGUCACAUACGAACUGCUUUGCGAAAUAGUUCGCCUAAUAGCCAACUUUGCCACACUGGAACCAGCUCUAAACCAAGCCAUUGGCACUAACCAAAUCUGAUAAAUUACGCCAAAUAUCUAAAACCGCAGUUGUCAACCAAACUUAAGCUCUAUGAACUCCGGUUCUAUUUCCAAAAGCCUAGCCAAACAAAAGUAGGCCAAUAAAUAUACUGUUAAAUAAAACCACGCCAUAUGUUUAAUUUACAUUUGCACACCGAAUUAUUAGCAUAAUAUAGAAUAUGAAAAGAAAACAUUAAAUUAGCCGGUUCUGAAGGCAAGGAUAAUAACCAUAAACAACCACACUAAAAUUCAAGAGAGAGAUAGUUGAGAAAAUCACUGUAACCAUUGUUUAAGGAAAUCACCAUCAAGAAACAACAAAUUUGGCAAUAAAAAUAAAUUAUAAGGAGCUACAAGACUAAAAUAGCGGCAAGGCAGAACGAGAUCUUAUAUCGAGGUUGAUAUUAAAUCAUUCACAACAAUAGCUCAAAUAAAAUCAUUGACCACAAUGAAAUCGAGUGAUAAAUCAACAGUUUUAAGUAUAAUUCAAUAAAUGUAAUGAGAUACCUGAUUAUUGUCACAGAUGUAGACGGAGAAAUAGUAUAAACCCUAGAUUAUUAUUGCAGAGGGAGGCUGCUAUUCUUCCCAUGUUGCGGAAAGAGAGUUCAUAGUAUAUUUCCUUUAUUACUAUUUCAUUUUCCGAAAAGAAAUGUCUCAACUGGUUGGCUUGGCUUGGCUUGGCUUGGCCCAGCCCCGUUGACCAGAUAAUUUAGGAAACAGGAAUAAGUUCUCGUUUAAGAUAGCUUAAAAAUGGCUAAAAAUUUUGAUGUCAAAAUUUUUAAUUAAUUUUGGUUACAUCUUUUAUUUAACUUAUAAUUUUUAUUAAAAUUUACUAAAAUUUAUAUAGAAAGAAUUGUCAAAUAAUCCCUAAAACUUUACAUUUAUACGACAAUGUAGUUAGAUCGUAGAUCUAAAAUUAAUGGUUCUUCAUUUUUUAUGCCUUGGUUUUAUCGUUAUUUUGAUCAAUUAGCAUAUUUUUGAUUCUAAUGAUUUUGUUCAAAUAUUCAAAUUGAUUGUUGUGAAAUCGAGGUAAAUAUUUUGUCAAAUUUUUGUAUUUGUUAUUAUUUUUUGCUUAAUUCAAAAUAUUUGGGGCAAAUAAAUUUUUUACGCCUUCCCAAUAUACUUUUUUCAAGGGAACCAUCAAAUGCAAAUUAAUAAAAAGUAGAGAUAAGAGUGAGACGCUAAAACAAGAAAAAAGAAAAAAAAGGGGUAAAAUAGAAUAAAAUUGAAAAACAUCAAUAUGUGAUGGUUGAACCUUUGAUUUUUCAUGACUCGAUCCUCUAUUGGAGCUGACUACUUGUAAAAAAUAAAAAAUAAAAAAAAUUGAUAAAUUAAAAUCAACGAUGAUUAAAAGAAGGUAGAAACAAAUAUGUAAAUUUAAAAUUUAAAUGAAAAGAUUUAGGUCGAUGCUCCCCGGUUGUUUAAAUCAUAGGUACCGGAUUUCGAAUGUAAUGCCCCGAAUGUUUAUAGAAUUUAAUUAUUUGGGGAUAGAGAUUUUAACCUAGAUGCCUUUUAAUAAUUUUGAAAGUUGAGAGACUAAAGUGAAAUAGUUAAGUUUAAUAUUAUUUUGGCCAAUAAUUAGAUUCUGAUAGAGGGAAAAUACAUAUAUUGAUAUUGGACUCUUUUUAUAGCUAGUAAUUAAUUAGAAGUUUUUUACUUGAGAAAAUUUUAAUUCAAAUAAUUCAAGCCUAAGUCCGUGUUUGGCAUUGAUUUUUCACUCCAAAAUAUCAAAAUUUUGACCGUUAUUUCAUUAUUGAAGUCGUCAUUUUUUACUUCUUCUCUCACAGGUAGGACCUACUUUUCUCUUAAAUGGUCAAAAAAUUAAUUUUCAGAAUCACUUUUGAACAAGCCUUAAGAUAUUGAUGUUUAAAGAAAUUGUUAUUUAUUAGUAUUUUAUUUAAAUUGGAUUUUGCAUGAGAGCCUGCCACGUGUUUUAUUUGAUAGAUAAAUCAAUCAUUUUUUUUUUAUUUAAUUGGUAAAUUGAUAAAGUUCCAACAUUGUCAAGUACUAUGGAAUUAAUUACUAUUAGGGUGCGUUUGAUUGUCAAUAUUUUUCAUAGAAAAUGUAUUUUUUUUUCCUCUCAUAUCCCUGCUUUUGUAUUGUUUGAUUGACUUUUUUCAUGAAAAAUAUUUUUCUAUUUUUUGUCACGUAAUCAUAUUUUUCUCAAAAUUAAGGAAAAUAUUUUCUUUAGAAUGAGCGGGAUUUGAUUUUCUAGAGAACUCACUCUCUCAUCUGCCCACCAAUAAAAAAUGAACAUGUAUAAUUUAUUUUUAGGUCGGAAUAAAAUCAAUCAAAUAUAUUUAAUUGAUAAUUUUCAUACAAAUAAGUUCUAAACAACUGAAUUGCCUAAAAUUUAUUUUCUUUCUAUACAAAUUACAUGCUUACAAUCAAAGACAUCCUUAGAGUAGGAUUGAUAUGUGUAGUUAUUCUAAUUUCUAGUUAUACAUGAUGACCUCACAAGUUGACCAGAAAUCCUUUAUUUAUUACGGGGCAAAAUGCUAUUACAAUUCUGCUGGGUGUACAGAAUUUGGGCUCACAGAAAAUGUCCAGAUGAGCUGGCAGCUUAAAAAAAAAAAAAAACAAAUAAAAAGUCAGACCAACUGUCCCGUCCCAUUUAACCCUCUUACACCCAGCAAAAUUGAAUGGUAACCACUAAUGCCUUACCCCCUUUCACCAACCCAACACUCAUUCUCCUACCCCACAAACCCGUCGAUUGGAGAAAGAAACCCCAAGAGUUCGCCACCGGCUAGGUUGUCACCUCCGGCAAAUUCGUUCUACUAAACAACGAAGAAGCUCAAGCUUUUCAAGAAACCCUUAUCUCCUACCCAUUUUGCCGCGGUCGUAACUCUCCGGCUGCCAUCGUUCAACCGUUUCAACAAAAGGGGACGUCUUCAAAUCUUAUCUCUUACCCAUCCUUUGCACAAUUGUUGAACGGUAAGUGUUUUGAGUUUUUUUAUAGUCGUAAUAUUAUUCGAAUUAUGGGAUUUUGCUGAAUCAGUCUUCUGGUCCUUUUCACCGCCAAUAGGCAGAUAGAAACAUUUGAGAUGUUAAUAGCAGUACCGAGGAGCUUUGUAAUUUAAGCUAUUUGUAUGGACAGUAAGAUGUUGUGACUAAAAUUUGGAUCCAAACAAGCGGGAGGCUGGUACGAAAGUGAUAAUGAAGUUUUGGUUCAGCUGGUUCGAUAAGUAGUCAUGUCUUACUGCAGAACCAGGUUAUUGGUUUUGUUUAUCAACCUGAACGAGGACCAAUUUUAUUUUUUAUUUUAAAUGCAGAUGUGCAUUUAGAGAAAUAUUGAGUUUUGAAAUUUUAAUAACAGAUUGAAAUGUUGAUGCACGUGAAACUUCGGCUCUUUUAGCAUAGUCGGUUCCUUCAUCGACUAAAGAGCAGAAAAAAGGACCACAAAUUCGAUCAAUUACUCUUUAUGUUGACUUCAAGCAUAUUCUUAUGUUUCUAACAAAGAUAAAUUGUGUGAUGUAUAAAAUGAAGUUGUUUCAUUAUUUAUACGAGGAUGCGAAGUAUGAUUAAGAUCUAUUUAAUGAAGAGGAUACCUUCUAGGGACAAAGGGUCUAUUAAAAUAUGGCAUGGGCAAGCUUUUGGAACUAACUCCUUUCUUAGCCUCCUGAUUUAUUCUUCUUCAACUAACUGAGAAAGCAAACAGAAAUGUGUUUGAAGAAUCAAAAGAGCUUAACUCUAAAUUUACUUCAUCAGUAACAAAAGUUUUGCUACUAAUUUAUCUUUUCCGUCUCUCUCUUUCCAUCAUGUACUGUUCAAUAAGACUCAUCUUCUCAGCCACCUAUUUAUGCAUAUAUAUAUGGAUUCCCUCUUUAUAUAUAUACAUAUAUGUUUUUCUUUUCUGAAGAAAAGAAACCAUUUCACCAAAUUAAUAUAGUAUGAGGUGUUAAGUAAUUAUGAUAUGAUUUCUGUGGAUUUAUUUACCAGAGGGUAAAUUUAACUUCGGCUUCAUAAUUUUUUUGUAGUAAUUUCUUUUCCAUUCAAUUAUCCUUUCUCAUACUGUACUCCAGUUCUGAAUGAAAUAAAAGCAGCAUUGCUUCAUGCUGCAGUCUUUGGGUUUUCGAAUUUGAUUGCAUUUUGGUGGUAUAAGCUGCUCAAUUUUGUUUGCCAUGUAGGGAUGAGAGGGAGGAAUUUUGGUGUUUGUCACAGUUGUAGAAGCUCCGAUCACUACUUCGAAGAUUGCAAGAGAAAAAUUCCUUGUCCACGGUGUGUAGUCGGAAUUCGAAAAUGUUUUGAGGUUGAAAAUGAAGGCAACAACAAAGGCCGACUUUUCAGAACUUGCAGCAGCUCUUGUGGAUUUUUUGACUGGGUAACAACGGAAGAAUUGAGUGUAGAGUCGAGUGCCAUUAAUGAAGUGAUGAAUCCUACUACCAAUGAGGAAGUCAACGAGUUGCCAGGCAUGUUCGAACGUCUAGCUCGAAUUGCAAACGAACAAAAUGUUGAGGUUUCAUUGAACUUGACAUUUCGCAAAGGAAAGAGAGCCGUCAGAGGAUAAUGGAAAAGGAAAGGGGCCGGAAUGAAGAUUAAUUAUAUUCAUUUUUGCACUUACUUUAGUUUGCGUUGUUGGGGUUGUGAUGUCAUGAGAGGAUGGAAAAAAAAUGGAAGAACCCAACAAGUGUUAUUAUUCUAGUUUGCACUGACUUUGUUUUAGUUUUGUCUUGAACAUUUUGGUAAUUUAAAGUAGUGAUCGACAUUGUGUGCAUGAAUUAGCUUAUGUAUUGACGGGUGUAAGUGUGUUUAUAGGUGUUGGAAAGUAGGGCAUUUUAACGGAACUAUAGGUGUAGAUGCUCAAUUUGCUGUUGAUUCUGAGCACCUAUAGUUUAGAGGAUAAGAUCACCUAACAGAAUAAUUCCUUAUCUAUUUCAAGAGGGCCUUAUCAGUAUUCAGGUUCACCCUUAUAUUUGAGGUUAUAUUUUGCUUACAAUACAUUUCGCAUGCUAUACUUUCAUAUUGGAAUCAUUUGAAAGGACAAAACUAAUUGUUUGUGGAAUUAAUUAUACCAAGUAGUACAAGAAGAUCAAAACCACUACGUCUGCAUAAGCUCUAUUUGGAGAAUUCAUUGCUUUGUACGAAAGUAAUAUAGUGUCUACCUCAUAUGUAACAGUGCCUCCAGAUGUUGAUGGCUUGCUAUGUUGCAUUUCACAUUUCACGCUUGCUAUGUUGCAUGAACAUCAAGAUUUUUUGACCUACAUCCUAGCAAAUGCAACCGGCUUUGUUAGGUUUUAAAGGCAGCAGGUUACAAUAGGCUGCAUAUAAAAUGCUUUUGGAUUAAAAUCAAACGAAAACCACCCCAGAAAUAUCAUAAAAGGCAUUAGCUAGAAGUCAAUUAAUUAGCUAAAGAGAUAUACAAAGUCAAAAAAAGUGCUCAGGAUGUGUGCUUACCACUACAGAAAGAUUUAUCAUCUAGAUGUGUAUGUCCAUAUAAGGUAGUGUCUUCUAUGAAUAGGUCAUUUGGUAAUUUAUAUUAUCCAGGAAGAGGAAUAGAGAUCACAAAUGUGAAAUCCUAUCAGAAAAAGUGGAAAUGGAAUAAACCCUAAAACUGAGUGAUACGUUGCCUCAGGCAAUAAUUUACAGCCAUAAAAUAAAAGAAAUCAUAGGAGAAACGUUGCCUCAGGCAAUAAUCUACCUGUUCUUAAGCUCUUCGAAUGGGAAUUAUAUUUUGCAAGAUCAAUGUACAAGGUAGAACCCCUUUAAAGGUCAUACACCAUCCUCUGAUUAGAACAUUCCAUAUCAAAAAAAAUGCUACUGUUUAUUAAAGAUAGCAUACUCAACCCAUACUUUAUAUAAAACUGCAGAAGCAAACAACUCUAUGUAAAACCCCAUACUAAGCCAUUCAAGUCACAAUAAUUCAACAAAAUGCAGAAGCAAACAACUCUAUAUAAAACUGAAACUAUCAAGAAGAUAGCAAUCUUUUUCAACGUGAACAAUUAUUUCAUGGCACGUGGUUUUAACAAAAUUCUUCUCUUCCAAAAAAAAAAAAAAUAGCAUAAAUAAAUGGCACCUCCUACAGUAACUAAUCAAAUUCAAUUUUCCAUAAGCAGAAAUCCACAUCUUUUAAUAUUGCUUUGUCGGCUUAAAAAAUGAAUGAUUUCUAGUAUAGUCUUUUUCUUCUUCCUCCUCUUCCAGUUAGUACUUAGCCAGGGCCACCUUGUUGGGGAAAAUGUGGAUGGUAGUAUGGAAUCGAAAGACCUAUUAUAGAAUAUGAACAUAAGCACAUGCAUAGUACAAAAUCAAAUGGAAAUGGAAAGAUGUGAACAUGUGUAAACCUUGAGAGGUCAACAUGGGAUUUGUUGACGUUGGAUGGACCGAACUCGAGUUUGGUAGGUGCUGCGGGUAUGCAUGACUUUCAACGUCUCCCUACAUAGAACAAUAACUCAAUUAUUAGUAUCGAACAAAUAAUGAUAUUAAACUAAGUCACAUUAAUAUACUAACCACCAAUAGUUGUGAAUAUGAAAAAGGAGCCUACAUUAAAUAUGGUUGAGAUGCUUAAACGACAGGUGCAACCAAUGGCGUGUUACUGUGACUCGACGUUAUCUCUUUCCCUUUGACGUAGUCUGCACAUAAACAUGUCUUACAAAUAUGAUGUAGUGUAAUAUAGUUUACAUUAACAAAAGUAACGAUGACCAUACCUUUGGUUUCUUUGAACAAGACUCCAACGGACCUUUUUUUCGAAGCUUCCUUGGUGCGCCCUUUCUAUUGCUCAACAUAGGAUCACGUACGCACCCGCUUGCAUUUUCUAAGUCACCAACAACAUGUAAAAUGACAUUACUCCCACUAUCUGACUUUAUAGUGAGUAGCUCUUGUUUUUGGUUACUUAUCCACGCCUUUAUCGCCAGGGACAGCACUUCAUUAUCGGCAGCGAGGUUUGCAACCUCCGCAAAUUCCCGACACAUUGAGUACUAACCAAACCAGCGUAAUUAACUGCAACCUUGUGUGUGCUCUACAAACGUCUCGCCUCCAUCGCCGUAGUAAAUACCUCUCAGGCAGUGAUGUGAUAUCAUUACGGAUCACUAUGACGAUAGCAUGUCGACACAUAAUUCCUUAAAACUCAAACAAGUGACAACUGCAAACAAUUUCACACGUAUCUCUAUGGAACGAGACAGAGAACUUUUUUAUCUUUCAUCGCUCAUCACACAUGACAACCUCACGUAGUUCGUACAUUAUCCCUGCAGUACCAUCCAUCGUAGAUAUGAUGUCACAAUAAACCUUCCCAUUGAGUUGACUUGAACUUUCCCGAAUUUCGAAAUGGUAUAACACUUCUGAUACUGCUUCUCCAUUUCAAACGUUGUUGUACACGGUACCAUUUGCGAGUAUGACUUGAAGUCAGCCUGAAACUCCUUCUCAACUUUAUUCCCGAGUGCUCGUUCAUAUUGCUCGACGAACUAUUUUAAAGAGGUCUUCGAAUGAACAUACCCGUCGAAGAAGGCAUUCAUACUCUCACUGCGCUGAGUUGUUGACAUUCCUGCCCAAAAUGUGGUCUUCAAAUAGCAAGGAACCCAUCGACCUCUAUUUUCAAACAGUCCCGAUAACCAAUCAUUACUGUGCAAGUCAUAUGUGUCCAGCAUCGCUCUCCAACCUUCUUCGAAUUCUUCAACAAAUUGCGAAUCAUACACCAAGCCACGUAUGCUCGAAAAAAUCGAAACCUUAUCACUGUGGUAUCCAAAAUUUUCUGGCAAUUUCUUCAGAAUAUGCCACAAACACCAUCGAUGUUUUGGAAACGGAAAAACAAUCCCAAUCUCAUUUUGCAUAGCCCUAUCUUGAUCAGUAAUGAUUCCCUGGGGAACUUUUCCAUACAUACACUGAAGUCACGUCCUAAAUAGCCACACAAAAGUAUCCGUGUCCUCAUUCGACAACAAACCACAACCGAAUAGUGUUGAUUGUCCGUGAUGAUUAACGCCAACAAAAAGGACAAAAGGCAUAUCGUACUUGUUAGUUAAGUAAGUGGUGUCAAAUGUGACAACGUCGUCGAAUUCUUUGUACGCUUCCCAACACCUAUUAUCUGUCCAAAAUACAUUUCUCAAACGAGACUCAUCAUCCAAAUCUAUGCUGAAGUAGAAUCCCGAGCAUUGGGCUUGCAUCCUAGAAAAUUAGGACUGUAUUGAUGCGGCAUCUCCUUCCCUAAGCCUUAAUCGUCUCACUUGUUCAACAUAAUUUCUACAAUCAUUUUCCACGCAAGUAAUAUUUUCAUAUCCACCCGCUUCAACAACUAUGGAGUUGUAGCUUUUAUACAAUGGAAUUCCUGUCAUAUCAUUUACUUCAAACUUCCAUUUCACAUGUGAACUCAACUCCCGAUUGCAAUCUCGACUUUGAAGGACUUAUUUUAUGAUUGUGGUCGAGGUGGACUUUGUUAAUUCUCCAGAUCCCAUGAUAAUCUGAACAUGCAGUGAUCCUGGCUUUACAAUUUGUCUGAAUUAUUGGUUGGGGCUUUAAAGAACCGCUUGUACUAGUUGUUCUUCGACCUUCACGGCUACAUGUGAAGGUGACAUAUUUCAUUUUCCCAUCAUCCCCUUUUUUCGAAUUCCUUCUCCUAACUGGAAACCCAACAUAAUACGCAUAUCCUUUAUAAAAGUCUCACAAUUCUUUUUUUUUCAUUGAAGGUCAUUCCCACCUUCGGCACCAUCGGAUCAUUUUCUCCUAACGUUUGCUCUUCCAAUGAUAUUACAUUGUCCGCAACAUUCUCAUCAGCAGUGUCUUUCAUAUUUGCUCCUAUUGUAACACAAUGAGUGACAAUAUUCAAUACAUCUCAUCUUUCAGUUAUAGGCAAUUUAUAGAAACAGAGAAUCUCAUAUUCAACUAUAAAAACGACACUAUAAUUUUCAAGAAACAUCAAGGUAUUGACACUAUAAAAAGGACACUACCAUCUCAAACAACCAACAUUUACGAAUGUUUCGAUUUCGCACUGUGCAUUUUCAACAAAUUUCUGAGAGACCGAAAUUGGACCAAGAUGCUCAAGUUUCUACCCAAUAUGGUACAUAAUAAUCAAAUGGGUUGAAAAGAGUCAACGAAAUAUGUAGUCGAAAAUUUGUGUAUUCCAUAAAAUGUGUGAUUAAAACUAUUUCUUUCUUUUAAAGUAUAUUUUAAUCACUUUUAUAGUUGAAGCAAUAUUUAAAAAUUACAUAUGAAAAUCACGCACAGAAAGAGUUCAUGUAGAUGCAAUAUUAACAAAUGAAAGUAAAUCAAAUUACAAAUGUGACAGUAAAGGUGGUCAUUUUGGUUCAGAAAUUCGAAAUUAAUAAUUUUCAAAACUUUAUUAUCGUUUGGUUUAUUUCUCGAAAGCUAUAGAUUUGAGUCUAACCAAUUUUACAUUCGUGCAAAUUUCAACAAAUUUCUGAGAAAUCAAAAUCCAUCUGAAACAUAAUGACAUUACCUGAGCUUGGCUCCACUAGGUUUUCCGGUAUCGGGGAAUUGCAGAUUCGGCCACUGUCGGAGUUGGGCAUCACCGUCUUCAUAGUUGGGAAGCAAUGGCUUCGAUUUGGAGGGAAGGCUUUGCGAAGGACAAUGAUGGGUUGGGAAAGACUUGCAAAGGGCAAUGACGGGUUGAGAGAUUUCGCCUUCACCGGAUGUGAAAUUCACGACCACACUGAGAGUGAAAUCGACGGUGAAAAGAAAGCGGGUUUUUCGUUUUGGUGUUAAACGCCUCUGCUGACUUCAAUUCUGCUGGGUUCAAGAUUUUCAUUUGGCUUAUUAGAUUAGUCAAACUGACCAGCUGCUCCCUCACGUGAAAUGCACAUGGUUUCUAAAAAUUUUAAAUUUCUGUGGAUUUUCUGUGACCCAAUUAUGUACAUAAGGCAUUAGUGAUGCUAUUAAUGUGAAAACAAUUUUCAUGCUUCCAAGUGUCAUAGUAAGAUUGGUUAAUAUACUAACAUAACCUAUAAAGUGAAUUGUAUUCCCUACCCAAUUCUAUUUGUGAUAUGCAUCCCCAAUUCUAAUUGCACCAAAAUUCAAAUUGUGAACACCCUAUGGGUGGCUAUAAAUACCGCAAGAAUGUCAGAUUAAUCAUCAUAUAGAAAAAUUUUAUAUACACGCGACAAAGAGGAAGAGAGAAGGUAUAGAGGAAGAAGAAAGAGUUUUCACGUGCAAGCAAUUUAUUUGGUUUUCAAAUCUAUCAAGGUAAGAUACUUUUGUAUCAGUGGUUUGUUUGCGUGUACUUUUAUAUUCAGUAAUUUAUGCAUGAAUUACCAAUGGACCUUCGGGUUCUUUAGAAAGAGACGAGAAAUCCUACAGGAAUUUAAGAGAUGAGUAUGUCACUUGGUUACCAAUAUACUCCAUAUGAGAAAAAAGUGAUAUGAGGUGUUUUAUUUUAUUGUUAUAUAAUUGUCUAUGAGAACUGCACGUAUCUUACUAUUAUUUUUAAAUAUUCACUCUUACAAUAAGGCUAGUUUGGGUCGAUUGAAAUUGUGGUGGGAUGAUGAUGAGGAUCCGAAAAACGAAAAGCAUUAAGUUUUCUAUCUUUUAAGUUGUUAGUUGGUUUAAUUUGAUAAAAAAAAAACGUGUUAUUUAAUUAGUUAGGUGUUUUUUUUUUCAAACAUCGAUGUCAAUGAUUUAAUUUAGAUUUAUGAAUGUUCCAGCUAUUUUAUAAAAAAUUUAUUUUUAUCGUUCCGUUUUUAAUAAUUAAUAUAAAGAAAUGUAAAUACUUGGUAACAUUUCAAAAUUUAUUAAAAUUUGGGGGUGUUACAUCGAGAUAACCCAAUGAACUUAAUAACUCGAGUCAAAAAGGCUAUGAAGUAAGUCCUAAUAUUCAACAAGUGCAAAAUCAUUUUUUUAAGCACAACAAAAUUAUAUGGGGGCUUAGAUCCCUAGCAUGUGGUUAUUCCCUAGCUUAUAUUUGUUAGCAAAACACACUCUAAACAAAUUUUGUUAACAUGCAUGGAAUCAACACUUCUAUAUAAUAUCCUUCACCAGCUCGACAACCCGAAAACUUAUCUUACAAUGUGGUUAAGUGAUAAAGAAUAUAUGUUAAUAUAAAUUUUCAAACAACUUACAACCCAGUUCUACCAAUUUAAAUUCUCUAUCAAUAAAAAAUUUUCACAUCUAGAAAACAAUUAUUCACAAGUAUUGUGCUCAAAGUAACUUGGGAUCUCACAUGGACAAGCAAAUAUUAAAAAAAAAAAAAAUUAGAUAGAAAUAGCAUAUUGUUCAUAUAUCAUGAAAAAAUAACAAUUUUAAAUAUGAAACAAUCUUAAGCUGGCAAGGCUAUCUAGCAUAUCAACACAAUUAGCACAAAGUAAGCACAAUAACUCAAACUUAAACCACACAUUGUCUUCAAUGUGUAAAGAACAAGAUAAAAUAAAAGAGGGGAUAACGAAACUUCUCCGAUUGGAUAUUUGUGAAGGGGUAUUAUUACUUGAUUUGGACUUGUGAUGCUCUUGAAUAGCUUGCGUAAGUGACCUCGUACACUAAUUUACUCCAAAACUUGGCUUGGAACUAUGGAUAAAUGGGAAUUCAAAAAUUACCUACAAAAAUAUUGAUAACUAAUCAAAUAAAAACAAGAAAAUACAUAAAAAUAAAUAAAAAGAUUAAAAGCUCGAAACUGGGUUGACUCCCAAUAAGCCAUAUUUUAUAGUCUUUGGCUCAAUUUUAACAAUUGAAUCAUCGACAUCUAAAGGAGGCUUGGAUGCCUUGUCCAUUUUUCUUUGUUUGGCUUUGUUCCACUCUUCUUUAUAUCUUCAAAACUUAAUAUUACCUCUUUUCAUAUAAUUUGACUUGUAUAUUCCAUCCAAUUCAAAUUCAACUAUGAAGAUUUUCACAUCCUCGUCGAGCUGAAUUACAAAAUCAAUAUCUUGACAAUCAACUAAGUCAAAAGAAUGUAAGUUGAUUUUCUCCUCAUUGAUUUAACUCCAUUGUAAUUAAAUUUUCACUUAUUUUAGGCUAUUUUUCAAUGGUUGAACUCUCAUCGUGUUGAAUGAUUGGUCCACAAUCAAACUCCAAGGAGAAUGGCAAGCCUUUUCUAUUAACUCCGUCGAGUGGAUUAUAACCCUACUUUUGAAAUUCAUCCCAAUAUCUGUAAUCUCCCACAAGCAUGUUGUCUACAUCCAACUUGGCAAGUUCAUAGUAAUACUUUGCAAAAAGCACUUCUUUCAAAAAUAAAGAACAUCUCCUGAAAUUUUUAUGUCAUUGUACCAAUCGUCAGGUACGUAAUCUCUCACGAGCAUGUGACAUCAUCGAAAUUCGUCCAAUGCUUAUUUCGACAUUUCAAAUAUUAUCUAAACAAACGAAGUUUCGACAUUGAGGUAUCGGUGUACGAAUACAAGCAUUGUCCUGUACAAUGUAUUGCUUGACAAAUUUCACAUAUUGGACCUCCAAUCAUAUAUCCAUAGUUAAUGUAGCAAUUAGACAUUGCAAAAAUUUUUUCACUUUACCAAGUUCAAAAUAAUGCAACUAUAGUUGAAAAGUACAAAGAGAGAAUACCAAAAAAAGAUAAAUUAACAAUAUGGAGGUCAGCAAAAACAUACAAAAAUAAAAUCAAUUAAAAUAAAUAAAAAUAAAUUGUUAAAACAAAAGUAAACUGAAGUGGUAAUCAAAGUAGGAAUAUUCCCUCGUAACGGCGUAAAAAAAUUGUUCGCUAAAAGUGCAAACCGUAAAUACACGAGUCGUUUUCAAGUAAUAAAGUGGACCUUUUGAGUUCGAAUUGUUGAUCUUUCGAGAAAUGUUUACUUUCAAUUACACAACUUUAAUCAAUUCAAUUUAACAAUGAAAACAAACAAAAUUUAGAUUUUUAUUUUGAGAAUAAGGAAAGAUAGCUAAAAUUUUACAAAAUAAGAAAACAUAAGUACUUGGGGAUUUCGAAGGAAAGUGUGGUUGAGAUUCAUGGUUUUACUUAACCGUGGCCUAAUUAAUUUUUUCACAAAUCAGUUAAUAAAUUACUCAUUUACAAUGUUAGACUUGGCUUUUCAAUUUUAAUUAAUUCAUCUCUCAAUUGAAAUUAACCCUAGUUGAUUGGUUUACUUUAGUACACCUCUAUGUCGAUUAAAACUAAACAACGAUAUCAAAUCUUUUUGAAAAUGGCCAAAUAGGUCACCUAGUAUUAGGGUAUAUCUCUAUCCCCUACAUGAACGUAAGAUAUUUACUAUUUGAUCUAAAAUGUAUAAUCUUCUCUUGAAAUACAAAUCACUAAACUCAAUCAUUUAAUCGCCAAAUAAAUGAAAGGCAUUUAACACGAUAAUAAAUACACAUGAAAAACAAACAUUUUAAUAUUAAAGAGCAAAUAUUAAAAUUAAUUAAAGUCUAGCUACUACUAUAAAUCCCAACACAAAAAACUUAGUACAUUUUAUAUAUUUGAUAACAAAGGAAAAUAUUUAUAAAAUAGAUUGCAAAUAGAAGAAAAUAAUGAAGAAACAAUGGGAUAAUAAAUAAAACCCUUAUUUGGUCAAAUUUCUCAAUGUUGCCAUUGAUGAAUCUUGAGUUCUUCAAGCAUUUCUCCAAUUUCUUGAUUGAUUCUUCUUGUUUAUGCCAUUGAUUUUUCUCCCAAAAUAUCAAGAAAAUCGAGAGGGAAAAAAAUGAAAGGGGUUGACCCCAAAAAUUGGGCUCUCCACGUAGCCAACCGAAAGCUACUCCAAGUGUUCCUUCCUGCAUGCAACAGCAAAUGGUCAAGCGUAUAUGGCCGGUACUAGCGGUGGCCAUAUACACUCCUACGAUCAAGUCAAUCGACGGUGGUGGGAAUGAUGUCGGAAUGCGCAAACUCAAGGGGGAGGAAAAAAUGUAAUAUCUUGGUUAAGGAAUAAAUCGUACAUAAUACUUACCUUAUUUUUGGCCAAGUUCUUGUUAUUUAUAGGUAAAGGGCAUCGCUAGAUGUAAGACACGUGUGAACAUUCGAUGUGUGCAAUGUGUCUGCUCGUAGGUGUCCAUUCGUCGCUUAUUAGGUGGGGCGUGCAAUUAAUUCUUCUGAUUUUGAAUUGACAUAUGACAGAGAUGUGCCACAUGUUUCCACAAAGUGAAAUUAUCGUAUAUGAACGGUGUCAAGUUUUGUAAUAUAAUAUGGAAGUCAAGAGUAUCGAACCCAUAAGGAUUAUAAUUUAAUUCUCACUAAGUACUAUAAUGGUAUAAUUUCUACUUUAUUCAGAUGAGUAGAUGAUUGAACAGUUGUUUCAAACUAAUGUAAUGUGAUUCGUUGUGACAAAGUUGAUGAAUGCAAUUUAUCAAUAUGAGAAGGCCUAGGGAUUGAUUUCACUUUACUCUCAAUUAUGAUUCAACGAUUUUCAAUUAUUCCAGUUAACUUUCCUAUAUUUAAAAGCAAGAAUCCUAAUAUAUUCAUCUCCCCUCUAGCUAGAAAAUAAUUGUAGAUUCCAAUUACAAUAUCUUUAUUCCAAAUUGAAAAUCAAGAAUUUAUAAAAGUCUCGAUUCUUUUAUGGAGUAAGCUUUACAGAUUUUAUACUUUCUCUCGAAAUCCAUAAAACCUAUGUUUUAUCAAUCUUAUGAUCACGCCUAAAUUUUCGUCUCUCGAGCGUCGUAAUUGACUAGUAUGUAUUCAUUCAAUUAUUAAUCAAGUAACUGAAAGUAUUAAAAUCAUAACACAAUUAAAUAUAUGCGAGAAAAUCAAAAGAAAUAAUUAUAAAAUCGUCAACCCAUAAUCUCAAGUCGGCUACAUCAAACCCUAGAUAAAUCAUUUAGUUCGUGAUAUGGAACAUGAAAUUCAUAUCUCAUGAUAAACAAAAUAUGCAAAAUGAUGGAAAAAAACUAGUUUUUUGGGGUAGAUCUUCAAUCUUCUUCCUCGAUGUUGUUCUUGCCUCCUUUGGUGUCUUCAAUUUUUGCCUCCUUCAAAUUGUAUGGUUGAAUUCUUCAAUCUUGCUCCCUUCAAUUGUUCGAGAAAAUAGGUUUUUUUGAAUAAUAUUUAUAGUAUAUUGAAGUUCUUGAAUGAAUUAGGGUUGAGUUGGGCCAAGAAAAGAGUCCAAAAAUAUAAAAAAUUAUUUUCCUGCAUAUCCGAUGCCUUGGCAUCCAAGAUGGGUGUUGCGCAUCGUCCAUUCUGGUCAUUUCUGAAUCAUGGGCGCUUUGGCGCCCCGGCUUAGCCAAAAAAAAGAUUGUACGUCUUUCAGUGUUUUUAGCAUAAUUUUUUCUCUCAAUAUCUGAUUGAAGUAAUUCAAGAUGCAUUGAAAAGAUAACUCAAAGAGAUACAACUUUUCUUCAUACAUCAUUCUCCAAUUCGAUUGUUUGCUAUGUCAAAAGUGGAUCCCAAUAUGAGACGAAAACUCUGGAGUAUAACUUUUCGGUUGAAAAUUAAUUUGUGAUCAUAUUUUGACUAAAAUUGACCAUUUCGACCUCUUUCUUCAUCCAAUUGACUCCUAGCACUCUCAGAUCUUCAUUUCGAGGUUCGAGAUAACUUUUGAUUAUUUGCAUUUUAGUCCCCAAAUUUUGUAUCUCUUACAAUUUAGUCCUUUCCUCCAAUUUUGUCAACUUUUGCUUAUUUAUUUCAUUUUCAUCAACCUAUAUCACAAUAUCAAAAUACACAUUAAAACGCUCUAAAACACUCUUAAGGAUGGCAAAAUAAUGAAUUAAGUGACAUAAAUAUCGUGACUGUAAAGUACUCAUCAAAAUGUCACAUCAAUAAUUCCUUAAGAUACAGAGACAAUCUUGACCAAAAGAUCCGUUUUUGAAAUUGGCUGUAGAGAGGUGCUUCUCCUCUUUUUCACAGCAUAACGUCUCGGUUACCUCACACUUCAGAAGCAACUCCUCGAAUCAUGAAGACGCCUCGAACUAUAUAAUUUUGGUGACCUCACGCCUCGGACACGACGUUUUCGGAUGAGCCUCCUCUUCACAUUAGAUCGCCGUCCAUCUGAAACAGACGCGGCGAGAUAUUAUGUGAGGGGACGUAACAAAAGGAAAAGAAAAUAAAAAGAAAAAGGAGGAAGAAGAAUGCCCAAAGCGGCCCAUUUUACUUUAAAACCAUAUCCCAUAAAUUGCAGCCUUGGUCUCUAAAGAUUCAGAAAUAAAUUAAAAUGGUCCCAAGCUUUUUAAAGUGGCGCCCAAAAAUUAAACCAUUGGUUUCAUUUCGCAGCAAGUCUCCCAGAUAAUUGCAUGCCACGUUCCUCAACUUUGAACUCGUACAAUUUGAUCCUCAAAUUUGAUUUUAAUAUCAAUCGUGCCCUUCAAAAAUUGCAACCCCAGGUCCUUGAACUUUUGACUUGAUCACUUCGGUCCAAAAUUCAUGAUUUUGCAUAAUUUCAGUCCCUUUUCUCCUCCUUUGUCUUUGUUAUAUUUCAAUUCGGGGUUUUGACCUACAAAAGCCAAAAAUACAUUAUCGUUAAUAGAAAUUGGCAUAAUCACUAAUUAACUUAUUUGUGUAUUAAAUAAGUUAGCAAAAAAACUUAUCAAGGUUGAAGAGUUGGAAUCUGAUUUUGCAUCGUCACUACAGAGCUAUCAUAUUAAUCAUUCUAUGCAUUGUACUUUAUGCAACUUGACUGAGGCAAAUCUUGCAGUAGAUGCCAUUGCCUUGGAUAUAGAUUGCAGCGAAUAGGUGAGGUAUCACCUUGCCUCUAAUAAUAAUAUUAUGUCAGACGUCUAAGGGGCUAUCCUAAUCGCCUUGAGAAAGGCAGGUAGAAGAGAUGAUGUGAACAAUUUUGAUUCUGUGUGGCAUUUUAUUUAGCCAGUUGCCCUGUAGGCAGAAGUGAAUACGUAAUAUCUUAUUCAUAAACAACUUAAACUCCCCCUACAAAAAAAAUAGUCGAUCUCAAACCUUAAAAAAAUAUGUCAACGGGGUAACUUGCAUUGUACAAAAAGAAACAAAAACUCCAGUUGAAAGUUAAGCAGUUAGUAAAACAUGUCAUACAUUUUUUGUUUAUUCAAAGGGGAGGAUAACUUCGUCCUUUUUUAUUUGACCUUAACGGCUAAAAUGGACAUAUUUUGUCACCUGGAACAUACAAUGCUUAUUUCCCCAAAUGUUGGGGGGAUGUCUGGUACAAUUUUCAAAUGUUAAGUGAAUAUCCCAUACGUUUUUGAAAGGUUGGAGACCAAAUAUGCUAUUAUCCCAUAUUUUUAUUUUCUAGAUAUCCAACUUCAUCGAGCCAAUUUCAGGAUUGAUUUCGAAUUCCAGAAACAGAAGUUAGAGAAGGUUUUGAUACAGUUUUCAAGAACUAAUACAUUAUUUCAUAGCAUAUCUCGACUGACUAAGCAAUUAAGCAAUGAGUUAAUAAUAACUAGUUAUUCAUAUCAGUUCACGUAAUGAAAUAUUCUUGACAUGUUUUUUAGCUACAUUAUUCGAUCAUUUAGAUAGGUUCUUAGUAUCGUUUUAAAGUAUUUGCAAUGACUUUCGAGAUUCAUCUUUUGAAAAAAUAAAAUGUUAAGCGAUAAAUUAAAAUAACGAGUCAAAAACUACAUCUUUUAGUUGUUAAUUUUUCGGUGCACCUUUCUUAAUAGUCAAGGCAAGAUCUUAACAUUUCCUUUUCUAUUCAAAUCAUCAAGGCUUUUGAUGCCGUUUGAAUGGUUCGAUUUUUUUAGUUAUUUUAAAAUUCCUUUUCUAUUCUCUGUUGGAUGGGUUAUUUUUUGCAACAUAAUGUACUUUGUUGAUCGUGUGUUAUAGUUUGGUUUUCAUAUACAAAUAACCUUUAUGAAUAUAUCGUGAAAUGAAGCAUUACUUCUAUCGUUUCCACUAGCUUGGGUCGCGAAUCUAGUGACAGUGUGGGUGGUUAGAUUAGGAUAGAAAUGUUAAAUAGGAGGAACGGACAAUCACUAUCUAACCAAGUAGUGAACUUCGAACGACUAGCACAAGUUGACUUGUGAGUCGAGCGAGCGUGUGAGUUCAUGAGUAAGAUAACUCCUCAUGAAUAGAAAUCUAAUUUCAAUAAUAUAAAUAAAUAAUCGAAUCGAGUCAACAAGUUGGUGGGUCACGUGAUGGGCAAAGCUGAGUAUCUAAGUGCAGCCCAUCUAACACCACUAAUUGAGAAGUGAAUGAAGCAUUUCCCUUUUUAAUUAAUUAUGUUCUCUUUUUUGUUUUCUGUUUCCCAUAUUUAAAUUAAUUAAAUGUUAAGACCAUUUUGCACUUCUUAAAAUGUCAACUGAAGCGGCAUAUCUGCUGAACUGUAUAACAUUUUAGGAUAGCGGUGCUAAAAUAUAUAAGUUUGGGACCCUGCUGCAAUUUUCACUACUACUUAUCCAUGUAGUCCUUUUUCAAUGCAAUUUUUAUUACAAUUUACGUGGAAAGAAAAUAAAUUCUAAACAAUUAAAUUAUCUAAAAAUUAUUUACACAAAAAUCGUCAAAUAGAAGUAUUUAAUUAAUUUUAUUUCCAAUCUAAAAACUAUUAUGCUUGUCUAUUUUUCAUUGAUAGGUAAAUUGGAGGGAGAGGGAGUGAAUGAGAAAGAAAGAGCAAGUGAAUUAUCUGAAAAAUAAAAAUCUAGUCUUCUAAAGAAAAUAUUAUCCUUAUUUUUAAGAAAAACAUAGUCACGUAAUCAAAAAUAGGAAAAUAUUUAUCAUGAAAAAAAUAUCAAUCAAAUAGUACAAAAGUAGAAAUCUGAAUGAAAAAAAUGAUAUUUUCCAUGAAAAGUAUUGACAAUUAAACGCAAUCAAAAUGCUUAAGUAAUAAAAAAUUAUACUUGCGUCCGAACUCCGAGCACAAAAAGCAAUGAUAAUCCACCAAAAAUAUUACAUAUCCUCAAAAUGUCAACUCCUUUAGAGUUGAGGAAGAAUACAAACCAGACAACACUUAUUUCAGACCACUACCAUUAAUUGAGAGCGAACAAUUGUACCGGCCAAUUACGUUUUCGACCAUCAGGUCCUAUCCCCGUGAGCUCCACUGAAAUAUCAAUGCUGCGAUGCUGAGCAGCUCGGGCAACACUGAUGCGAGAUUGCACGCUCACAGCAGGGCUAGUGUUCGUACCAACUGCGGCUAGUUUUUCACUAGUAACCUCCGCCGAUGCCAUUGCAAUUGGUUCUCGAAAUGUCAGGAUAGUUUGGGACCAGUGAGUUUUAGGAUUGUAAGGCGAUGUGGAUAAAUUGGUUGGCAUUUCAUUACAAAACCUUUCAGUAAAUCCAGUCUCGAACCACAAGACUAAUCCAUGACACCAAGUGAUUUCUGGCUUUGACCCCAUGGAGUUAUUCGUAGAAGUGAUCAACUUUGGUUCCAGUUCGACUAUUGCUGUAAGUUCCAUCUGCUCAGAUCACAUCGUCCCCAGGUUGAAGGUCUGAAGAAAGAGAGAAAUUAUUUCGUCUUGGAACUUUUACAGAGUAGGCAGUCGACCAACCAUAGUAUAAAUUUGCAGUAGAACUGGAACCAAAAGCAUUGGAUAAAUAAACUAAGCCCCAGUUUGGGCUCCAUUUUAAUUCUAAUGCAUUUUUUCUUCUUUUCAACCACAAGUUUUCAAUAAAAUAACAUUACAUAUAAACCCAAAACUUUUUCUUCUUUUUUAACCACACAUUCUCCAAAAAGUCACUAUUCCAAAAUACAUUUUCUCCCAAAACCUCGCUAAAAUGGGGGCCCAACCAAGGGCUAAUUUUGCAUUGUAGAAAAAGUUUAUAUAGUAAACAUGAGGUAAGCCUCCUGUCCCAGAGCCCAAAGGUCAUAUUAACCCCAUUGAUUUUUUCCACAUCUCAUAAUCACCAUCUCAAAUAGGAAACAUGCUGGAGCAUUAUGAUUGAUGAAACUUCGGCCACCAUCAUAUGAAAAAUUUACUAGCUUAUUCAUCAAAAUGAUUAAAGUAAAUCAAAAAACCUACCUGAAGAACUUGGGUAGGAGUGACGAUAUCACAACUGUCAAUGACGUCAACAAUAGGAUUCCGAGCAGCAUUCUCAACUUCUUCCAAUCCAAUACACGACAUAUUGAAACCAUAAACAUUUUCCCAAAAUGGUAUACUAGUACCUCCUUUCCCAAAUCCUACAACAAACUGUAAAUUGAAAGGAAGGCAAAAUCAUUCUCUCUGUCAACAAGAAAACAUGUCGAGAACAACAGCUAAAACGGAAAUGCUCAAUUCACCAUAGUAGUCGUGUCUGGGAGAAUUGCACCUCCAGGCUUCAACCAUCGAUCUCGAGCAAGCAACACAGUACUGAGCAUUGACUCAUAGAGAAGGUAGUAUGAUGCAGCACCAACGGGACAGUUUAUUACAAAAUUAGAAUAGAUCUUGGGAAGGGGGAAUUAGAGAGAAGAAAGGGAUGGGGAUGUUGGAAUUGAUUGAAUUUAAUUUGGAUUUAAAACAUUAAAUGUAAUAUUUAAUGAUGUGGGCCAUUGCAAUUAAUUUGGGUGAAUUGGAAAAGUCUCCAAUAUAAGCCCAUAUGUUGAUAAUCCAAUUUUAAGUGUUUUUUAUAUGGAAAGGAGUCUCACAUCGAAAGUUUACAAGAAAAUAGUCUUGUUUAUAUAGUGGGUUGUGUGAAUAAUAUAUAAUUUAAUAAGUUACCUACCACUUGGCUAACUUUAGCUAGCCAAAGGCUAGUCACCACUAGAGUGGUGCUUUGCACCACUUGCGCUGCUCCCCGGACCAGGACCCGGACCCGGAUCCGGUCCCGGCACGCGCACGUCGCAAAGUACGCAUUGGGCGCUUUAGAGGUGCACUUGGCACUUGGCACAUACGCAUCGUCGCGAGGAGCUGGGGAGCCUUACAGUUUUCGAAAAUGGACUCGUGGUUCGAUGACGUGGCAGCACAAGGCUCGGUAAGUUGGCAUUCUAGGUGGCGCACGAGUGGUAGGUUGCGUCCCUUCGUCCUGCGUGGCGGUUAGAUGUACGCGUGGCAUCCGCAUGGCUGUGACUAUUCAGAAAUUGGUGAAUAGGCAUGAUGAAUGGAGCUUUACAGUUUUAGAAAAUGGACUCGUGGUUCGAUGACGUGGCAGCACAAGGCUCGGUAAGUUGGCAUUCUAGGUGGCGCACGAAUGGUAGGUCGCGUCCCUUCAUCCUGCGUGGCGGUUAGAUGUACGCAUGGCAUCCGCAUGGCUGUGACUGUUCAGAAAUUGGUGAAUAGGCAUGAUGAAUGGAGCCUUACAGUUUUCGAAAAUGGACUCGUGGUUCGAUGACGUGGCAGCACAAGGCUCGGUAAGUUGGCAUUCUAGGUGGCGCACGAGUGGUAGGUCGCGUCCCUUCGUCCUGCGUGGCAAUUAGAUGUAUGCGUGGCAUCCGCAUGGCUGUGACUGUUCAGAAAUUGGUGAAUAGGCAUGAUGAAUGGACACUUCACUUCAUGGUUCAAUUUGGGCCGUCAGAUUAUGAAAAUAGUGCGAUCCAAUGGCUAAGACGAAUCAGACCAAGUGGUGCACCAGUUCCUGAAAUGUCACACACCUAUUUCAUGAGACACUUCAAUCUCUAUAAAUAGAGACCCCCAGAUUCGUUUUUGACACACCAAAUCAAUUACGAAUUCAAUUGAUUUCUAAAUUCUUCUCUCUCCAUAUUUUGCUCUAAAAAUUCUCUUAUAUUUCCAUACUUAUUCCGUUCGAGUACGAUCAUUCAUUGGUUCGACCGACAAAGUUGGUAUUGUGCAGUAUCGACUUUGGAAGGAGCGUUGUAUCUUGGAAGACAGACGUCCAUAAUCCCAUUUGCACUUCAUUGGGGGGCGAAAUCUGUUUUAAGGAGAUUUGCUUAUUUUAUUGGCAUACCUCGCUUCAUUUACUGUUUUCUAUUUUUCUGCUUAUUUUAUUUGUUCUUUUGAUUGCAUUAGUCGAAUUUUCGACAACAGGGGAUUCAAUAGAAGGGAGGAAAAAAACAGGAAGAGAGAAAAAACGCCAUAAGCCACCAAAUAUUAUUCAUUCAUCAUCAACUGAAAACUACAAUGCAAAAUAGGUUUAAAUAGUAAAGCAACCCUAACAAGAUUGGGCCCGAGCCCAUACAAGUCCAAAUUUUAAAUAAUAGUCCAAAAGAUAAAUAAAACUUAAAUAAAAUAAGUAAACGUCCGAUGUCCUUAUCAACUCUCUCGGGGUGGGAGAAAAGUCGACCCUAUCGAGUGGAUAUAUCACCAUAGGCUGUCAUCAAUCUCCCAAUCAUAAGCUGAGUGGUUGGGCAAGUUUCUUCCGACAUCUGUAAAAAUGUGUCAGUGGAGGUCUGAACCUGGUGUCCUCACCAACUCUCCUUGGGUAAAUAGGAGGCGAUCUAAGCCAAGGAAGAUCCUGCUAACUCCGAUAAAACUCCAAUAAAUUUGGAUCCAAUUGCUGCAGUGUCUCUCUGGAGAUCCAUGUACAAUCAGAAUUUGGUCGACCAACCUAACGAACGAGGAAGCGCUGAACCUCUCCAUCAUUAGUAAACACAAUUUCUUCAUCUAAAAUAGCAUCCAUUUUAUCUAUGUGUGCUGUGAGAGGUGGUAGUGGGUUAGAAGUGGCCAAAUAGUCGGGAUCAAGGUCCACAAAAAGAGGUAACAAAGGGUCAUCUGAGGGAAUGAAAUGACCUUUAUAAGCUACUAGGUCCUCAACAUUGAAAGUAGAAUAGUAACCAAGAUGUGGUGGAAUGUCAACAACAUAGACAUUUGGACCAAUUUGCAUUAAAAUUUUAAAAGGACCAGCACUACGGGCUUGAAAUUUGGAGGCGGGUCCAUGUAGACGCCGCUCUCGCCUAAUGCGGACCAUAACGUAAUCCCCAACGUUAAACUCAAUAUGUCGUUUCUGCAAAUCAGUUUGGAGUUUAUAUUUUGCAUUACUAGCUUCAAGUUGUUUAUUGAUCUCAAUAUACAAAUCACGAAGAUGUUGUGCAAAUGCUUCGGCUGACACUGACACUCUAGCAUGUGGGGACAUAGGGAUGAGAUCUAACGAUUUCCUAGGCUUGUACCCAUGAAUAGCUUCAAAUGGACCCAUACCUAAUGAACGAUUUAUGGAGCUAUUAUACGCAAUUUGAGCUACAGGAGGGAUCAAAUCCCUAUUUCGAAGAUUUUCUCAGACCAGACAACGUAAUAGGUUAUCAAGACUUCGAUUAACUACUUCAGUUUGACCGUCACUCUGAGGGUAGUAGGCUGUAGAAAAUUUCAAUUUGGUACCCAUCUUUUACCACAAAGUCCUCCAAAAAUGACUAGUGAAACAAAUAUCCCUAUCGGACACAAUGGUCUUGGGAAGCCCAUACAAUUUAACAAUCUCACUAAAGAACAACAUAGCCACCUUAGACGCAUCUGAGGUUUUGCUACAGGGGAUAAAAUGAGCCAUUUUCAAAAAACGGUCAACAACCACAAAAAUAGAAUCAUGUUUCUUUGGGGUGCGUGGAAGGCUUAAUACAAAAUCGAUACUAACAUCUUGCCAAGGACAAUUAGGGACGGGAAGAGGGGUGUAUAGGCCUGUGUUCUGCUUCUUCUGUUUACUCAAUUGACAAGUGUUACAAGUACUAACAAUCUUAGCCACGUCUUUCUUCAAGCUAGGCCAAUAGAAUUGACGUUCAACUUUCUCUAUGGUCUUAUCACAUCCAAAGUGACCGUCUAACCCUCCCGCGUGAACUUCCCACACUAUGAAAUCGCGCACUGAAAUUCGAGGGAUGCACAAUUUAUUGGCUCUAAAGAGAUAACCCUCCUCAAGUCGGAAGCCAUCUGUGGCGCUUGAUUGUCCCCUUUGUAAAUCAAGAAAGAUAUCUUUAAAAUCGGGACAUGCCUUGUAAUCCUCCUUAAAUCUUUCAAAAUCGAUGACCUCGACACUCAUGAUCAACAAAAGGGAGACAUGACAACUUAAUGCAUCAGCUACUUGGUUUUCCACGCCCUUCUUGUGUUUUAAAAAAAUGAAUAGGCCUGCAAAUAUUCGACCCAACGACCAUGCCUAGAGCUUAAUCGUUUCUGGGAGUUGAGGUAACGGAGGGCCUCGUGAUCAGAAUAAAGGACAAAUUUCUGGGGCAACAAAUAGUGGUGCCAACAGCGUAAAGCCUGGACCACCGCAUACAGUACCUUAUCAUAAGUUAAGUAUCGCUGUGUGGCUUCAUUUAACUUCUCACUGAAGUAGGCAACAGGGUGACGAUCCUGACUCAAGACUCCGCCUAUACCUACCCCGGAGGCAUCACAUUCAACUUCAAAGACUUUGAAAAAAUCGGGAAGGCGCAGAACAGGAGCCUCCGUCAUUCAUUUCUUGACUAACUUAAAGGCCUUAGCCGCCUCUUGUGUCCAAUGAAACUCCCCUUUCUUCAUGCACUCCGUGAUAGGCGCCAUAAUAGUGUUAAACCCCAUAAUAAAGCGACAGUAAAAUGUAGCUAAGCCUUGAAAGCUUCUGACGUCAUGAAUAGCUUUGGGCUCAGGCCAGUCAAUAAUCGCCUAAACCUUAGCAGGGUCAGCAGAUACUCCUAUCGAAGAGACAAUGAAACCCAAAAAAUGACUGUAUCGGUGAAGAAAGAGCACUUCUUGACAUUAGCAUAUAGAUUAGUUGCACGAAGUGUAGAGCAAACUUGUGUGAGGUGGUCAAGGUGUUGCUCCUUAGUCUUACUAUAGAUGAGGAUAUCAUCAAAGUAGACAACAAGAAACUUUCCCAUGAAAGGUCGGAGAGUUUGUGUCAUUAUCCGAAUAAAGGUAUUUGGCGCAUUACUUAGCCCAAAAGUCAUGACCAGCCAUUCAUAAAGACCAUCUUUCGUUUUAAACGCGAUCUUCCACUCACCACUCGGGCGAAUUUGAAUAUGAUGGUAUCCACUCUUCAGAUCAAUCUUCGAAAAGAUUGUGGCACCAACCAUCAUAUCUAACAUAUUGUCAAGUCUAAAAAUGGGAAAACGAUACUUCACCAUGAUCCUAUUGAUCGCGCGACUAUCCACACAUAUCUUCCAAGAACCAUCCUUUUUGGGCGUCAAUAGGGCGGGGACAGCACACGGGCUUAAACUCUCACGAAUGAAUCCUUUGUGAAGGAGGUCAUCCACUUACCUUUGAAAUUCAGCGUGCUCGGUAGGAUUCAUCCUAUAAUGAGGCAAAUUUGGGAUGGAUGCCCCUGGGACGAAAUCUAUAAUAUCCCGUAGAGGAGGUAGAUGAUCAAGUAGGUCCUCCGAAAAGACAUCUCGAAACUCUUGGAAGAUCGACUGGACUUCACAGGGCUCUCUAUUGUGGAGUGGGAUGAAACAUCCAUGACCACUAAAGCGAACACAACUGAGUCACCAACAAGUGUACACUCAAACUCCGUACGACUAAUGAUGUGCAAUCCCUUUCGUUCCACACUCUUCUUCGUUUCCAGUGGGCCAACAAGCUUUGGGGGCAGUGGAUCAAGGUAAAUCUUCUUUCCAUUAAACACGAAGGAGCAGGAAUUGGAUCGACCAUAGAUGGUUACAUCUAGGUCAAAUAACCAAGGUCGUCCUAAGUUGAUGUGCCCGACAUCCAUUGAAAUGACGUCACAGCAUAUAUGGUCCUUAUACUUGAGAAACUGGAUAGGGCAACACUCCUUGAAAACUAUAGAAGAGGUAUCAACCCAAGAGACGCUAUAUGACUGAGGGUGAGGAACAGACUUCAACCCUAGACGGGAUACAGUAGCCAUCGAAAUCGCAUUAAUGCAGCUGCCACUAUCCACGAUAACUUUACAGCCCUUAUUAUUAAUCUUGAUGUAAGUUUGGAAGAUGGCAUAACGGCGCCAAUCAUCGGCAUCCCUAGGCUGGGUAAGAGUGCGAUGGACGACACCGACUCUAGGCGUAUGUGGGAUAAGGGGACUAGCCCGAAUACAACCUAAGAAGGUAUCUUCACUAUCCUCCAAGUCAUCAAACUCUUCUAACUUAGGCUCAUAAACUUGGUCUUCUAGUGGCUCAUCAACUAUACCUUCACGCUCUUCCAAAACUAGGGCUCGGCUAGGACACUUAGAAGCAAUGUGACCAAAACCCUUACAGUUGAAGCAUUGUAAAUGAGAGGACGUUCUUGAAACCUCAGAACCUCUACCUUUGCUAUCCGAUAUAGAGGUAGUAUUAGAAGGAGGAGGUCCUAGAAUAGACUUAGGGGAUGGAGUGGAUGCAGAAGAGGUUGCAGUGCAGGAGUCACUACAAUUUCUGUACGGUGCCCUAGUCACUAACUCGUAAUCCCGAACGAAAGAGUAGGCGUGCUCAAGAGUGGUGACGCCUCUAAGAACAAGCUCACGUCUAAGAUCAUCCCGUAAGCCUUGCCUAAACCUACUCAAGGUCAUGACCUCAUCCUCAACGACCUGACAUCUCAUUCGAAACUCGUCAAACUGAGCAACGUAUUCGGUCACAGGUCGACUGCCUUGCGUAAGUGCAUUCCAUUGAUCCAGCAAGUUGUCCCUGUAAGAUUGAGGUAAAUAUUUUUCUUGAAGGCGACGCUUCAUUUCAUCCCAGCUCCCUACAGGGGGAGCAUGACGCCUCUCCAGGAGGUCCUCAACACUUUCCCAAAAGAGUUGAGCUGUGCUAGUUAAUUUCAAACUGACAAAUUAUACCCUCCGAUCUUCAGGGACCCCAUACCAGGCAAAGAAGCGAUCCAUAUCUCUAACCCAUUGAUUGAAUACACUAGGAUCUAGACAACCAUCAAAUGUAGGGGCAUCUAAUUUAAUAUUUCGAAAGAGGCACUUCUCGUGGCGAGAGAGAGAUAGUGUACCAUGACGGUGAUAUUCCCACUCGCGUCCACGGGCUUGAUUUUCCUCCCUAUGAUCAUGUCUGGCGUGGUGUCAACCACCUUGUGGACGACGAUGAGGUCUAUUAAUGGAAGCGUCAGAGUUUUCAGCUUAAGUUGAGUAUGGAGUUAGGUCAAGAGUGUUCAACCUAGCGGUUAGGGCUCUAUUCUCCUCACGAUUAGUGUCUACCUCAGUUUGGAUAGCCGUUAAUUGGUUUUGUAAUUGUGCUCACUAUCGGGUGAUAGCUUCAAUGUGGGAAGGGUCCAUAGCAAGGGUACACGAUAACACUAGCUACGUGAGGUACGCUAUAGAGAUCAAUAAACAACGAGUGCCAACAGUAGAUUUGCAACCUGAAAUUUUAUUUUUUUUAAUUUUUGUUGUUGUUUUUUUGUGUGUGUUAAAAAUGGGAUUACGGAAAGUCCGAUCUUAGCAAGCUAAUAAUACUGGUGAAAAUAAAAUUGAAAGCAAGGAUAUAAUGGAUUAUUCAAAAUGACUAAACACACGGGUAAUCAGGGAACAAAGAGAGUUAAUUCACGAAAUUCGAUCUAGUAUGGUGUAAGGCUAUAAUUAGCAAAUAACAGCAACACUAAUAUUGUAACUGAUGCAAUUUUAAAAUGAAGCAACGGUAUAAACGAAAGAUAGAUAAAAGUAGUGACUCCCUGCAGGUCGGUUGUGACUCCCAGUAUCUCGAUUGGUUUGAGUUGCCAACGUGUGGGGGCCCCAGGUAUGUUUCUGUGCUAACUCUUGCCUCAGUUGCCUUUAACUUCGAACGUCCUCCUGCUGAAUUUGUGAUGCCUGCUGUCUUGACUCUGAUUCUGAUGUGGUAGGGGUUACAAAGAUUAACCAAUUUCACAAGAACCUGUAUCUGACUCCUUUGAAUCUCUCGAACAGAGGCUGGAAAUUGAUUUUGUGAUACGGUGGCGCUGCUUUGACAGUGAAUUGUGAAUGAUAGAUGAAUGGUGUGUGACGUGAAUUAUGGGCGUGGAUAGUGGUGACAAGUGUGGCAGUGAGUGUCUCCGGUGUGAGAGACGUCGACGGGAGUAGCAACGGGGUGGAAGGAAGUUGACGGGAGUCGCGGCUGAGUGGUCACCAGCGAGGAGGCGAGUUUCAGAAAGUGGAUUCGGGGUAUUGGGCUGCUUGUUGGGCCGGAUUGCUGAGAUAUUAGGAAGUGGGGGAUGAUGGGUUGUGGUCAGAGAUGAGCCGACGACGCCGGCAGUGCUGGAGAGUGGUGUCGUUGGCGUCAGUGAACGAUAGAAGAGUCGACGUCGUGGAAGAAGACUCGGGGUGAAAUCGGGUUUGUGGAUAGUGAGAUGUGGGCCGGUUUGAGUUUGUAUAUAAUGGGCUAGGGUUAAUUGAAAAUUGAUUUGGGUAGUGAGAUAUGGGCUGGGUUGGGCUAAUAUGGGUAGAACUGACUGUGUUUAUCAAAGGUGGGCUGAUUGAAUGUUGGGCUUCAGUUACGGGUAAGUAGUUGGGAAUAAGAAAAUUGAGCCCAACUAAGCAUUGAAUUGGAAUUAGGGUAAUGAACAGCAAAAAUUGAUAUGGAAUAAGCAGCAAUUUCGAAACGACAGCAAGAUGAUUUUUUUUUUUGGUAAUACUGUAGAAAAAAAAUCUAAAAGUUUGGAACUCGAGAUGAACAGUACCCUAUGAACAGUAAACCCUUUUUUUUUCAACUAACAGAGAAACGUGAAGGAAAAGAAACCGCUGCUCGUAGUGAAAUCGUUCUCAAUUAUGCUAUUCCAACAAAAAUUCGUUUGUUUUGGGAAGGAGAUGAGAAGAGAUGUUGGAUUGUAGGAAAUGAAUUACCCAAGAUUUAGCUCUAACACCAAAUUUGAUGUAGCAUCAACGGGACAAUUUAUUACAAAAUUAGAAUAGAUCUAUAGGGAGGGGGAAUUAGAGAGAAGAAAGGGAUGGCGAUUCAAUAGAAGGGAAGAAAGAAAUAGGAAGAAAGAAAAAACGCCAUAAGCCACCAAAAUAUUAUUCAUUCAUUAUCAACUGAAAAUUACAAUGCAAAAUAAGUUUAAAUAGUAAAACAACCCUAAUAAGAUUGGGCCCGAGCCCAUACAAGUUCAAAUUUUAAAUAAUAGUCCAAAAGAUAAAUAAAGCAUAAAUAAAGUUUAAAUAAAAUAAGUAAACGUCCGAUGUCACGUCCGAUGUCCUCAUCACAGUAGCCCAUCCAUUCACUCAGUAACACAUCAACACUCUGAGGUUGGAUGUGUGUUGCAUUGUCAAGAUCCUCAACUAUGCCUUGAACCACUUCAAUUACUCCAUCCCGUUGCCCGUCUGGGAAAUCCACUCCGCAGAAAUCCGUUAUCUUUUGCAAUCUGCACAAAUCCAAAAAAAUGAUUUAAAAAAGUAACCCAUUUAAAAGAAUCAGAUAGAACAGACAACUCAACAGAGGGAAAAAGUAAGACAGAUUAAAAUCAGCGAACCUGGGUUGCCACUGCAGCCAUCUUCUCCCUGGCUUCAACUGCAAUAACUCUCGAUGCUCCCCCUUGUGCUGCAAAAAGACUAGGGAAACAAAAGCUCAUAAUACAACCUACAAACAGCAUUCACAUUACUAAAAUUAAAACCGGCUAUGAAUUUCAAUAAAUCAUAGAUGGCUUUUUAUGCAUGAAUAACUCGUGGAUAACUAUGUUUAGCAAGCUAAUUACAGGUAUGAAGCGGAGCAUGCCUUCUUAUAAUAGAAGAUUUAGAAAACAAUCUUCGUCAUUAAUGGAAUGGAAAAGUAGGACAGAAGUUGCUCGAGCAUGGCAGUGUUGCCAACAAUUCAGUUUGACGGUAUCCUUUAUACUUCAUUUAAGCCAGUCUCAGUUCAGGCGGAACCAGAAAGAGACAUAGACAAUCAGUGCUAAGGGAAAUUUGGUUCAAAUUUCAAUACUAGCUCUGGUAGACACAUCUGCAGAUAACUUGGCUCUUCUCGCCCAAUAAAUAAUUAAAUUCAGAAGGAAUCUCAAUCAUAAUUGAUCACUUCAUAUGAAAUGCCAAAAUUAAACCCAAAUUUAUUUCAUACCUUAGGAUGCCAGUCCCACAACCAACAUCCAUAACAAUUGCACCUCUUAGCAAAGAAGGAUUCUCCAGAAUAGCUUGCCGGUAAGCAUCAGUUCUCACCUGUAUAACCAGAAUAGUUAGCUUGUAAGUCUAUUUAAUACAUUACAAAUUAUUACAAUAAGCAACUGAACACACUUCUUAUUAUAUAGAAACAUAUCCAUGGUUCCCUUUAAUUUCUUGGAGAUAGAUUAUGGUUCACCUCCAACUAGAACAACAAGUUCAAUACCUUGUCACUGAUCAUUUCUCUGUGGAUUCCAAAAGAACUGUACGAGCCAAAAUAAUUCUUAUUUAUGUUUCUGAUUUGAUUUGCUACAAUUUUUGCUGAAGAUUCAUUAAACUGCUCAUCUUCUUCAUUUCUGAAGAACGAGACAGCAUAUUCCACACCAGCCUGUAUACCUCUGUCAGAAGCGGAAGCAACCUCUUUCCCCCCAUUUUCACAAGGAGUCGUAAGUUGACAUGGAUAUCUAUCUGAACAACUCUCAUAGUCAAUAUUGAUCUGUUCAAACUGAUUCAAACUUACCAGUUCUUUUGGGUCAAUUGACAUGUCAUCUCCAUUCUUAUCUUCUUCAUCUUCGGCAUCAUCUGGCAAAAUAGGUUUGAGAUACCUAUUGUCAUCCAAGUGGAGCACGAUACUCUCAAAAUUGACCAGCUCAUGUAAGUGGUUCUGUAGAUCUCUCUUGGCCUGACAGAUCAUCCCACAACUCCAACAUCUAUUCUCUGCCACCUAAUAAAUAUAAAAGAAAGGAAGGAAAGGAACAUUAAUAAACCACUAACUUCUCCUUCAGUAUAUUCAAAUCAGAUCAGAUAAAUGUCAUCACGAUAAAAUGAAGCGCUAAAUUAAAAUUCAAAACCAAUGAUCAAAAUUUCCUUCCAAUGCUUGAUUUUAUUCUUGUUUCCUGAAACCCAGAACUUAUAUUGCCUGGCCAGUUUGUUAGCCUUCAGUCGUUUUUUCCUCCAGAAAAUGUUGGAUGUAUAAGCAUAUACUAAAUGCGUGUUUAUGUGUAUGUAUGCAUGCAUGUGCGCAAGAGUGAGUCUCGUGCCAAAUCAACUAUCAUCUUAGACCCUCGAAUCCUAGAUCUGAGAUUUUCUCGUCUCUUCCCAGAGCUGAAGUCGAUGGAUCAAUUGUCGGCGAAGGUGUUGUCCAGCUCACUUGUACAGUGGAUGCAAAAAAAAAAAAAUCAUAAAUAAUUUGUUCAAAAUCCCAAAAAUCUAACAUUCUCAAAUCGCUACGCAGUCGCUAGUAUUUCUAGUCUAAAGCUAUCGACGACAACCCAAGAAGAUGAUGACAGCGACGACGAAAUCGACAACUUUGUUGCGGUUUGGGCACUCGAUAAUAUGACACAAAGUUAAAGAUUGUUUGACGAUUGACGAUAGCCGGAGUUAGGGACGAAAGUGCCGACGACAUCAACAGUAAUUAAAGGUUGCAGUUCAACGGGGAUAGAUGGGAGGAAUGGGCGCGAGAAAGUGGGAGCCUUUGUUUUCAUUCAACAUUCACCUGGGUUGUUUCUGAAUCAUUCAUUAUUCUAUUAUUUAUUCUUAUUUUAGUUGUUUGAAAAUAGACUUGACACGUCAUCUAGAAAACUUCUGUGACAUGGCUUCUAUACGCGUAGCACUAUUGUUUUUUGAAUAGUAUUUUCGUAUUUGGAGAGUAGCGGUGAAUAGAGUUAUCAUUUAUCAAUGAUGGUAAAGAUGUCAUUACAAAUGUAAGAAGAGUUAAGUCACUUUGUCAGAAAUUAUUGUCCACUUAAUUAAAGGUUGAACCCCAACUUUAAGGGUUCUCCAUCGCCCUUGCCUUGGAGUAUCGUGAGAGAGGUAAAUCGCAGGUUAUGCCUUUGAGGAUAUAGGAUGGAAAGUUGUUUGUACACUUGCACUUACCCAAGAACAAAAUCCAUAUUUUAGGAUUCGAACCCUUGACGCGACAGCCUCAAGUAAAGCUGAAUUUCUCCACCCUCCCCUUUUACUACUUGGAGAUGUGCCUUGGGGGCAAUUAUUGUCCACUUAAUUGAUAGAUGCAAUGGUAGUAGAUAAUUGGAUGCAAAAAAUGAUCGUUUUUUAAAUCAUCUAAGGAAGAUGGUAAUUUUAUUUAUUUAUUAAUUAUUAUUAUUAUUAUUAUUUUUUACAAUGUGUCAUGAUUGAAGUAAGGAAUAUUGUCUCAAUAUUAGAUGAUCAUGAUAGAUUCAAAGACAAUAAAUCUUGAAGGUUGGUAAAACAUUAAUCUCACAUACAUAAAUAUGAUCCAUCAGUUAUAUGCACACACAUGUUUGAUGUAGCUUAAAAGUUGAUAAAAAUAUCAAUCAAAGUUAACAAUUAAUUUUAAUCAUAUUAAAAUUUGGUGUUUCAUAUUAAAAAUGUCAACUUUAAUAAGAGAAGUAGUCAAAAUCCUUAUAUGUUGGUUUAUAUUUUUUAUAUUUAUUCGACGUAAAAUUUAUUUCUUAACAUGUUCCUGCAAAAUAGUAACUUGUUAGAGCAAGCUAAUAUUGAAAUUUGUAUGCUCAUUUUUUUGAGUCGUAAUUGGAUUAAAUUGCUCAUUGGAACUAUUGGAGGGAUGGCAACGGGGCAGGUAUGGGACGGUCGGCCAUUCCUACCCCCUCCCGUCGAGUAUUUUUAUUAUCUUACUCCUUUCCCAUACCCGAUUAAAGGGGGUUCGGGGAAAGUCUCAUGUCUCAUUUAUCGCCCCAUUUAAUUUUUGCAUUUUUUGCUUCUUUUUUUUUUUCCAUAUCCUUAGCUAGUAAAUGGUAUUACUUUUUUUCCAAUUUGUUAAAAACAAUUUAUGUUCUCUUUAAAAGGAUAAUGAAUCUAUCAUUUUUGUUUGAUAAAAACUUAAAUUUGACAUUAGUAUUAAAUGGGGCGGUUAAUGGGGUAGGGACUAUGUUUUCUGUACCCGUCUCAUAUCCGUUUCGGGAUAAUGAUCCUCGCCUCAUAACCAUCCCAUGUACCCGAUUAGGUCGGUAUUGGGGGCGAGGCCCAGGGGUAUUGGGUUGAACGAGUUUUGUUGCCAUCCCUAAACUAUUGGGCUCUAAUAUUAAAACUUAAAAUUCUAUUUUAAAAUGUCAAACUUAUUUAGAGAAAUAGCACAAUACCUUAUUUGUUAGUUUAUAUUUGUAUCUUUAUUUAGUGCAAGAUUUAUCCCUUAGCAAAUCACACGUUUUAUGGGAUUCAUAACUUAUAUUAAUUUUUUAAUCAUAUAUUUAAUCAUUUUUUAACAAAAUCUACUAAAAAUAUAUAUUUUUAACUGCAUCAAACAAAGGCGAAUGUCUUUUUUUAGAACUUUUAUGUUGACGAAUUAUAAAUGAUGUACGUAUUUAAUUGGGACUUUGGUAGAAUUUUAUGGAUUUUUUUAAGUGAUGAAUUUUGUAAAUUUCAUAAACUUUUUAUAGAUUUGUAUAAAAAUAAUGGAAGUCUUUUGUAGACUUUUAUAGAUUUUCAUUUUAUAAUUUUUUUAAACUUUUGAAAAAUUCAAAAGACUUUUAUUUAAAAUAGAAUUCAAGUAGGUCUAGAACAAAAAUGUUGAAUUCCCACAUACGAGUAUAUGAGAUUAUGGUUCUCACAAUUUCGUUCUCACUCUAUAUAUAAAAUAAAAAAUAUUCUCUUAAAGAUCAAAAGCUUAGCGGGUAUCCUCAAAUAAAAUUUUAAUGAAUUUUAAAGGAUUAUGAAUUUAAAGAAUUUUGUGAAUUUAAAUAGAUUUUUGCAAAUUUCAUAAGAAUCUCAUCAAAUAUGAUGAAAUUUCAAAAUAUUUGCUUAUAUCAGUUAUAUGUAUUUUUAAACUUGAAAUAUAUCUAAAUCUUUUAAAAUUCUUUUAUUAAUGAAAUUUUUAUAAAUUCACUAAUUAUUGAGGAUACCUAAAUUUUAAAGAAAUUUAUUAAAAUCUCAAUUGGAGAUACCUAAAUUUUAAUGGAUUUCAUUAAAAUCCAAUAAAAUCUCUAUUGAAAACACAUAAAUUUAGAAUGAUGUUUAAAAUUCAUCACAAUCUCCAAUUGAGGACAAAGUAUUACAUUAUUCUUUAAUAGAAAAUACAUAAAAAUUAAUCAAUAUUCAGUAUUAUCAAUAUGUCUUACCUUUAAAGAUUAAACAAGAAAUUAAUAUAUUUAUUUUAAUUAUAAAUAAGUUUUUUUUAUAAAAAGUCUUAUAAUUUUAAUUUGACUAGAUUUUUUUUCCAUAAAAAAAUGAUGAAAAAAAAGAAAAAAAAACUAUACGAAUCUUUAGUUACAAUUUAAUUCCUUUUAAUAGAAAAUUUCGAUAAAAAAUAAAAAAAGAGCGAGGGGAAAAAUGGAAAAAUAGAAACAAAUAUAACGAGUUGAUUUUUAACUCUAAUGUUUGCAGAAGUAAAAAUGGAAAGAGAAUUAUUGCAAGAAAAAAAUGCAUUAUUAUAAUUUAUUUUUUGUGAAAGUUUUCCAAAAUCUUGGGAUGAAUGUAAAACAAAUUUUGAGAUUUUAUUUUAGUACAUACUACUUAAAAGUUAGUACCACAUAGACUUUUAAAAAAAAAUCUUUAAAAAUCAUUAACAAUUUGAAUAUUCAAAGAUGUAUAGAGAUUUUUAAAAAGUUUUAAUUGAAUACUUCAUAUCUCUUAAAAACCUAUAAAAAUAAGAGUCUUAAUUGAAUAUAUCAAUAGUUUUAAGGACCGUGCUAUAUACACAGCACGGUUCACACCAACUUUCACAGCCCCCUCACAUCGGGGGGGCCCACGCACAGUAAAAAAAAAAUAAAAAACAGGUGGGGCCCCCUCAUUGUGAGGGGGCUGUGAAACUGAGUGUACAGCCCGAGCUGUACACUCAGUAAAACCCUAGUUUUAAAGAGUCUAAAAAGUUUACAUUAAAUACUCUUAAAUUUUUUAAAUCUCAAAAAUCUUCAAAAAAUUCCCACCCUGUGUUGUGGGCAGGUUUGCAAAUACACUUAUUUUAUAUUUUAAUUUCAAAAUGCAUUUAAUGUGAAAUCGAUAAUAAUAAUAUUUAAUUAGACGAUGUUGAAUAUAAUUAAGAGGAAAAAAGAAAGAAAAAGAAAAAGAUGUGAACAACUUGUUGGGUUACGUGCCACACACUACAAACCACCGGUUAUUGUCACAAGGCUGAGUCAUGCUUGCGUUUUUAUUCUCAACUCAUGUGAUUCUUAAUAUAUUAUAAAUAUAAAUUAAAUGCAAAAGUUAAAAGACAAUUAGAAACUAUUUAAUAAAAAUUCCUUAACAACUCAAAAAUUUCCAAAGUUCAUAGCCACCAUAAAACGCUUGAAUUAGUUGACCCGACAAAUUGCAAUUUGAACAUACUAUUUUCUCGGUCGAGCAUGUCGCACCUAGUUUGCUUAUUGCACUUUAACUGAUUGACGUGGUUUGCAGGCUAUUACGUUAGUCCAAGAGUUUACCCAUUGCGCAUCCGAAAAGUAGCGAUUGCAGGUUUUUCCGUCAUAAAAAAAUAAAAAAUUAAGCCCAGUUUGGUGUUGAUUUUUCAAGCUAAAAAACUAAUUUUUGAUUGUUACAACAUGGUCAGCCGUUAUUCUUGACUUCUUCACUUACAGACGAAAUCUACCUUUCAAACUAACGGUCAAAAAAUUAAUUUUCAAAAUCAGCACCAAGCGCGCUCUAAAUUUUUGGUAUAUUUUAAUGAAAUUUAAUGAUUGAAAAAUUAAUAAAAGUCGUAGAUGUUACAAAAUGUGUAGCUGAAUAUGAGUUUGAAAAAAAAAAUAGUUUUAAGAAAUGGGACCAAAUAUAAGCUAAAUUUUUAGUAACUUUUUAUAUAAAUUGAUGGAAUUUGUGAUUGAAAAUUUAGUAAAGAUUAUUUGAAAAAAAAAAAAAAAACUUUAAAAAUGGGGAACAAAAGGGCCUGGAGUAACAGGGGGGCGGUCAGAACCUCACCAACAGGAUUUCAAUAUUAGGAUGUUAUGCGUACGUCUUUUAAGGGUCAACACAAGCUGGUGAAUUCCGACCAUUUUCCAGCAUGUCAGAACCUCACCAACAGGAUUUUAAUAUUAGGAUGUUAUGCGUACGUCUUUUAAGGGUCAACACAAGCUGGUGAAUUCCGACCAUUUUCCAGCAUCAUCAAAAUUAUCCAACUAAUGUUCUUAAACAUCAGUUCGGCACGUAAAGCGAGUUAGGCACGAGAAUUUUUUUCUUUUUUCUUCUUGCUCUUGUUUCGAAUUCAGAGAUCUCGAGAAAAAUCUAAUUACUAAUUAGACUCCCUCAUUUAGGGGAUAAAUAAUAAGAGAUAGGGAAUAUAAAUUCUUUUGCAUCUCGAUUCAAAAUAAAUCCAUCGUUGAAAAUUCAAAUAGAUAUGUUUUUCUAGAAGGAUUCUCGAAUGAUUUUAUUAUUAUCAAGACUCAUUUUUGGUAUUUAUCAUUGACUAAUUGAUUUUAUAUUUUAUAUUUUAAUUUCAAAAUGCAUUCAAUGUGAAAUCGAUAAUAAUAAUGUUUAAUUAGACGAUAUUGAAUAUAAUCUACACUGCCAUAAAAGAGAGAAUGGGGGUUUACUGUUCAUUUUUGUCACACUCAUUUUCACAUUGAACUGGUUUGGAAUUGGUUUGAUAACAGUAAUUUAUUACAGACUGUAGCAAUAUUUUUUUUAUAGUGGGUGGGAGCUAUUUUUCACAGUAUAAAGGUGGUAAUCUGAAUUUACUGCAAUACUCAAUUUUUCAUACCUCCCACCAAUUAUCAUCUCUUCACUCUGUACUCAACCACUCUUUAUUUUCGUUUGUUUGGAUUUUUUUAUUGGUAAUCUUUUUAUUUGUUGAUACUUUUUUUAAUCACUAUUUUAUUUUCAACAAAUCACUUUUAUGUAAGAACGAUAAUAAUUUAUUAGGAAUUUUUACAUCCAAAAAAAAAAAAUUUAAGUCAUAUCACAUAAUUUUUUAAAUAAAAUUAUGUAAAUCUUUUUACUUGUUGAUAAUUUUUUAAUCACUAUUUUAUUUCCAACAAAUCAUUUUUAUGUAAGAUGAUAAUAAUUUUAUUAUGAAUUUUUAAGUCCAAAAAAAAAUUUACGUCAUACGACAUAAUUUUUUUAACAAAAUAAUGUAAAUUAUAUUGAGAAAAUUGUUGCGAAAAAAUAAUAGACGCUAAUAAAAUAAUUAUUUUUUUAAAGACGAGUUAUAUGCAUUUUUAAUAUACACGUUUGAUGUACGUUUAAUUAUUUUCGAUAUUUAUUUAGGUCAUUCGAUGUAUCUAUGAUAUAGUUCUCAAAAUGUGUUUCGAGAGAACAUAGAAAAUUUAUGAAUUCAACUAUCGUAUAAUCAGCGAUAAAUUUUUAAAGUUAGUUUGUUAUCGAAAUUUUUGAAAUAAUAGUUUGAAAAUGCUUGUUUUGAUGCCCCGUAAGAUUUGCUAGGAUUGAUCGUUUAACGACGUGCAAUACUCUAGUGAAUACUUCAAAAUAAUAUUAAGAAUGUAAUACUUUGAAUUCAUUUGAUAACCCGUAGUGAGCUUGAAAAUGAAAACAAAAACAAAACUUAAAAAAAAAAAAAAUUUGUUUCAGAAAUGCUCUGUGUACAGAGCUAAAAAGCUUCGUGCACGGAAAGACUCUACUGUAUGUUUUUUUUGGUUUUUUUUUUUAUCUAUAGUAAAUUCAUUUUUUAAUAUUUAGUUUUAAAAAAUUAAAUAUAUAUAAAUAUUCUUUAUUUUUAUGUAAAAUAUAAAAAGUUACUUAUAACUAAAAAAAUCACUUCGACUAAUAAUAAAAUAAAAAUUAUCUCUAAAAUGCAAAAGUUAAAAGACAAUUAGAAACUAUUUAAAAAAAAUUCCAUAACAACUCAGAAAUUUUCAAAGUUCAUAGCCACCAUAAAACGCUUGAAUUAGUUGACCCGACAAAUUGCAAUUUGAACCUACUACUUUCUCGAUCGAGUCAUCGCACAGAAUUUGCUUGUAGGCUUUACCUGAUUGGUUUGGUUUGCAGGCUAUUACGUCAAUUCGAGAGUUUACCCAAUGCGCAUCGGAAAGGUAAUGACUACGGGUUUCCCUAUCAUAAAAAAUGAAAAAUAAAAAAUUAAGCCCAGUUUGGUGUUGAUUUUUCAAGCUAAAAAACUAAUUUUUCACUGUUACUUAGCAUGGUCAACCGUUAUUUUUGACUUUUUCACUUACAGGUGGAAUGUGCCUUUCAAACUAACGGUCAAAAAAUUAAUUUUCAAAAUCAGCAUCAAACAAGCUCUAAAUUUUUAGUAUAUAUAAAUGUCGUAGAUGUUAUAAAAUGUAUAACUGAAUAUGAGUUUGAAAAAAAAAAUAGUUUUAAGAAAUGGUACCAAAUAUAAGCUAAAUUUUUAGUAACUUGUUAUAUAAAUUGAUGAAAUUUGUGAUUGAAAAUUUAGUAAAGAUUAUUUGAAAAAAAAAAUAACUUUAAAAAUGGGGAACAAAAGGGCCUGGAGUAACAGGGGGGCAGUCAGAACCUCACCAACAGGAGGGGGUGGGGCCCUAUUUUUGCGCGGGACCCACCCCAAUUGUGGGGAUCGCCUCUGUUUACAUCAGCAAUUUUCUAACAUAUUUCAGAAUUACGGAUCUGAUUUGGUAAGUGGGUGUCUGAACGGCAAGAAAAUCUUGGUCGUCAUUCACGCAACCAGUAAUGUAUUUAUACAUGCACAAGCGAUUCUGGCGUACCAUUCAAUCUCAACAUCAAUUACCAUCUCAAUCAGUAAUCAAGAGCAACAAUGGUGGAAGGAAAAGGAGAGGAGAUAGAGUUUAUACAUUUGUGGUCCAUACCAAGGUCCCUUAGCACCAGCCUUUUGUACUCCUUUGCGCAGGUAGCACUCCUAAUGUAUUAAUCCAACCACGCCUAUCAUUUUCCUUAUCUGUUUGUUUAUGAAUUUGAAGUGAAUUUUAUUAUGCAAAUUGCAUAGGAGUUGUUUGAAAGGUCAAAAGACCGACUUCUGGUGAAAUUUACGGUGGGCCAUUGAGUUUCUUGCUAAUUUUUUUUUUUUUUUUUUUUUUUAAGAGAAUACUAAUUGAACCAAAUUGGAUAAUUAAUGCUUUAUUGAAAAAAGUUUGAUUUAAACUGAAUCAGGCAGCCAUCGUUGUAUGAUGUUCCACAGUAGAAGGUUUUAAAUUAAUCUUCAAAAAGUCAACUGAAUCUCUGAUAACCUCAUCCAGUUAAAGUCCAGCGCUGUACAUCAGAACAUUUUUAUCAUAUAAUCGAUUAUUCCUGUAACUUAGUCACGAAUGUCUACUUUCUCGAGGAAAAGGAAACUCAUAAAACCAUAACAUGCGGGCACCAUGAAUCUUCACUGAGGGGAUUUUAAAUUAACCCUUUAUUCUUGCGGUGAAAUAUUGAGAAUUAUUGUAGAAUGACAAGACGUAACUUACCUUAAAAUUCUGUAACGUUCCAAUUGGAAAAUAGGAUUGAGGUUGAUAUUUUAAUUGCUUGAAAUACAGAGAGCAAACACGUAUUACAAUUUACAAGUUGGCUGUCUAUGAAAUUUUGGUCGUCGUUUUGCUUAAAACGGGGGUAUUGUGCAUGUUUCAAGCUUUCCAGAAGCUAACAUUAGAGGAAUAUUCCAUCUGAAAAGCUAGUAAAAAGAAGAGGUGCCAAAAUAGCUCCGUGGUUGUAAAUAUUUAUUCUUUUUUAGGUUUGGUAUGACACGGUUUAGUUUCCUUUUAGCUUGGGUUCUUUGUAGAUGUUUACAAUGGAGGCAUGGAAGGGAAACUGGGGUGGGGGUUGGGGACUGAUGGACUAUGGUUGAAGCUCUCCUUAGAAGCUUCAUAUGGUUGCUAACUGGUAUAGAUUAAAUGAAUUAUCUGUUAUGUUCAAAAGAAAAGAAUAUUGCCAUUUGAAAAGGCACAUGACAUUCAUAGGUGGGGAAAUAUGGGAUGUUUGCUAACAUAUUAGUUUCUGCUAUUCCACUUAGGAAUAUAAUGUCUUCCACUUGUUUUCCUUUUCAAACUGGAAUACGAGGCCGUGUUAGGCGUAUUUUUCAAGUUUUCAUGCCACCUAAAUUAGUGAUAGCACCACCAUCUACUCAUCCUUUAUGGGAUGUUUGCUAACAUGCUUGUUUAUGCUAUUCCACUCAGGAAUAUAAUGUCUUCCACUCGUUGUCCUUUUCAAGCUGUGGUACUAGGCCAUAUAAUGAUUAUUUUUCAAGUUUUCAUACCUCCCAAAUUAUUGAUAGCACUACCACCUACUCACCCUUUAAAAAUUUAACGGGAUUGAAAGCUAAUUGAAUAAAUCAAACGAUGGGGGUACGAUGGAGAAAGCUACAAAUAAUAUAUAAUUAGAUUUAUUGAUGAUGUAACAACUUUUCUCGUCUCUGCUUUUACCAGAGAGAUGAUAUGGAAGUUCUUGAUGAACUCCUUCAUCCAAAUUUCCUACGUGUUCCUGGAAUAGAAAGGCCAUACCAAGCAGAGCUCCUAUCAAAGAUGGUAAGUGAAAUUAAAUUUUACUCUCAUUUAGCAAGCAUUUUGUGCAUUGAUUAAUUCAGAGCUUAAUAGUUGCAAUUUAUCAUUCCUAAAAAAACAUUGUUUUGUGUCCAUAACUCUUGUGUUAUAUAUGCGAAUCCAGGAUAAAUACUGGGCAAAAUAACUCUCACCUAGUUUAAUCUAUUGGGAUGCUUAAGCUAUGUACUUUUAGCUUUUGCUAAUGUUAUUGAUCCAUGAUUGAACAUAGUAUCAUCUACAAUACCAAUUUUGAUCAGGUGAUUUAUAUAGAGAAAUGCGUUAUUGUGUACAAGUGCCCAAGUGAAACAGUACUUACUAGGAAUUUUAAGUCCUUUUGCUUUGAAAUAAAGAUAUAGCUAUAAAUUGGAAAUGUAUGUGCCGGAAUUGGGCUUGGUUUUGAUUCUGCACCAACUUUGAAAUUACACCUACGAAGAAUUUUAAAUCCUUUUUUUGUGGAGACUAAGAUAUAGUUAUAUAUGGAAGCGCCACAAAUCAUGCUGGUUUUUGUUUUAGCACCCUUGAUACUUUUUGCAUUUAAGCCAAAGGGAAGACAGUUCAAUAAAUAUCUUUAUGAGGAUUUUAGUGUUGCUGCAUUUAACUUUUAUACAUUUGCUCUUGAAAAACUAUGUAGUUGACCCUUUUUCACUGGGGUUGAAUAUGUGUUCUAUGAGGAAUUUAAAAUUAGCAAAAAUAAUCUAUAACGAGUUACAAAUUAUUUAGUCUAGAUACACAAGAAAUAAACUUACUACCAUCAUAGUCAUCAAAGCAAAUGCACUAAAAUAUAAAUAACACCAAUAAUUGUUUACCAAGGAAAAACUCUUGACCGACUCUUCAACAAAAAAAAAAAAAAAAAAAAAAAAAACCCUUCGGGUUUGCCUUGCCAUCAAAUGAUGCAUAUAUGGUUUAGGCACAACUAAACUUUAGUAACUUUGACUCCGAAUUCAUAAUUACUCAAAAAUUCCUCGGUUAUACACUCUGGCACCUUGUCUAGGACUUCUAAAAAAAAUUCUUGUUCUUCUUUAACUGGAAGUCCAAUUCAUUCUUGGCUUCAUCGGAAAUCUAAAGGUUAUAUGGUAGAUGAUUUUAUGGUGUUUUUCAUGUGUGAAUGUGAAAGAGAAUUUUGGAAGCAAGAUGUACCAUGACUUAAUUGAUCUUCUCUUAACCUUUUCUUUUCUUCAACACAUAGAAAAACGUUAAUUAGGUCUGUAUAUAAACUGAUUUUUUAGUUUUUGGUGGUUUGGGGGUGUUUCAAAGUUUGACUUGAGAGAAAAGGGUUUUCUCGCCUAAUUGACCGCUCACACAGAGCGAAAGGUCUACUAAAUUGAUUGUCCGCUCGAACAAGUUAAAGUGCAUACAAGAAGAUGUGAAGAACAUGAUUAAAUGAAUUCUUCAACAUGAUCAGUGAGUUCAUUCUUUUUUACUCAAACCCUCCUAGAAGAAAAGAUUGAUAUCAUUAAGUAUUUCAUCAUUCAAUCAAAAGAUUGACUUGUUUAGUUAAGAUUUUAACCUGACUAGUGAUAUCCUCUUUGUCAUUCUUAACAAAGAGUUUACGGAGCUUAGGUUUAGUAUGACUUAUCUCUCCAUAUUUGUAAUAAGUGGGGAUGAGCUUAGGAGCAGUGCUCGAUUUAGAGGUUUGAACUUUAGACCGAAUUCUUCAUUGGAUAUCUUUAUUCUUAGACUCCCUGAGUUCUACCUUCUUAGUCUUUGUAGAGGCAGGUACAAAGAUGAUUUUAAAAGAGGUAGUAAUAUGAGGGGGGAAAAAAAGUUAAGGCAAAAAUGAUCCAUUAUAAAAAGAUUGAACUAGUAGAUAUAGUCAAACACAACUAAACUUUAGUAGACUUUGAUUUUGAAUCCGUAAUUACUUGAAUAAACAUGUACUGUGCACUUCGAAAUCUACUUCUGAAUCUUUGAACUUUUUUGGGAUCUCCAAGAAGGAACUUAUUUUUAAUUACCUGGACCUCCAGUCACAUGAAUUUAGGAAGCAAAAUGGUUCAAAACUCAGUUGAUCUUCUAACUUUUCCUUUUUCCUCAACACAAUAGAAAAGGUCAAUUAGAGCUGUUUGUAAACUGUAUUUUUUACUUUUUGGUUAUUUGGAGAUGUUUCAAAGUUUGAAUUAGGAAAAAAAAAAGGUUUUCCUGCCUAAUCAACCGCUCGAGCGGCUUUUGGUGCAGAGCGGGCAGUCUACUGAAUUGACCGUCCACUCGAGAACCCUCUAGGUGCCCCCUUGAGCAGUCACGCUCUGGUAAUCUAGCUUGCGUGUCCUCUUACGGUCAUUGAGCGAUCACACUGUUAAUUUAGCUUGAGCUUGAUCUUGAGCGGUGAACAUGUGGCUUUAUUCAUAUCUCAGUAUUUUCCACUACACUACAAUUAUUGACACCCUUCAAUUUGAACCCGAUUUCAACUCAAUUUAAUGAUUUUGGACCUGGAACUUACCAAAAUUUACUUAGACCUAGCAGUUCUCGUUCUAUUCUUCUUUGGAAACGAUUAUUACAUGUAUAUAACUAACUUUUUUUGCUCAUAUGCAAGUUACUUUUUUGGGAUUGACUUUUCCGAUUCUGUUGCUAUCGUGGGCUUUCUUUUUUCCUGGUCAGGUUAACAAAGUCAUGAAAUAUUUCGAUAUCUAUUGACAGGAAUUAUAUGAGAAUAAGAUCGUGUUUGGCUCUGGACAAAAGAAGUGUCAAUUCUGUAAGGUAAGACCUCUAGAAUUAGUAGCAUAAGAGUCAACUUGGGUAAUUGGCUUCUUUUUACUAAUCCUUCUCUUCUACUCUGUUACUGUGAACUUUCCAACUAUUUUUCUACAGUGAGAUAACAGUUUUCAUGUCUGUAGGGAACAUGCUCUAUAGGUGUGGAUUGAUCCUUAUAUUUGCACUUUCUUUUAAAUGCAUACUGCAUAAUUUUCAAUGAACUUGACAUGUCAUAGACAUACGCUUUGGUGAUGUUUAUAUUCGUCCAUAAUUAGUUCAAUGAUGCAUUUGCUUGGCACAGAUGGAUGUGACAUAAACAUAUGCUACUCCAUUAUAUCAUUUUUCUUUUUAUUGGGUAAAGUAUGAAUUGUUGGACUGCUUAUUACCUACUCAAUUAUAUAGCUCCUGUGUGGUUUAGAUGAAAAUAAUAUUUUUAGUAGAUUUUUGAUAAAAGUUGAUGAAAAUAUAUGGUUGAAAAAUUAUGGGUCCAAUAAAAUGUGUUAUUAAAAUUAAUUGUUGACUUUUACUUGUAUUUUAAUCCAAACUUUUAGCUGAAACAAAAAGGGGCAUCAUUACACUUGGUAACUUUCUGUUUAAAGAAUGAGUUGUACAGCGUGAUUUACAAGGCAAAGCAUUUCGUUCUUUUUCUUUAAUCUAGUCUUUCUGGUAGACUGCUUACUAAGAAAUUAUUUUAAGCUUUCACGAUAUCUUUUCAUAAGAAGUCGAUAUCAAAAUAUUGAAGAAAGCCUGACAGUCUUGAUUUGUUGCUCUUCUGGUAAUUAAUUGAUCCUGAUAACAAUUGUAUCCAUUUCUCUUAGCAAUUCACUUUUUGAGUAAAUGAAAAGUUAAUUAUUCUACACCGAUUAAUCCUUUAAUUUUCCUAUAUUAUGUAAAGGAAGCUCAGCUACAAGAAUUUUCUCCAAAUCAAUUGUGUAUUUAGCUCACAUGCUUCAAUGACAAUAAAUAGAUAAAUAAGGAAAUAGAUAAGUUUUUUUGUGUUAAAACGACAAAUGAAUGCACUAUUCCUUGAUGUGGUAAAAACUCUUCUGCUUCAAGUUUUAUUUUGUUUUUUGCCCCAGCCAUCGUUCUGUACUUUCCUAUUCGUGCAUCAUGAUAAAAUGCUGCUUUAUUUUCCUCUCGGCCGCAGUUAUUACACUUAAACUACCAAUACCCAACCUUUUUGACUUAAGCUGCUUUUAACAUAUUGGGCAGCAGAGCAAGUAAAGACAACAAUUUAUAACAUUUAUAACAUUUUGGUAGAGAAGUAAAGACAACAAUUUAGCCCCUGUUUGGUGCAAAUUAAAAUCUUAGAGGGUGUUUGACAUUCAUUCUUAUGGAAAAAUAAAUUUUAGAAUAGUAGAUUGAUGGAGAAUGUGUGAAUGAAACAUAAGGAAAUUUUUUUAUUUAUGUGUAAUAAUAUUUUAAUAAAGAAUGUGUAGUUAAAAAGAAGAGAGAAAAAAUAUAUUUUGAUAAAAAUGAGAUCAAAUAGGGCCCUGAUUUUAAUCGAAGUUAAAAUCAACAACUAAUUUUAAUUACACAUUUUAUAGGAUCCACAACUUUUCAAUCACAUAUUUCAAUGACUUUUAUCAAAAUCUACUAAAAAUUUGAUUUUAAUUCCCACCAAAUAAGGGCUUAAUAUGUGACGAUGCAUUCUUAUGAAAUGUUUGUUUAUACACUUCAUCACAGGCUCAAACACGACUCUAACUUUUGACCUCGUGGAACCUAUUGGUAGGUAGGAGUUGCUAGUAUUUAUAGGCUUGAUUGAAAAAUAUCUUCUAUUUAGGUUCACCCCUGACCAAAUAGUCAAUUGAUGAUAUAAUUAAAUAUUUUUAGGUUAAGAUAAAUAAAUUAGACUACUUUGAAGAGAUGGGUCUAUUUAAAUGAAUAAUUUUGACUUAAUUGAAAAGGCUAAACCUAGUUAAUUACCCUAAUUAAAAGUUAGUAGGUCCAAAUCCACUAAGAUUAAUUAAUUUUGGAUUGUAUUUUGUAUACAUAAUAGUUUACAGAAUGUUUUACAUAUACAUAAUGUUGUAAGAUAUGAUUUGACAUACUUUCUUAAAUAAAUAAAUAAAUAAAUAAAACUUCACCACUUUUUUUUUACAUCUUAUCUGUAUGUAAAUUAUUGUGUAACUUCAUUAUGUAUAAGUAACAUUAUUCAUUAUUUUUAAUGGUCAUAAUUACGGGGAGGAAUGCUACCUAAAUUUGUGUAACUAAUCACUAAUUUCUCUGUUACAUUAAUUAAUUUUUAAAGCAGCCUUAAUGUGUGUGCUCAUUUAUUUACAUGCUAUCGCACUUUCAUUAUCUUAAUUAUAACGAUUUUGAUAUAAACAGACCACUAAUGUAGGUUUAUCUUGCUAGCCUUCACAUUGAAGUACAUAAUAUGAAGUGCGAUAUAUAGAUCAUGCUUUAUUAUAGUUUCUUUUCACACCCCUUCUACACAUGCACUCAUUCAAAUCGAUAUAAUCUUGCUGCAUUUGUUCCUUGGUGCACAAGGUUUUACAGUGUGGAGGAAGACGGAAGUGAUAAUAAGUGAUACCGCUGAUUUCUCUAUUCUUUGUGCAAGACAAAUCAGACCGUUGGGUGUUCAAUAUCAAUUUUUUAUUCUGACCCACCUGACUCCCUUGUCAGACAAUUAUAGUACCAUAAUACGUUGUAGAUGCCAAUGCCCAAUUUUGCCCCUGUUGUCAUUUACAUAUUAUUCAUAUAAAGUAUCGAUGAGGGCUAAAUUGACUUUUCGUAAAUGCUAAAGGCAUAAACAGCUUAAAAAUUGGCAAACAAGCAGUUUUAAAAAUAUGGUGGGGCCGGUGAUUUGACACAAAAAUCAAUUUUUUCCAGCAUAAUUUUUUUUCCCAGACAGGCGCUUAACCACGAAUCAUGGAUCAACCAUUGGAUCUUAAGGAGGUUUGGCAUUUAAUCAGUUUCGACGUGUAAAAUUUUUCUUACGGGUAUAUACUAGGUUUUCAAUUCCAAUGAGUUAUUGAUAAUAUGAAAUUUUUUCCAUCCAAGUAGUAGGCCAGAAACUUGCUUGCUUCUUAUUAACAUGUAGCAGCUGUUUUUUCGAAAGUGAGAGCCGUUCAUAUUUACCGUUCAGUUAUGAAUCAUAUGAUAUGAUAACAGGCUUAUGUUUUACUUCCCCCUAUCGACAGAAUGUGGCUAGCCAACAUAUGCCUGAUCUAACCGAUGAAUUAAUGAAGAAAGGAAAGCACUGUAUAUUGAUAGAAAACCCCCUUGAUAUUUUGGUAAGUUCACAUGUUUUAUGCAUUCAAAUAUGUACACAUCUUAUUUUAAUUUUUCUCACAAUCUAGUGUGAUAUAAUGAUUUUAACAUUUACUGCAUCGUUUAAUGCCUCUUAAUUCAUAUGGAGGCCCAGUUUUACGUUUAGGAAGUGAACAAACUUAUCAAAAGAAAUGGUUCAUUGAGGUUGAGAAACUAUACGUGGAAUUGAUGGAAUACGUGGCUUAAUUUUUCUUCAAUUUUCUUGUUAUCAUGUUCCAUCCUUCUUACUUAUCAUUUCAAUGAUCGUAAAUUUGUCUGCUGUCAUGUUAGCCAUCCUUUGACAAGGUUUCGCCCCCAUCAUUCAUGGAGCUGGGGUAUGCUAGCUUAGUCUCCAUUUACAGCGAGCUGUGUGCACAAGGAAAAUCUCCUUCCAUCAUUGACGGAGCCCUACUUCAAAAUGAUCCCGAGGUUUCACACAAUUCUGAAAACUGAAUAUUCUACUUGUAGUUCUUUCCUUUUCUUUGUUUUUUUGAUAUACAAAAUUAUACACGGUGGUGAUUCUUGUCUUAGACCUGACUAGAAAUUCUUGCGACGUUUAGAUAUUUAUUUGCUUCUUUUUGAAGUGAAUAUCAGUCUUAAGUUGCUUUCUCCAGAAUCAUUUACUGUUCACUUCUUGUAUGUUGAUUUGUUAAUUAUUAGUUAUCGAGAUAGAAGGGUCAUCAGUCAUGCCAGCAUGGUUUAUUAUGAGCAUAUUUUUGUAAUCUUAUUUUUAGAAUUAUUUUGUUAUUUUGGCAUCUCGUAGCGCCUCAAGGAUUACGCCUCACCUUACUAUUAUAUUGAAUAGCCAUCAAUAAGAUUUUUUUCAUUGACAAUUAUGUCUAGUACUCUAUUUUCCCUUUUUUGUUUCUAUGUGUCCAAUGUUUAAACAAGCAUAAUCAGGUAAUAGAACAACUUACCAAUUAUCCUAAAAAUACAAUCUCUAAUUAGUUACAAUUUCCAUUCCGGAAAACCAUUCCAUACAAGAUUGUUUUUCUACACUCCCCCUGAAGUUAGACUGUAGAUAUUGACCAAGCUCAACUUGCGGUUGAAAUCAUCGAAUAUUUGUUUCGAUAAUCAUUUAGUAAACAUAUUUGCUAUUAGCUCUUUUGUAGGAACAUGUCAUAUAAAUAAUUCCAUCAUCCAUCUUUUCCUUUAUAAAAUGUCUGUCCACUUCUACAUGCUUGAUUUUAUCAUACUGUACUGGGUUGAGAGAAAUGUUGAUCACCACUUUAUUGUCACAAUAAAGUUUGAUUGGAAACUCCAUUUUGACUUUCAGUUCUUUAUCCAUAAUCCUUUGCAUAUUCCUUGUGCAACCACUCUAAAUUCAGCCUCUACACUGCUACGCGCCACUAUAUUCUAUUUCUUGCUUUUUCAAGUUAUCAAAUUUUCCUAUACAAAGGUAUGGUAACUAGUAGUAGAUCUGUCUUCUUUUAAUCUAGCCCUCUUAUUUUUCUCGAAGACUAAUCCUUUCCUAGAGGCGCCUUUUAAAUAUCUGAGGAUUUUAUAUACUGCCUCUAGGUGAGCUUCUUUGGGAAAAUGCAUAUGCUGACUGCCAAAGUUAUGUCAUGUCUCGUGUGUGAUAGAUAGAUUAACUUGCCAGCUAGUUUUUGAUAUAUGUCUAUUUCCGCUAAGUUUCUUGUGUCCUUUGAUAAUUUACCCACCUCAAUAGGUUUGUCGCUUGGCUUGCAUCCCAGCAUGCCCAUUUCAUUUAAGAGGUUAAGAAUGUAUUUCCAUCAAGAAACACUAACACUCUUCUUUGAUCUUACAACUUCCGUCCCUAAGAAGUGCCACAUUUGUCUUAGGUCUUUUACCUCAAACCCAGCGGCUAAGCAUCACUUCACUAUCUCCAUUUCAACUAUGUUUUCCCUUGUUAGGAUUAUAUGAUUCACUUAUACGAUUAGGAUAGUUUUCACCUCAUCUUUGGAUUGUUGAAAGAACAUGGUGUGAUUUGACUGCCCUUGCUGGUAUCCUCGACUUUUUAAUACUUUAGCAAGUCUAUUGAACCAUGCUCUUGGUAAUUGUUUGAGGUCAUAUAGAAACUUCUUGAGUUUACACACUUAAUUUUUCUCAUUUAUGUUGUUGAAGCCCGGUGGUAUUGUCAUAAAGACUUCUUUUUCUAGUUCUCUAUUGAAAGAGGCAUUCUUAAUGUCUGGCUGUUGAAGAGGUUAGUCUAGAUUUAAUUCUAAUGUCUGGAAAACUCGAACUGUAUUGAGUUUUGCCACUGGCACGAAUGUCUCUAUGCAGUUGAUGCCAUUGGUUUGAGUGUAUCCUUUGGUAAUUGGAUGAAGUUUAUGGCGUUCUAUUAUCCCAUCCGUCUUGUACUUUACAUUAAAGAUCCAAGGUCUCGUAUACCCUCUCAUUCUCCUGCCGUUUUUUGUACGGGGGUAUUAUCUUGUGGGCGCUUAAAUUCUUCGUCGACACUGAGGUCCAAUUCCUGCUAGAGUGAGACCCUCUUCAUGUAGUAGUCCGUAACAUCUUGUGAGCCUUGCCUCGUUUCCCAUAAUUAGUUUUUAAUUUCGAAGAUGUGUGAAGAAUCUUCUAUGGGAAACACAAAUUUUAACGUUUUAGUAGACAAUGAACUAUUCAUGAAAUGGUUCAAUAAUAUUUUUUAUGUUUUGUGGACUGCAAGCCUUGAGGCUGUAUUGGGAGGCAACGCUGAGACAUAAGUCUCCAAAAACUGCCUCACAAUCAACACCUUGAGGCCUUUUUUUUGCACCCCUCACCCGGAGGCAGUGUGAUGUAGGAUUAGAUAAACACAAACACAGAACCAGUCACAUAGGAGGAGAGGGGAGAAGUAGAAACCAAAGAGGAAAGAUGAAGAAGGAGAAGGAAGAAAGAAGAGGGUGGUGGAAGUCUGCAACACUCAAUUUUCAUUCAGCCAUCAAAUCUGCCCCCCCAUGCAUAAAAGGUUCCAUACUUCUAUACAAUACAAAGCAUAAAAGGGCUUGGGCCAGCCCAAUACAUGAUACAAGCCCAAAAACAAAAUAAAAGGUUUGGGCAAGCCCAAAACAUAAUACAAGCACAAAUAAAAUACUAACUAAAUAGUCUAAGCUAGAUGUCCUCAUCAACUCUCCCGGGGUGGAAGAAAACUCGACUCUGUCGAGGGAAUAACUCAUAAAAGGCUACAGUCAGUCGCCCAACCAUAAGCUGAGUGGUUGGACAAACCUCUUCCGACGUUCAUAUACACGUGUGAUAGGUGGUCUGGGCAAUAGAAAAUCAUGCUGACUCCUAUAAAGCUCCAACAAGUCAGGAUUAAGUUGUUGGAGUGUGAUGUAGAAUGAAUAACAAAGAAAGAAGAAGGGGAAGUGAGGAGAAGAGAAGAGGGGAAGAACACAAAGAGGAGAAACGGGGUUGUAGCCAAACUUUUAUUCAAUCAAAUUCAUCAUCUCAAUAAUAAUGUAAAAUAGGUUUAAAUACUGAAAAUACUACAAACCUAAAAGAUAGGACCAAGCCCAAUACACAAGUCCAUAAAAAUAAAAUAACCCAAGUCCAACUAAGAAAUAAAAGUCCAACUAAAAUAAUUAAAACUGGGAUGUCCUCAUCAAUUCUCCCGGGGUGGGAGAGAAAACUCGACCCUAUCGAGUGGCCAUAUCACCAUAGGCAUCCGUCAAUCUCCCAACCAUAGGCUGAGUGGCUGGGCAAGCUUCUUCCGGCAUCUGUAGAAAUGCGUCAGUGGUGGUCUGAACCUGGUGUCCUCAUCAACUCCCCUCGGGUGGACGGGAGGCGAUCUGGGUCAAUGAAGAUCCUGUUGACUCCGAUAAAAUUCUAAUAAAUCUGGAUCCAAUUGCUGUAGUGUCUCCCUGGAGAUCCAUGCACAGUCACAAUCUGGUCGACCAACCCAACAAACAAGGAAGCGCUGAACCUCUCCAUCAUUAGUGAGCACAGUUUCUUCAUCUAAAAUAGCAUAAAUUUUUUCUUUGUGUGCUGUGAGAGAUGGUAGUGGGUUAGAAGGGGCCAAAGAAUCAGGAUCAAGGUCCACAAAAGGAGAUGACAGAGGAUCAUCUGAGGGAAUGAAAUGGCCUUUAUAAGUUACAAGGUCCUCAACAUUGAAAGUAGAGUGGUAACCAAGGUGUGGUGGAAUGUCAACAAUAUAUGCAUUUGGGCCAACCUGCUUUAAAAUUUUAAAAGGACCAGCACUACGAGCUUGCAAUUUAGAGGCGGGUCUAUGUAGACGCCGCUCUGGCCUAAUGCGAACCAUAACGUAAUCCCCAAUGUUAAACUCAAUAUGUCAUUUGUGUAAAUCAGCUUGGAGUUUAUAUUUUGCAUUACUAGCUUCAAGUUGUUUAUUGAUCUCAAUAUGCAAGUCACGAAGAUGUUGUGCAAAUGUUUCGGCUGAUACUGACACUCUAGCCUGUGGGGACAUAGGGGUGAGAUCUAACGGUUUCCUAGGCUUGUACCCAUGAACAGCUUCAAAUGGACUCAUGCCUAAUGAACGAUUUAUGGAGCUAUUAUAUGCAAUUUGAGCUACAGGAAGGAUCAAAUCCCAAUUCCGAAGGUUUUCCCGGUUCAGACAACGUAAUAGGGUACCAAGACUUCGAUUAACUACUUCAAUUUGACCGUCAGUCUGAGGGUGGUAGGCCAUAGAAAAUUUCAAUUUGGUACCCAUCUUAUGCCACAAAGUUCUCCAAAAAUGGCUAGUGAAACGAACGUCCCUAUCAGACACGAUGGUCUUGGAAAGCCAAUACAAUUUGACAAUUUCAUUAAAGAAUAACAGGGCAACCUUGGACGCAUCCGACGUCUUGCUACAGGGGAUGAAAUGAGCCAUCUUUGAGAAGCGAUCGACAACCACAAAAAUAGAAUCAUGCUUCUUUGGGGUGCGUGGAAGUCCUAACACAAAAUCCAUACUAACAUCUUACCAAGGACAAUUAGGGACAGGGAGAGGGGUGUAUAGACCCGUGUUCUACUUCUUCUGCUUACUCAAUUGACAAGUGUUACAAGUGCUAACAAUCUUAGCCACGUCUUUCUUUAAGCUAGGCCAAUAGAAUUGACGUUCAACUUCCUCUAUGGUCUUAUCACGUCCAAAAUGACCGGCUAACCCUCCCGCAUGAAUUUCUCACACGAUGAAAUCUCGCACUGAAGUUCAAGGGAUGUACAAUUUAUUGGCUCUAAAGAGAUAACCUUCCUCAAGUCGGAAGCUAUCUGUGGCGCCUGAUUGUCCCCUUUGUAAAUCAAGAAAGAUAUCUUUAAAAUCGGGACACGCCUCGUAAUCCUCCUUAAGUCUUUCAAAAUCGAUGACCUGGAUACUCAUGAUCGACAAAAGGGAGACACGGUGACUUAAUGCAUCAGCUGCUUGGUUCUCUACGCCCUUCUUGUGUUUUAAGACAAAUGAACGCAAAUAUUCGACCCAACGACCAUGCCUAGAACUUAAUCUUUUCUGGGAGUUGAGGUAACGGAGGGCCUCGUGAUCCGAAUAAAGGACAAAUUCCUGGAGUAACAAAUAGUGGCGCCAAUAGUGCAAAGCCUGGACCACUGCAUACAAUUCCUUAUCAUAAGUUGAGUACCGCUGUUUGGCUUCAUUUAACUUCUCACUGAAGUAGGCAACAUGGUUACGAUCCUGACUUAAGACUCUGCCUAUACCUACCCCGGAGGCAUCACAUUCAACUUCAAAGACUUUGGAAAAGUCGGGAAGGCGCAUAACAGGAGCCUCCGUCAUUCACUUCUUGACUAACUUAAAGGCCUUAGCCACCUCUUGUGUCCAAUGAAACUCUCCUUUCUUCAUGCAUUCCGUGAUAGGCGCCAUAAUAGUGCUAAACCCCUUAAUAAAGCGAUGGUAAAAUGUAGCUAAGCCGUGAAAGCUUCUGACGUCAUGAAUAGCAUUAGGCUCAGGCCAGUCAAUAAUCGCCUGAACCUUAGCAGGAUCAGCAGAUACUCCUGUCGAAGAGACAAUGAAAUCCAAAAAACGACUGUAUUGGUGAAGAAAGAGCACUUCUUGACGUUAGCACAUAGAUUAGUUGCGUGAAGGGUAGAGCAGACUUGUGUGAGGUGGUCAAGGUGUCGCUCCUUAGACUCACUAUAGAUGAGGAUAUCAUCAAAGUAGACAACAAGAAACUUUCCCAUGAAAGGUCGGAGAGUUUGUGUCAUUACCCGUAUAAAGGUACUUGGUGCAUUACUUAGCCCAAAAGGCAUGACCAGCCAUUCAUAAAGGCCAUUUUUCGUUUUAAACGCGGUCUUCCACUCAUCACCUGGGCGAAUUCGAAUAUGAUGGUAUCCACUCUUCAGAUCGAUCUUCGAAAAGAUUGUGGCACCAACCAUCAUGUCUAAUAUAUCGUCAAGUCUAGGAAUGGGAAAAAGAUACUUCACCGUAAUCCUAUUGAUCGCGCAACUAUCCACACACAUCCUCCAAGAACUAUCCUUCUUGGGCGUCAACAGGGUGGGGACAGCACACGGGCUUAAACUCUCACGAAUGAAUCUUUUGUGAAGGAGAUCAUCCACUUGCCUUUGAAGUUCAGCGUGCUCGGUAGGGUUCAUCUUAUAAUGAGGUAAAUUUGGGAAGGAUGCCCCUGGAACGAAGUUUAUGGCAUGUUGAAUAUCCUUAGUGGAGGUAAAUGAUCAGGUAGGUCCUCCGGAAAGACGUCUCGAAACUCUUGGAGGACCGAUAGGACUUCAACAGGGCUCUCGAUUGUGGAGUGUGAUGGGACCUCCAUGACCACCAAAGCGAACACAACUGAGUCACCAACAAGUGUACGCUCAAACUCCGUAGGACUAAUGAUGUGCGAUCCCUUUCGUUCCACACUUUUCUUCGUUUCCAGUGGGCCAACAGGCUUCGGAGGCAGUGGGUUAAGGUGAAUCUUCUUUCCAUUAAACACGAAGGAGCAGGAAUUGGAUCGACCAUAGAUGGUUAUGUCUAGGUCAAAUAACCAAGGUCGUCCCAAUAUGAUGUGCCCGACGUCCAUUGAAAUGACGUCACACCAUAUAUGGUCCUUAUACUCGAGAAAUUGGAUAGGGACUAAACAAUGCUCCUUGACAGAUAUGGAGGAGGUAUCAACCCAAGAGACGAUGUAUGGCUGAGAGUGAGGAACAGACUUCAACCCUAGAUGGGAUACAGUAGCCAUCGAAACCGCAUUAAUGCAGCUGCCACUAUCCACGAUAACUUUACAGCCCUUAUUAUUAAUCUUGAUGUAAGUGUGGAAGAUGGCAUGACGGCGCCAAUCAUCGGCAUUCCUAGACUGGGUAAGAGUACAACGGACGACACCGACUCUAGGUGUAUGUGGGAUAAGGGGACAAGCCUGGAUACAACCCAAGAAGGUAUCUUCACUAUCCUCCAAGUCAUCAAACUCUUCUAACUUAGGCUCAUAAACCUGAUCUUCUAGUGGCUCGUCAACUAUACCUUCACGCUCUUCCAAAACUAGGGCUCGACUAGGACACUUAGAAGCAAUGUGACCAAAACCCUUACAGUUGAAGCAUUGCAAACGAGAGGAUGUUCUUGAAACCUCAGAACUUCUACCUUUACUAUCCGAUGUAGGGAUAGUAUUAGAAGGAGGUCCUAAAAUAGACAUAGGGGAUGGAGUAGAUGCAGAAGAGGUUGUAGUGCGUGAGUCACUACGACUUUUGUACGGUGUCCUAGUCACUAACUCGUAAUCCCGAACGAAAGAGUAGGCGUGGUCAAGAGUGGUGACACCUCUAAGAACAAGCUCACGUCUAAGAUCAUCCCGUAGGCCUUGACCUAAACCUACUCAAAGUCAUGAUUUCAUCCUCAACGACCUGACAUCUCAUUCAAAACUCGUCAAACUGAGCAACAUAUUUGGUCACAGGUCGACUGCCUUGCGUAAGUGCGUUCCAUUGAUCCAGCAAGUUGCCCCUGUAAGAUUGAGGUAAAUAUUUUUCUUCAAGACGACGCUUCAUUUCAUUCCAGUUCCCAACAGGGGGAGCAUGACGCCUCUUUAGGAGGUCCUCAACACUUUCCCAAAACAGUUGAGCUGUGCCAGUUAAUUUCAAACUGACAAAUUGUACCCUCCGAUCUUCAGGGAACCUAUACCAGGCAAAAAAGCGAUCAAUAUCUCUAACCCAUUGAUUGAAUACACUAGGAUCUAGACAACCAUCAAAUGUAGGGGCAUCUAACUUAAUAUUUCGAAAGAGGCGCUCCUCGUGACGAGGGGGAGAUAGUGUACCAUGACGGUGAUAUUCCCGCUCACGUCCACGAGCUUGAUUUCCUUCCCUACGAUCAUGUCUAGCAUGGUGUCGACCACCUUGUGGACGACGAUGUGGUCUAUUAAUGGAAGCGACAGAAUUUUCAGCCUCAGUUGAGGAUUGGGUUAGGUCAAGAGUGUUUACCCUAGCGGUUAGGGCUCUAUUCUCCUCACGAGUAGCGGCUAACUCAGUUUGGACAGCCGUUAAUUAUUUUUUAAUUGUGCUAAUUGUCGGGUGAUAGCUUCAAUGUGGGAAGGGUCCAUGGCAAGGGUACUAGAGCUAGAGGCAGUAACGCGACCACUGCGCAAUUGCAUACACGGUAACACAAACUAGGUGAAGUGCCUACUGAGAUCAACAACCAACAAGUGCCAGCCGGGAAAAUAGUGACUGAAAUUUAUCUAUUGUUAUUAUUAUUAUUUUAUUUUAUUGUAGGGAUUACGUAUGGUCCGAUCGCAAGCUAAUACUACUAAUGCCAAUUAAAUAAAAAGGCAAAGGUACAAAUGUUAGGUCUAGUCACGUGGGGUAAACGAGUGAACAAUGGGGUCGGCUCGUGAAUUUCAAUCGAAUAGAUUUAAGGCUAAAUUAUCAAAAUAUUAGCAACACAAAGAAUUAAAUGAUGCAAUUCUAAAAUACAGUAACAGUGUCGCUAAAAAAAUAGAUAGGAGCAGAGGCUCCCUGAGUUCAGUUGGCCUGAGUCGUCCUAGCGUCGAAUGCCUCCACUUUCUGAACUGUUAAGCUCUGAGAUGCCAAGAUAGAAAAUUCCGUAUUCGUCGAGGAAAUAAUGUACCUAUAAAAGAAUGUCAGGAAAUUCUCAAAAUUAUUAUUAUGAUUAUUAUUUUUUUAGCUCUUUUUUUUUUGCUCCUUUCUUUUUUUUUUUUAAUAAUACAAAAUCAGAACAACAAAAUAAUAAAUGAGCCAACUUCACAAAUUUUGGGCCUAAAUCACACUCAAAAUCUCAAUCGAGCCCAAGCCCAAGCAAUAACUAAUAAAUCCAACCCGACUGAAAUCAAACCCAAAUCCAAGUGAUACAAAUAAACGAGCCCGAUUGAAAUUAAGCCCAAAACCAAUUGAUAACUAAUAAACCAAUCCGAUUAACUAAUAAACCAAUCAAGCCCAAACCAUAACUCAUAAACCAACCCGAUUGAAAGCCGUGAGAAAGAAAACUCUCGCCGAUAUUCUUCUUUCUGCUGAAGAAAUCAUCGCCGAUUGAGCAUUAAAUCGCUCGCAGACAAAAUUUUCGGCAAAGUCAAAGAAAUGGAUGUUAUAAAAUCGCAGCAAAUAUCGGCAUGGCCAAUCGACAAGGUGGUAGUGCAUCCGCUAGUGCUGCUGAGCAUCGUCGACCACUACAACCGUGUUGCACGCGACAGCAAGAAGCGCGUUGUUGGUGUUCUUCUUGUAACUUCCUUCAAAGGCACCUUGACGUCACUAACAGCUCUGCAAACUGUAGAUGGGUGACUGGAAGUUUGGCUACUGGAGGUAUUUAGUGGCGGUAAUGGAUUUAUAUUGGUUGCUGAAUAUGGAGGUGGUCGCAGUGGUGGUCGUCACUUUGGAGGUGGCGGCCGAUGAUUUUUUAGGGUUGCGAUUUGGGGAGAAUUGUAGCAGCAGUUUUUGGUGAUGACGGUUUUGGAUUUUGUAGUAGGGCAACUGGAAUUUUUUUUUUUAUUGCAGUGAAAAUUCCCAAGUUUCGCUCUGAUACCAAUUUGAUGUAGAAUGAAUAACAAAGAAAAAAGAAGGGGAAGUGAGGAGAAGAGAAGAGAGGAACCAGGGAAGAACACAGAGAGGAGAAACGGGGCUGUAGCCAAACUUUUAUUCAAUCAAAUUCAUCAUCUCAAUAACAAUGUAAAAUAGGUUUAAAUACUGCAAACCUAAAAGAUAGGGCCAAGCCGAAUACACAAGUCCAUAAAAAUAAAAUAACCCAAGUCCAACUAAAAUAAUUAAAACUGGGAUGUCCUCAUCAGAGUGUCUCUCUAGGGAUCCAUGUGCAAUCAGAGUCAAGUCGUCCCACCCAACGAACAAGAAAGCGGUGAAUUUUUCCAUCAUUGGUCAACAUAAUCUGUUCAUCUAAAAUAACAUCAAUCUUAUCUUUGGGUAUUGUGAUAGGGGCGUUGAAGUAGGGGUAGCAAUAGGUUCAGGUUGAAAGUUAACAGCUGGGGAUAGAAAAGGGUCAUCAGAGGGCUUAAAAUGGCUUUUAUAAGCAACUAAAUCCUCAACAUUGAAAGUAGAGUGGUAGCCAAAAUGUGAUGGAAUAUCAAUGACAUACGCAUUUGGACCAACAUGCUUUAAGAUUUUAAAAGGACCAACGCUACGAGCUUGCAAUUCGAAAGCGGAUCCACAUGGACGUCGUUCCGGUCUAAUUCGGAUCAUCGCAUAAUCCCCAAUUUUAAACUCAACAUGUCGUUUAUGCAAAUCAGCUUGAAGUUUAUAUGAUGCAUUACUUGCCUCUAAUUGUUUAUUGAUCUCAAUAUGCAAGUCAUGAAGAUGUUGUACAAAUGUCUCAGCUGACACAGACACAUUAGCAUGUGGAGACAUAGGGAUAAGGUUUAAAGGCUUACUAGGUUUAUAACCAUGAAUAACUUCAAAAGGACUCGUGCUAAAGACUGAUUCACAGAACUGUUAUAUGCAAUUUGGGUUAUCGAGAGGAUUAAAUCCCAGUUCCUCAGAUUUUCCUAAACUAGAUAUCUUAAUAGGUUAACAAGACUGCGAUUAACAACUUCAAUUUGACCAUCGGUCUAAGGAUGAUACGCAAUGGAAAAUUUCAACUUAGUGCCAACCAUGUGCCAUAAGGUUCUCCAAAAAUGGCUAGUGAACCGAUCAUCCCUAUCCGACACAAUGGUCUUAGGAAGACCAUACAAUUUAACAAUCUCAUUAAAGUACAACCUAGCAACCUUAGACGCAUUUGAAGUCUUGCUACAAAGGAUGAAGUGGGUCAUUUUCGAGAAACGAUCCACUAUAACAAAAAUAGAAUCAUGUUUCUUUGGAGUAAGUGGGAGUCCUAGUACAAAAUCCAUACUGACGUCUUGUCAAGGACAACUAGGGACGGGAAGAGGUAUGUAAAGACCAGUGUUUUGUCUCUUUAGUUUAGCCAACUGACAGGUGUUACAAGCACUAACAAUCUUGGCUAAAUCUAUCUUCAAACGAGGCCAAUAAAAUUGACGUUCAACCUCUUCGAUUGUCUUAUUAAGUCCAAAAUGCCCAACCAGGCCUCCCACAUGACUUUCCCAAACUAUAAAGUCUCGUACUAAAGUCCGAGGGAUGCACAAUUUAUUGGACCAAAAAAGAUAAGUCUAGACGAAAACCAUCAGUAGCAUUCAAUUGUCCACUUUGCAACGCAAGGAAAAUGUCCUUGAAAUCGGGAUAUGACUCACAAUCUUCUUUGAGUCGUUCAAAACCUAUGACCUUGACACGCAUAUUGGUUAAAAGUGAAAUGCGGCGGCUUAAAGCAUCUGUCGCUUGAUUUUCGCCCUUUUUAUUCUUCAAAACAAAAGAAUAGGCUUGCAAACACUCGAUCCAACGACCAUGCCUAGCAUUCAACCUCUUUUGGGAAUUAAGGUAGCGAAGUACCUCAUGAUCUGAAUAAAGAACAAAUUCCUAGGGUAACAAGUAAUGACGCCAAUAGCGUAAAGUUUGUACGACUGCAUACAACUUCUUGUCAUAAAUCGAGUACCGUCGUUUGGCAUCAUUUAAUUUCUCACUGAAAUAAGCAAUAGGGUGGCGUUCAUGGCUCAAAACUCCAUCUAUCCCUACCCUAGAGGCAUCACAUUCAACCUCAAAAACUUCAGAAAAAUCAGGAAUUAGCGUGACUGGAGCUUCUGUCAUUCACCUCUUAACCAACUUAAAUGUUUUGGUCGCUUCGUGCGACCAAUGAAAUUCCUCUCUUUUCAUGCAUUCCGUAAUAGGAGCCAUAAUCGUGCGAAACCCUUUAAUGAAACGACGAUAAAAGGUAGCUAAACCAUGAAAACUCCGAACGUCAUGUAUAGUCUUGGGCUCAGGCCAACCAACAAUGGCCUGAAUCUUUGCAGGGUCAGCAGACACUCCUAUCGCGGAGACAAUAAAACCUAGAAAUACAACAACUUUAUCUGUGAAGAAAGAACAUUUCUUCACAUUAGCAUACAGGCUUGUAGCACGAAGGGUAGAACAAACCUGCAUGAGACGAUCUCUAUGUUGUUCCCUAGUUUUACUGUACACGAGAAUGUCAUCAAAGUAGACAAUGAGGAAUUUACCCAUGAAUGGUUGCAAAGCUUGUGUCAUUACUCUCAUAAAAGUACUCGGGGCAUUGGUUUGCCCAAAAGGAAUGACCAACCACUCAUAAAGACCAUCCUUCGUUUUAAAGGCAGUAAUACAAGUGGAGGUUUGACAAGGGUUCAAUCAUGUAAUUUCAGGCAAAGUAAUAUAAUAGCAGAAUAUAAAAUUAAUUGAUGCGAUUUAAAUUAACAGUAAUAUAGACCAAAUAUAGAUAAAAAUAGUAACUCCCCCUUUUUUUGUUCGCUGAAGCAACUGACCGAUCAACAAGACAAUAAGAGGUACCUGCAAAAUAAUGUUAAAAAAUAAUUUUUUCAUUUUUUUGGCUUUUUCUUUUCUUUUCUUUUUCUUUUUUUUUUAAACUUACAAAAUCAAAUAAAUAAAUCUAUUACAAAUCAAGGCCCAAACACUAAUAGAGGCCUAAACUACCAAUCAUUCCAUUGUAUACAUGCCCACUCACCAAAACACACAAACAGACAGAGGCCCAAUCCAUUAUGUUUAGGAGAGAGAGAGAGAUCGAGCAAAACUUUUAGGGCUGCUGGCGAAAGAGAUAUCAGCCAUUGGUUGUUGAAUAGCGACGGCGAUGUAGAUCCUCGACGGCAGUUUGGAUUUGCAGCGACGGUCGUGGUGGUGUAUUUUGAAUUGCUGAUACGGAAUAUGGGUGACUGAUUGUGAAUAAUUACUGGUGGCGAUUGGGGACGGGAUUUCAUGAUUGUGGUGGUGGUCGGCAAAGGAAGGAGUUAACUAUUUGGUUCGUCAGUUUAACAGUAGUCGGCAGGUAGUGAAAUUUCUUCGUUACUGUAUUGCCGGCGGUUACUGUUCAUUGCGUAGAAUUAGGAGUUUCGUUGGAUGUAGUGUGCUAUUAACGAAGGAGGCAGAGUUGUUGACUGGAUUUUGUAGCAACAGGGUUGGAAAUUGCUUUGGCAUAUAUAUGUAAUGGAUGAAAAUGCUGGAAGUUGUAGGGGACUGUGUUUAUAUGCGCGUAUGAUUACUGGGUUUUGUAGCAAGGGAUGAAGUUUGAAGAUGGUGAUACUAGGAUAUGCUGGAUAUGGGAUGUAGAAAAACGACCGAAUCUAGGUUGGGCUCUUAUACCACUUUGAUGUAGGAUUAGAUAAACACAAACACAAAACCAGUUACAUAGGAGGAGAGGAGAGAAGUAGAAACCAGAGAGGAAAGAUGAAGAAGUAGGAGGAGAAGGAGAAAAGAAGAGGGCGGUGGAAGUCUGCAACACUCAAUUUUCAUUCAGCAUCAAAUUUGCCCCCCCCCCCCAUGCAUUGAAAGCUGCAUACUUUUAUACAAUACAAAGCAUAAAAGGGCUUAGGCCAACCCAAUACAUGAUACAAGCCCAAAAACAAAAUAAAAGGCUUGGGUAAGCCCAAAACAUAAUACAAGCCCAAAUAAAAUACUAACUAAAUAGUCCAAACUAGAUGUCCUCAUCACAGGCUUGAGUUUAACCGUGUAUGGCUCCUACAUUUGGAUUAUUUAUCUCACAAUACUUAAAAACUUCUGGAAUUUGUACAAGUUCUGAUCGUUUUCUUUAUAAUUGUUUCUGAUGAAUCUGGUGGUUCAUUUGCUGUACAUGGAGCUUGGGUUUCUGGUACCCACUUGGCUUCUGCAGUCACCCACCAAUUCCUUUCUACCUCAUCAACAUGCAACUUAAAUUGAAUGAUUGAAAGAGAACUGGGGGGCUUGACUAUAUUACUCAGAUAGCCUUUCAUCUUUAGACAUUCUACUAACUUUAGUUUGUUAUAUCAUGUAUUAUGUGAAGCACUAGGUUUCUUGGUAGUUCUAUUUUUGCCAAAGACCUUAGAUCAUAAUCCUUUUAAUCUUAAAUUGACUAAUUAUGAUACAUCUUCUCCACACGCAGGGUACUUUACGCGGUCUAUGUGAAGAUCUUGGUAUUCCAUUUCAAGCUGCGAUGCUCAAGUAAGGCAAAUAUAUCUGAAUGUGUUCUAUUUAUUCAGCCAACAAUACUACUUCCUUUCUGAGCUGUGCAAGAGAAGUAAUAAAUUUUGCAUAUUUCUGCCUUUUGUCUAUUUAAAGAAGAUUAUGGUUGUGAAGAGUCCAAAGGUCUUCUUUUUUUUUUUUGAAGUGAAUAAAGUGUAGAAUAGGGAAGAGAAUCAGGUAAAUGUAAUUGUACUAAAAAAAGGGAAGCAAAUAUGUUGAAACAAGGAAAGUGAGUUAAACAGACCCCCCAAAUAGUCGUGGAAAAAGAGACAGAGAGAAAUGGGAUUCUGCAAAGUUCAUAAAUAAGGAGAUCAUUGCCUCCAUUUCUGGCAUCCCUCUUCAAUAUUUAUUUUUGUUUUCUUUCAAGACUAGAAGCACAUGUAAGAAUAAUUUUUGCACUAAUAACAAUAGAUCCUAUUUAUGUUGACUACGUAUCUAAUAAUAACGUUGGAAAUAAUACAUAUAAACUAUGAUUCUGCUAUUAAGAUAGAAAAACUAGGCAAGGCAAUGUAAAGAAAGGAAAGAAUUCAUUGAAAUUCUAUCUACAAUUAUCCAAUGGCUACAACACAUAUGAGCUGGAAAAACUGAUCAUUCAGAAAUCUGCUAUACGAGCUUGCAGAUAUUCCAACUCUCUCUCUCUCCCCCUCUCUUUCAAGCUGAUGAUAGAUAGUUAUCAUUCUCCUUAGGGUCUGCUUGGGAGUUUUGGGGUACCUUUAUAGAAACGUGGAAUUUUGAAUCAAAUAUUGUAUUCCUUUUUUCAACGAAUAAUUUUACAUCAAUAAGGGCCUUAAUAUAUAGUACAAACAGAGAAUAAAAAAAGGUAAACUUAUAACUAGGGUAAUGUAGAAAUUUACCUAAUCCAACUAAGGUAAAAAACUAACUAUACAAUAUUACAAAAUAUUUCAAUAAUCGGGAUUUCUACAUUGCCCCUCAAAUUGGAUCGUAAAUGUUGACCAUAUCGAAUUUGUAGAUAAAAUCCUCGAAGUUUUGUUGAGAUAGUUCUUUGGCGAAAAUUUCUACGAUCUAUUCUUUGGUAGGUACAUAGGUCAUACGUAUAAUCCCUUUUUCAACUUUUUCUUUGAUGAAGUGUGUGUCCACUUCAACGUGUUUGGUUCGACGUGUUGGACUGGAUUGACGGAGAUGUUGAUAGCUGCUCUAUUAACGCAAUACAAUUUGAUUGGAAAAUUCACCAUAACCCGUAAUUCUUCCAAUAAUUUCUUUAUCCAUGGUUCUUUGCAUAUUCCUUGUGCAACUGCUCUAAACCCAGCUUCAGCAAUACUUUUUGCUACCACAUUCUGCUUCUUACUUCUCCAAGUUACCCUAUACAAAGGUACAAUAGCCAUUAGUCGAUUUUCUGUCUUCUAUUGAUCCAUUCCAUUUGCAUCGGUAAAGACUUCUAGUUCUUUUCUUUUGUUUUUCUCAAAGAAGUGUUCUUUUCCAGGGGUACCUUUGAGAUAUUUAAGGAUUCUGUAAACUGCUUCUAGGUGAGUUUCUCUUGGAGAAUACAUGUGUUGACUUACCACACUAAUAGCAAAUGCAAUGUCAGGUCUUGUGUGUGAGAGAUAGAUUAGCUUGCUAACUAACCGUUGAUAUCUAUCCUUUUCGACUGGUUUUCCCAUGUCUACUCAUUUUCUUCUUGCGUCCAUAGGUGUGUCACUUGGUUUGUAUCCAAACAUGCCCGUUUCGAUCAAGAGAUCAAGAGUGUAUUUACGUUGUGAAACAUUGAUAUCGAUGUGGCUACUUCCAUCCCUAAGAAGUAUCAAUUCCAUCUCGGAUCCUUAACUUCAAAUUCUGCUACCAACUUUUUCUUCAAUCUCUCUAGGUCCACCAUGUUAUCUCCCGUUAGUAUUAUGUCAUCAACAUAUACAAUUAGGAUUGUUUUUGUCCCAUCUUUAGAUAAUUGGUAGAACACAGAACGAUCUGAUUUUUCUUGCUGAUAUCCUUGCCUUCUCAGUACUCUUACAAAUCUGUCAAACCAUACUUUUGAUGACUGUUUGAGACCAUACAAAGAAUCCUCUGUAUUGGAGUACAUAUCACGACGACAUCCCACACCUUUUGCCGUUAGUAGAAAGAGAUGUUUUUCCAAUUGCCGGUUUCAUGGAGUUAACUACUCACACAGUUAUUAGUGAAUUCUUUGACCUCUAUUUUUGUAGAAGGGCGGCAUCAGUUGAGGUAGGUUGCUUCGUUUCUCUUGUAAGAUACCUUAGUUUUCCUUUUCCAUCGACAAUGAGCUUGAUUGACUGAGCCUAUUCCCGAUAAUUCUUUCCAUUCAAUCUUUUCACGACGAGCUGGAAAGACAAUUAUCCAGUUUGCUGGAGCCCAUGGUAGAGAGAGAUUCUACUUCACCGCUUUGGGGCUCAAAUGUUGUCAACCGGUUGCUAUUUUUUGUGUUUCGCCAUUGACGGUUGAUGGCUAGGUCAAGAAUGACCGAGCGCUCAUAUCAUGUAGAAACAUGAAGUGUGGAAUCAAAUAUUGUAUUCUUUUUUUCAAUGAAUAAUUUUACAUCACUAAGGGCCUUAAUAUAUAUUACAAACAUAGAAUAAGAAAGGUAAACAUAUAACUACGGAAAUAUUGAAAUUGACCUAAUCUAACUAAGGUAAAAAAUCAACUAUACAAUAAUACAAAAUAUUUCAAUAAUCGGGAUUUUUAUAUGUGGAUUUUUUAAAGUACCAAUUUUGGACAUUUAUGAAAGGUCCGAUUUUGGGUAUUUUUAUUAGCUAUUUUUAAAACAGUCAAAGUCAUGCUUGAGAGUUUAUUAUCCCGUUGUUUUGAAAUUUUUUAAGAUAAUAAAAUUACACGUGCCCAUAUAUAAAAGAGUUAUAAAUGUGUUUGAAUAAUUGUUUUAGAUGAUAAAAUUGGAAGAAAUAUUGAAAAUAAUUGUUUUAGGGAGGAUAUAAUUGAAAAUAAUUGUCUAAAUUUCAUUCCUUUUUAGCGUAGAUUUUGAAAUAAUUAUUUUAGAGGUGAAAAUUGAAGAAAAAUUGAAAAAUGGUCAAAAACCACCAUUUAGUAGAUUGAGAAAUACAAUCCAAAUUACAAAGGUGGUUUUUUAAUGAAUGUCUCGCUUUACAAUGAAUUUAGUUGUUCAAGUUAUGGAAUGAUUGAGAAAAAUAUGUAUUCUAUAUUUUUCAAUGAUAUUACACGUCUCAUGUUGCUCAAUAUAUAGUACAAUAGAAGAUGACGAGAAGGAAUGUAAUCUUAUUUAAAAAAUAAUUUAAGGAAAAAAUAAAAUUAUUCCUUACUAAACAUAAUAUUCAAAAUAUUCUAGUAUCCCAUAAUUUUGGGAUUUCUUCACUCCCCCUUAAAUUGGAUCAUAGAUAUUGAUCACUUCUGACUUGCAAAUUCACUUAUCAAAAGUUUGUCGAUGUAGCAUUUGCUGAAGAUGUCUACAGUCCGAUCUUUGGUUGGAACUUAUAUCAUACAAAUAGUUCCAUUUUCAACAUUCUCCUUGAUGAAGAGCAUGUCCCCUUUUACAUAUUUAGUUCUGUCAUGUUGAACUUAGUUGAGAGAGAUGUUGAUAGUUGCUUUAUUGUCGCAGUAUAGUUUGACUGGGACUCUCAUCGUGAUUUGUAAUUCUUCUAAUGGUUUCUUAAUCUACAAUUCUUCACUUAUUCCUUGGGCAGCUACUCUGAAUUCUGCUUCAGCACUGCUACUGGCUACUACAUUCUAUUUCUUACCACGUUACGAGAUUUUCCUAUACGAAAUUACAAUAGCCAGUAGUUGAUCUUGUAACGCCCCGACCCCUAGUGGAUCGGAACGCUACUUACUUUACUUAGCUUAACCGGUGGUUUAGUAACAAGUGUAUACGUUUUAGCUGAAGCUUAUAUCUUCGAAUAAUAAUUUAAAUAAUAAUAAUACUUCAAAUACUUUAAACAAAAACACUGAAUCAUUUUUCAAACAACAAAAUGUAAUUUAUUUGAAGGAAACAUAACUUGUUCUUGCAUUCUGCGUUAUUCAAAACUUUAAAGAAAUAACAUUGGAAAACAUUUCAUAAAAAUAAAUCCAAAUCACUUAUUCACCGGAUUUCCAUGGGCCCGUUGCAUCACUCUCCAUCUUCUCCUCCAUCCAUGCCCGAGGUAGAAUUCCUUCAAUCUGUAGAGAUGGGAUUAAACCCAUGAGUUGAAAAACUCAAUAGGUGUCAUAGGUGCAUUCGUGAUCAAGCUAUACAUUUCAAAACAUUAACUUUAUAACUUUUCAUACAUGUCGUACCCGGAGGCACCAUUUGACAUGAAGGGGUAUGCCGUACCCGAGGGCACCAUUUGACAUACAAACAUUUCUUCAAUAUAGAGGGGUAUGCCGUACCGGAGUACCAUUUGACAUACAACCAUUAACAUAGAGGGAUAUGCCGUACGGAAGUACCAUUUGACAUACAAAUAUUAACAAGAAUCGAAACUUAUAACUUAACACGAUUAAACACAUUGCACCUCUACCUACCUUGAUUGAUGCUUUUGAAACUUUGAAAACUUGGAUUGAAAACUUCGAUAAAAUUUGGACGUUGAAAGAAAUGCACUCCUUGGAUGCUUGAAAACCGUUGAGAAUUGAUGCUUGAAAACACUUCUUAAACUUUUAGGAAAAAUAGUUUUCCUCUCUCUCUUCUUCUCUCUUGGAAACUUUCUUUAGUAUGUAAAAGCUCUUACUUUUGGUGUGAGAAAAAAUGAGUGAAAUGAGGUCUCUAUUAUAGAUAAAUAUCUCAUAACUUAAAGCAAAUGAAGGAUCAAAUUUCAUUUAAGAGAGAAAAUAGGGGUGCCAUUUAAGUUUGAGGUUAAAUGCUUCAAUUUAGUGGGGUUUUUAUUGCCAAAAACGUGGGUGGCCCUUUGAGAAAAUAAUUGAUGAAAAUAAAUAUUUAAAUUUUAGAGAAAAACGAGAAUUUUUCAUUUUAGGCAGUUUCGGUCGACCGGUUGUAGUCCAGUUGACACUGCACAAUUUUCAGUGUUUCUAUCAUAACUUCUUCUCCUGAUAUUCGAUUGAGGUAAUUCAAAGUGUGAUGGAAAGCUAACUCAAAGAGCUACAAUUUUUAUUUAGAUAUCAUUUUCGAAAUCGAAUUUUUCCUAUGUCAAAAAUGGGUCUCAAAUGAGACUAAAAAUCUGGAGUAUACUUUAGUCAUCCAAUAUUCAUGUCUUAGUGCCACUAAGGUGUCUAGAAUUAUUUGUGGUUCUACAUCCCCCACACCUUAAUUAAAAUUUCGUCCUCGAAAUUUACCUUCUGAUUAGGCGAAUAGUGUUGGAUACUUGUCUUUGGCUUCUUCUUCUUCCCAAGUGGCUUCUUCUACGCCGUGAUGAUUCCACUGUAUCUUAACCAGCUGAAUCUCUUUAUUCCUUAGUUUAUGCACUUUUCGAUCCAAUAUGUUGAUCAGUAGUUCCUUGUACAAUAAAUCUUUCUGUACCUCCAAGUUUUGAUAACUCACUACAUGAUUAGGAUCAUGUACAUACUUCUUUAUCAUCGAUAUAUGAAAUACAUUGUCCACUGUCGAUAAUUCAGGUGGCAAAGCUAGUCGGUAAGCCAAUUUUCGACUCUAUCAAGUAUCUCGAAAGGUUCGAUAUACCGAGGUCGUAGCUUGCCUUUCUUUCCAAAUCUAAGUACACCUUUCAUCGGUGCUACUUUCAGAAACACUUUAUCCCCAACUUGGAAUUCUAAAUCCUUCCUCCUUGUAUCUGCAUAGCUCUUUUGUCGAUCCUGUGCUGCCUUUAUUCUUGCACGGAUCUUAUCGAUUACCUCGACCGUCCUUUCAACUAUUUCUGGUCCUAAAAAUCUCUUCUCUCCUACUUCAUCCCAAUGAACAGGUGAUCUACAUCUUCUACCAUAGAGAGCUUUGUAUGGUGUCAUUCCAAUAGUUGCAUGGAAACUGUUAUUAUAAGUGAACUCUACUAGAGGUAAGUAUGACUCCCAAUUACCUCCUAGAACCAAAACACAUGUUCUCAGCAUGUCUUCCAAAGUUUGGAUGGUCCUUUCAGACUGACCAUCGGACUGAGAGUGAUAUGUUGUACUAAAGUUCAGCUUCGUUCCCAUAGCUCCUUGUAGACUUUUUCAAAAUUUGGACGUGAACCUUGAGUCUCUGUUAGACACAAUAGAUAUAGGUACACCUUGUAAUCUCACAACCUCUUUAAUGUACAACUGUGCCAAUUGGUUUAAACUGAAUGUCAUUUUCACUGGAAGAAAAUGAGUUGACUUCGUUAGUCGAUCCACUACUACCCAUAUAGCAUUAUUUCCUCUUGCUGCCUUCGGGAAUCCAACCACAAAGUCCAUCGUGAUAUUUUCCCAUUUUCAUUCUGGUAUAUCUAGUGAAUUUAACAAUCCAGCUGGUUUUUGGUGUUCUGCCUUAACUUGUUGACAUACCAUGCACUUCUACACGUAAAACCCUAUACUUCUUUUCAUAUUUCUCCAUCAAAAUGUAUCUCGAAGAUCUCGAUACAUUUUCGUACCACUGGGAUGUGCGGUGUAUGGGGUGGAAUGAGUUUCUUUCAAUAUCUCGUUUCUCAAGGCUUCAUCCUUAGGCACGCAAAUUCUUCCUCUAAAUAUCAGUAUCUGAUCCUCAGCUACUCCAAAGUCCUUUUUCUUAUCGAUACCAACUUCAUUCUUAAUCUUCUACAAAAAUGAGUUUUUAUUUUGUGCUUCUAUAAUUCGAUCUCUAAGAGUAGGUCGAAUUAUUAAAGCUGCUAGACGAGCAGUGACUUGUCCUGGUGUGGUAACCACUUCGAUCUGCAACUUUUCCAAAUCCUUGACUAACUCCACUUGAGAGGUGGGUAGUGACGUCAAUUGUCUCAUUGAUUUUCUACUUAGAGCGUCGGUCACAACAUUAGUCUUACCCGGAUGGUAGUGAAUAGUGCAGUCGUAAUCGUUCACCAAUUCCAACCAUCGUCUUUAUCGCAUAUUCAAUUCCUUCUGUGUAAAGAAAUACUUGAGACUUUUGUGAUCUGUGUAGAUAUCACACUUCCGUCCAUACAAGUAGUGUCGCCAUAUCUUCAAAGCAUGUACUACCGCUGCAAGUUCUAAAUUAUGCGUCGGGUAGUUCUGCUCAUGUUUCUUCAAUUGUCUUGAAGCAUAGGCUAUCACUUUUCCAUUCUGCAUUAGUACACAUCCCAAUCCUUGCUGUAUAUAACAAACCCUUACGUACCUUCAGGUAUUGUUAAUACAGGUGCUGAUAUCAAUUUCUGCUUAAGUUCUUGGAAACUUUGUUCGCAUUUUUUCGUCCAUUGGAAUUUUACUCCCUUCCUUGUAAGCUGCGUCAUUGGUCCAGCUAUUUUGGAGAAUCCUUCUAUGAAUCUCUUAUAAUAUCCAGUCAAUCCUAGAAAAUUCCGUACUUCGCCAGCAUUUGUUGGUGCUUUCUAGUUGGUUACUGCUUCUACUUUUGCUGGAUCUACUUCAAUCCCUUGGGCAGUAACUACAUGUCCAAGAAAUCCAACUCGUUCAAGCCAAAACUCGUACUUCUUGAAUUUGGCAUACAGUUUCUCCUUGUGUAAUACCUCUAAGGCUAUUCUCAAGUGCUCUUCAUGUUGCUCCUUACUCUUGGAAUAUAUCAGAAUGUCAUCGAUGAAGACUAUGACAAACUUAUCCAAGUAUUGAUGAAACACUCGAUUUAUUAGGUCCAUGAACACUGCAGGUGCAUUGGUUAGCCCAAACGGUAUCACCGUAAACUCGUAGUGUCCAUAUCGAGUUCUAAAAGUUGUUUUAGGUAUAUCCUUUGUCUCUACUUUUAGUUGAUGGUAUCCCGAUCGUAAGUCGAUCUUGGAAAAUACCUUAGCUCCUUUCAGUUGAUCUAACAGAUCCUUGAUCCUCGGCAGUGGGUACUUAUUCUUGAUGGUUAAUCGAUUUAUCUCCCUAUAAUCGAUGCACAUCCUCAUGCUUCCAUCUUUCUUCUUUACAAACAACACCGGCAUAUCCCAUGGAGAUACGCUUGGUCAUAUGAAGCCCAUAUCUAGGAGUUCUUGCAACUGCUUCUUUACUUCUUGUAGUUCUUUUGGGGCCAUUCGGUGUGGGGUCUUAGAUACUGGUGCCGCCCUGGGAAUUAGGUCUAUGGUGAAUUCCACUUGCCUAUCUGGUGGAAUACCAGAUAGAUCUUCUGAAAACACAUCUACGAAUUCCCGUACUAUUGGUAUGUCUUCAACAUUUAUCGUCUCUUGUUUCCCUCCUGAGAUGUUUUCUAAAUAUCCUUGACAUGUUUCUUUUCUCAACAUCUUCUCAGCUUGAAAAGCCGAUACUAGUCGAAUAAGGGGUUUCGUCUUCAUUCCAGGGAACGAAAAUGGUUCCUCUCCUGGUUUCUGAAAUGAUACUUCCAUUUCCUUACAUCGGAUGGUGGCGUAAAUACAACCUAACCAAUCCAUGCCUAGUAUUACAUCAAAAUCCUUCAUUUCUAUCAUGUAUAGGUUCGCUUCCAUUGGUUUUUCUUCAAUUUCGAUACUUAUUGACUUGGCUAUUCUAUCAGUAUUCAAAGGGUUGCCCGAAGGAAUACUAACUUCUAAUGGACCUUCCGACUUAUCACAGGUAAUACUAGAUUUAGCCAUAAAAGUUGUUGAAGCAAAUGAGUGUGUAGCUCCUGAAUCAAACAAUACAUAAACAGGUGUAUUGGCUAUCAGUAGAGUACCUGCUAUGACAUUAGAGAUUUCCUCUGCAUCCUGUUGAGUCAAUGCAAAAACUCGUGCUUUCCCUUUCUGGUUCUGGUCGCUGUUAUCAUCCUUCUUCUGGGUAUGUGUGGGAUAAUCCCUAAUGAUAUGUCCUGGCUUGAAACAUCGGAAACAGACAUUUUUCCCUUGUAAGCACUCGCUACGAUGUGUCCUUCCACACUUAGAACAAGGCGCAAUAACCGGCACAAUAAUUUUGCUGGCAUUGGCUCCGCCAUUAGCUUUCUUGUUCUGCCACUUGCCUUUUCCCUUGUCCUGGCCAUUCCAUUUCCUCUUUCCCAUAUUACCAUUGUCCGGUUGAUUGAACAGUUGACCAUGUUGUUCAGCACUAGUUUUCUGGUACCAAAUAGCAUGAGCUCUUUCCAGCAUUUCACGGUAUGCGGUGAAGCGAUGGGACAUAAGUAUCAUGCUUAUAUCCGAGUUCAACCCUUGUUUAAACUUUCGUACCUUUUUAUCUUCCGUAUCCACCAGAUGUGGAGCAUACCUUGAAAGUUGAUCAAACUUCCUCUCAUACUCAGUCAGGGACAUAGUCUUUUGCUUGAGUUGGAGGAAUUCACUUUCUUUGUGAUCCCUCAAGGACUGGGGAAAGUACUUGUCCAUUACUUCCCCUUUGAAUUGCUCCCAAGUCAAUUCUGCUUGUUGCUCAAGGGUCUUUGUUCUUGACAUUAAGUCCCACUAGUGACUUGCAUCACCGGAGAACAUGAACUCAGCACACUAGACUUUCUAAGCGUCCGUGCACCCUACCAAUCGGAAUAUACGCUCCAACUUGCGAAGCCACUCCUCGCCUGCAAGUGGAUCAGCUGCUUCGUUGAAGGUAGGGAGCUUGUGCCUUCGAAAUUGCUCGACCACUGAAGCAUGGUUUGGAACAUUAGGAGCUAGUGGUAGGGGUUGAGCUUGGUUCGGGUUUUGCCUGCCUAGGUCUUGAACCGCUCGGAGGAGGUCUCUUAGCAAGUUUUGGUUUGCUCGGGCCAUUUCCUUUAGACAAAAUAUAUGGUUCUUAUUAGUUUCAUUCUUCGAAAACUAAAGCAAAGAAGAUAGUAUUUUAUUUCUUGACAUAAGGGAAGCUAUUACAAGGAUUUAAAUCUAAUCCCUAUAAGUUCUACGGAUCUUCUUUGGUGGAGCUUCAUCUUCGGAGAAGUCUUCCGCCUCAGUUCCGGACUCUAUGUCCAUCUCAACCUGUGGCUCAGGCUCAAGAUCAUUCUCUAAAUCAUCCUCGAGUUCUUCUUCAGGAUCUUCUUCCUCAGCUAAAGGUUCCUCCUCAGGCUCCUCAUAGAUUACAUCAUCCCACAAAUCAAUCAGGGCAUGGCAAUACCUCUCAAACUCGAACAGGUUUAGGUUGCCUUCUAACAUUUCAUCUCUAACCGUGACUCCCAUAUCUCCCCAUUGAGGUGGGAGGGAGUGUGUGAGGUUAUUUAUGGCCUCGAUAUGCGUGAUCUCCAUUCCAGCAUUAACCGUCGUCAUGCAUCUCUCAUAGAUGUCAUACACAUUUCGCUAAGCGGUCGGGUCGGAUCAGUUACAUAGUUUUCAUAGGAAUGAAUAGCAAUUCUACGGUCCAAUGUUUCUCUAUAUGUCCUAGCCUUUCUACGAGCCAUAUCUGUUGCAUUUUCACAUACAUUAUACUUUUUCUUUGCUUAAAGAAAACAUGCAAAUAUUUAAACUUUCAUAUCAUGCAAUUCCCUUUAAACCCUUAGCUUUUGCCCAAGUCCAUUACAUAUCUUUAAAUAACACAUCUCUAAAUCAUUUCAAAGCAUCAUAACAUAAAUAUAAUCAUUAACUUUAAACAUGAACAUACUUGGGCCAUAGGAUGAGAUUGAUGGAUGGAUGCACGAUGCCAUGGAAUACAUUAAACUUUUCAUUUUCCUUUUGUUUUUAAAAAAAAAAUACUUGGUCUACAGAACCGGCUAAACCGUUUUUUUUCAAAAAAACAUACUUGAUCUACAGAACCGAUUAAACCUUGCUCUGAUACCACGCUGUAACGUCCCGACCCCUAGUGGACCGGAACGCUACUUACUUUACUUAACUUAACCGGUGGUUUAGUAACAAGUGUAUACGUUUUAGCGCAAGCUUACAUCUUUGGAUAAUAAUUUAAAUAACAAUACUUCAAAUACUUUAAACAAACACUGAAUCAUUUUUCAAACAACAAAAUGUAAUUUAUUUGAAGGAAACAUAACUUGUUCUCGCAUUCUGCGUUAUUCAAAACUUUAAAGAAAUAACAUUGGAAAACAUUUCAUAAAAAUAAAUUCAAAUCACUUAUUCACCGGAUUUCCAUGGGCUCGUUGCAUCACUCUCCAUUUUCUCUUCCAUCCAUGCCAGAGGUAGAAUUCCUUCAAUCUAUAGAGAUGGGAUUAAACCCGUGAGUUGAAAAACUCAAUAGGUGUCAUAGGUGCAUUCGUGAUCAAGCUAUACAUUUCAAAACAUUAACUUUAUAAUUUUUCAUACAUGCCGUACCCGGAGGCACCAUUUGACAUGAAAGGGUAUGCCGUACCCGAGGGCACCAUUUGACAUACGGACAUUUCUUCAACAUAGAGGGGUAUGCGGUACCGGAGUACUAUUUAACAUACAACCAUUAACAUAGAGGGAUAUGCCGUACCGGAGUACCAUUUGACAUACAAACAUUAACAUGAAUCGAAACUUAUAACUUAGCACGAUUAAACACAUUGCAUCUCUACCUACUCUGAUUAAUGCUUUUGAAACUUUGAAAACUUGGAUUGAAAACUUCGAUGAAACUUGGACGUUGAAAGAAAUGCACUCCUUGGAUGUUUGAAAACCGUUGAGAAUUGACGCUUGAAAACACUUCUUAAACUUCUAGAAAAAAUAGUUUUCCUCCCUCUCUUCUUCUCUCUUGGAAACUCUUUCUUUAGUAUGUAAAAGCUCUUGCUUUUGGUGUGAGAAAAAAUAAGUGAAAUGAGGUCUCUAUUUAUAGGUAAAUAUCCCAUAACUUAAAGCAAAUAAAGGGUAAAAUUUCAUUUUAAAGAGAAAAUAGGGGUGCCAUUUAAGUUUGAGGUUAAAUGCUUCAAUUUAGUGGAGUUUUUAUUGCCAAAAACGUGGGUGGCCCUUUGAGAAAAUAAUUGAUAAAAAUAAAUAUUUAAAUUCUAGAGAAAAACGAGAAUUUUUCAUUUCAGGCAGUUUUGGUCGACCGGUUGUAGUUCGGUUGACACUAUACAGCUUUCAGUAUUUCUAUCAUAACUUCUUCUCCUGAUAUCCGAUUGAGUUAAUUCAAAGUGCGUUGGAAAGCUAACUCAAAGAGCUACAACUUUUAUUUAGAUAUCAUUUUUCAAAUCGAAUGUUUCCUAUGUCGAAAAUGGGUCUCAAAUGAGACUAAAAAUCUGGAGUAUACUUUAGUCAUCCAAUAUUCACGUCUUAGUGCCACUAAGAUGUCUAGAAUUAUUUGGGGUUCUACAGAUCUUCUGUCUUCUAUUGAUCAUGUCCAAUUAGCAUUAAUGAAUACUUCUACUUCAUUCUUUCCAUCUUUCUUAAAAAACAAUCAUUUUCUAAGAAAACUCUUUAAGGUAUUUUAGAAUCUUAUAUACUGCCUCCAGAUGAGCUUCCUUUGGCGAAUGCAUAUGUUGACUUACCAUGCUAACUGCAAAUACAAUGUUAGGUCUAGUGUGUAAUAGGUAGAUGUCUUUCUCAACAAAUUUUCCACUGUCAUCUAUUUUUCUACCAGGACUGUAGGAGUUUCACUUGGCUUGCAUCCAAGCAUACCAGUUUCAGUUAGCAAGUCCAUAACAUAUUUUCGUUGUGAAACACUAAUGCCCCUUUUUGAUCUCGCUACUUCCAUCCUAAGAAAAUAUCUCAUUGGUCCCAAAUCUUUCACUUCAAAUUCAGUGCCUAAACUUCUUUUUAGUCUUGAAGCCUUCCCAUCUCAAUUGUAUUGUCUUCAGUAAGGAUUAUAUCAUCCAUGUAUACGAUUAGAAUAGCUUUUGUCCCAUCUUCAAAUCAUUUAAAAAACAUGGUGUGAUCUGACUGUGCUUGGUGAUAUCCUUGAUUUCUUAAUACUCUUGCAAAUCUACCAAACCAUGCUCGAGGUGACUGUUUGAACCCAUAUAGUGAUUUUUUUCAAUUUACAUACCCUGUUGUCUCCAUUCUCUGUACAAAAACCAGGAGGUAGUGUCAUGAAUAUUUCAUCCAACUUACCUUCAAGAAUGCAUCUUUUAUGUCAAGUGUUGGAGUGGUCAAUCUAAAUUUGCUGCUAGAGAUAAGAGUACUCGAAUUGUAUUCAACUUUGCUAAAGGUGCAAACGUUUAUGUAUAAUCUAUGACAUAGGUCUGAGUAUACCCACCCCUUGCAACCAGACAAGCUUUGUACCUUUCAGUUGUCCCAUCUGCUUUGUAUUUCACAUUAAACACCCAUUUGCACCCUACAGGUUUCUUUCCUUUUGGUAGUUCCAUCACAUCCUAUGUUUCAUUUUCCUCUAAGGCCCUCAUUUCUUCCAUCGCAGCUUCUCUCCACUUGGGAAUUUCUAAGGCUUUCUGAAUUUUUUUAGAAUUUCUGCACUGUCAAGGUUAGAAACAAAAGUUCAAAAUCUUGGAGAUCAGGCUUUAUAAGCUAUGAAUUUAGAUAUAGGGUCCAUGGUGCAUGAUCGAGUUUGUUUCCUGAGAGCAAUAAACUAGUUAAUGUAAGAGGUUUCAGAGACGAUUUCCUAGAACAUCUGGAUCUAUUAUCAGUUUUGACUCUUUUUGUACCUCGAGUGUGAGGUCUCCCUUAUACUUUGACUUUGGCUUUCUUGAGUAAACUAACAUCUCCUUAUCACGUUGUUCUUUUGCAGCUCCCCUUGAUUCAAAUUGUCUUCUUUAGGGGAUUCAGUAGGACAAGGUGUUUUAGUAGGUUCAGUGGUUGCGAAGGAUUCAGAUGGAGAGAGUAAUUUCCAAGAAUGGAUCUUCACUUGAUUUCUUUCCUUGAAGAGAAGGUUUUUGGAAGUAAGGAGUUUCUUCGAAAAAUGUGACGUCAUAGCUGAUGAAUACUUUUUUUUUGUGGUGGGAUCAUUUAUAGCCCUUCUGUGUGGGUGAAUAACCAAUGAAUGCACACUUAAGUGCACGAGGUGAUGAGAGUUGAUAUGGACAAAUGUUGUACACCCAAACACUCUUAAAGGUAUGCUUGAGUUCAGACGAGAGUUAUGGAAGAAUUUCUGGAAUCUUUGUAGGGGAGAUUCGAGGUUGAGAAUAAGACUUGGCAUUCGGUUUAUAAGAUAAGUUGAUGUUAAAAUGGCGUCCUCUCAAAAUUUUGCAGGCGUGUUUGUAGUGAUCAUUAGGACAUGGGCAACCUCAAGUGUCUAUUUUUUCGUUCAGCGAUCCCAUUUUGUUGAGGGGUAUCGACGCAAGAACUUUGGUGUAUUAUCCCAUUUUCUUGAAGAUAGUUUUUUAGGGUAUUGUUGAAAUAUUCUGUGCCGUUAUCAGUGCACAGAAUUUGAAUUAUUGUUUGAAGUUGGGCUUCUACCAUCGAGUGGAAAUUUAUAAACACCGGCCAGACUUCAAUUUUCUCUUUUAACAUAUAGACCCCGCAAAUUCGUGUAUGGCCGUCGAUAAACGUGACAAACUAUUUUGUGUGGGUGCGAUUAGGGAUUCAUGAAGGUCUCCACACAUCACUGUGAAUCAUCGUAAAUAAUUUGGAUGAUUAUGUAGAUUUCGUGAAUGAGGAGCGAAGAUGUUUUGCAAGUUCACACAUUUCACAUUAAAUCUCAAAAGAACUUUUAUUCAAGAAUAUUGAAGGGAAUACAUGACUUUAAAUAUUGAAAAUUUGGAUGCCCCAUUCUAUAAUGCCAUAAAAAAUGUCACUAUUCGAAGGAACAAAAUGCAGAAUCACAACUAGCAAAUCACAUUCGUCUCGUCGAAGUAGUAAAGUCCCUUACAUUCUUUAGCACUGUCAAUUGUCUUCCUUGAUAAUAGAUCAUGAAAGACAUGGUGAGAAGGGAAAAAAUUGGCAGAAGAAUUUGAGUCUUUUGUUAAUUGAUGACUAAUGUAUAAUAAGCUGCAGGACAGGUUUGGAACAUGAAGAACAUUGUUUAAAGUAAUUGAAUUAGAGAUGCGAAUACUCCCUUUUCGAGCUACUGGAGAGAGUGGGCAUCUGCAAUUUUGAUUUUGAGGUUCCCAACAUAAGGUGAAUAUGUGAAAAAUAGAUAGUGGGAAUCCGUCAUAUGGUCGAACGUGCCUGAGUCAAUAAUCCAUGGUAUUCGGGAAAAGGAUGUGGUAGUAUUAAGAGCUCUUAAGAAAUUAUCUCUGUGGGCUAAUGAACUUGCCGAACCAGAUGUUUGGAAAUCGGAGAACAUUUUAUAGAGUUGUUCUAGCUGUCUGGGAUUGAAUGCACCCUUUGAAGUAGAGGUUUUUAUCUCAAUGGAAUUGACUGCAAAUUGAUAGGCCUUAUUUUUGGAGUUCUAUCUGAGCUUUCAGUCUGUUGGUUUUCCAUGUAUAUCCCAACACGUAUUUUCAUCAUGUCUAGGCUUAAGACAAUGAUCACACAAUGGGCGUCCCUUUCGUUUUUUGGACCCGAUCCAAUUUUGAUUAGUCAUCUAAAAUUCUGGGUUGAUCCGUUAGGCCCAACUGCCUUAGGCCCAUUUAAAUAAGUCUUUUUAGCAAUGGUUGCAUUCCCAUGUGACCAAACUCCAUUAGACCCAUGUAUAGGCCCAAUUCCGUGUAAAUUUGUUGGCCCAAUAUUAACAAGAGGGCCAAUAUAUCACUCCUAGCUAGCCUAGUCUCCUUCAAUAUUACAAGUCGCUAGCACUCCUCUCAUCUGACUUCGACGAAUACUUCACGUGGCUAUGGCAAUGGUCAAUGACCCAGUAUCCUCCCUUCCACAUAGUCCAGCUCUCAACUCAACCCUGCCAAAAAUUCGUAAACUCGUUCGUUUUCCAACCUUUUUUGUACCGAGCACUAUCUUUGGGGCAAUCCCAUUCCUCCUCAACACACAAAUCCAAUUCUUGCCACAAAUUUGUCAUUUCCAUGUAGUAAUCUGUCACCUCUCUCUCCUUGCUUCAAUUGCCAGAGCUUGGUUUUAAUUUCAAAAAUUUGAGAUGUCUUUAGCGUUGGAGUACAUCUCACGGGUUGCCUCCCAUAUAUCUCAAGUUGUUGGCAUGAAGAGGUAGGUUUUACCAAUUGAAGGCUUCAUUAAGUUCACAAGCCAUGCCAUAACCAUGGAAUUUUCGGACUUCCAUCUCUUUUGAAGAUUCACAUAUGCUGGUUGCUUCACAUCGUCGGUAAGAUAUCCGAUUUUUCCUUUUCCUUCGACAAUAAAUUUAAUUGACUGUGCCCAUUCCCUGUAGUUUCGUCCAUUCAGUUUUUCCACCGAGAGUUGGAAGGAAGAAUUAUCCAUUCCAAAUGAACUCGAGGUUGGAGCAAGUUUUGCAUCAUUUGUAAUAAGUUCGGAAUUUGCAGAAUUUUGGUUGGUGUUUUCCACCAUAUGGAAUGAAUGAGAAAAAUAUGUAUUCUAUAUUUCUCGAUGAUAGUACAAGUCUCUUGUUGCUCAAUAUAUGGUACAACAGAUGAUGACGGGAAGGAAUGUAAUCUCUUAAAUAAAUAAAAUUAUUCCUAACUAAACAUAAUAUACAAAAUAUUCAAGUAACCCAUAAUUUCGAGAUUUCUUCACAAGUACUCUAAACACUACUUCCAUGUGCACUUCUCUAGGAUCAUUCACGAAUUCACUUAUCAUCUCAAGGCAGAUUUUUGGAUAGGAAACUAUCCUUAAGGCAGAUUUAAAGGAAUUUUCUUGUUCACUCGUAGCUCUUUUCACUGAGUGUUUGCCUUUGUACUCCUUGUCUUUCAGGGAGAGGUAGUGUGUACAUUGCUGGGGUGGGGAGUGUAACAUGCUGCAUAUUAGAAAGGACAUUGUUUGUCUCAUUCUGCAUCAUGCAAACAUAACAUACAUAAACAGAACCAAGACUAUGGAGAAUCUGCAUUUCAAAAGGUAUAAAUAAAGUGUUGCAGUCUUAAAGAUUGUCUGUGAGGAAAAGGGAGUGGUAAAUUAGUACUGGAGCAAUUUUUCCAAAAUGAAUAACUUGUCACACUUUUUAACGUUGCACUUACAUAUGCGUAUGAUUGUUUGAACUUUCCAUUUACAGACGGGAAGCAGGGCCAAAAUCCUUUGAUGGCAUUUGGGCCGCAAACUAUUAUCCUACGGUAAGGAGAAGAGCACCUGCAUAUUUUCUUGGAGUCAGUAGUUGAACACAGUUUAAUUACCAUAUACUGCCUAGAAUUGCACGUGCACGCUAAUGCUGGAAUUCAAAUGUGGUUUUUCUUAUUUUAUUCUUCCUGCUUCUUAAUGAAUUUUAUAUAUUAAAAUGCCACUUUGAGCAAAAUCUUUUGAGUAGCAGGUUAGUCUUGCGGAAUUACUUUCUAAAGCAUCCUCUUGUUGUUUUAUACAUCUUUGCUGUGUUUUACAUUCUUUUUUUUCGUUAAUUAUCAAUUUUAAUUCUUUCUAAAUUACAUUUUCGGAAGCCUUUUCAAUGAUUCAGCAUAUGUGGUCAAGUAUGACAAGUCAUGCUAGCAGAAAUAAAUAACAAUAUACUAAUCUGUGAAGCCCACUUGUUGCAUGCUUAUGAUGGAAUAUGAUGAUUGAAUAAUUACAAGAUCCUUGGUACCCUUUUAUGAGACCUGGUUGACGUCUUUCCCCUGUUUAACUUGUCAGCCUUUUCCACCUGCUUUGUACAACUUGCUGGAGCAAUCUUUACCUUUCUAUAACAUGCUUAGGCGCCAUGUGAAGCAGAGUGGUAUAAUAUCCCUCCAGCCUACACUUCCAGUUCCUGCCAAUGAGAAGUUGCUUAUUUGGGUUGGUAAUGGGAUUGUGCCCCGUGAAAGUGCAAAGGUGCUUUUCUAUAAAUGUAGAGAAUCACAUAGGUAGAAGCUCUCAAUGUCAUACUUUAAUGUACCAGAAAGGUUUAAAUGUUUUUUGGUUUUGUUAUUGAACAUUAUAGAUUUCCGUUCUAGACUUUGUUGUCCAAGGUGGCGAUGCAGUUUGGGAAGGGCUUCAAGUUUAUAAUGGGAAGAUAUUUAAAUUAGAGGAGCAUUUAGAUCGGUAAGUGAAAGGGAUUAAAGAGAAGUUAUAAUACUUCAUUCUUGAAUUACUUGACAUUAUUGAACUUGUUCAAUAUAUUAGUAGUAUUAUGAUGAGUAGUAUUAUCUUACGAAUAGGAAAACAUUGUCAAAUUAUCUUCUUCAUUGUCUGCUAAUAGUUGGUUGUGUGCCAUUUUAAAAGUUAAUUUUUUAUUGUGUUUUUUCUACAUGUCAGUAAAUUUAAUAAGCUAAUAAAAACUACUUUUCUGACAAUCUCCUCCUAUAACUGAUUUUCUCAACCUGAGUGAACUAAGGGAAAAGCUUCGUUAACAAAAUUGGGGUGGUGAUGGUCUACAAAAAUCAGACUUGGAAACUGAUUUAGCCCUCAUUUGGCCCCCAUUUUGUAGAAAUGAAAAUGGGUGGAAUAGUGUUUUUUUUUUUUUUUUAAAUGAGUGGUUGAAAAAGAAGAAAAAAAUUUCGAUUUACGUGUAAUAUUAUUUUAUAGAAGAUUGUGUGAUUGAAAAUAGAAGAGAAAAAAAUGAAUGUAAUGGAAUGAAAAUUGAUGGGGCCAAGCGGGGGCUUAUAUUGUAUGAGUGAUGAUCAUGCUCACAUUUGAAAUGACUAUGGGGAAGAAUGUGAUUUACUUGACCAGUUGACAUCAGAAUGUGUUCCUACUUCAUUUUUCUUCACUUCUCUCGUCAAUGAAGCACAGAAUAUCAGGAGAAAAUGUUCCUGAAUUCAUGAUGUCUGUGUAGGAACUUUCUCAUUUGACUUAUAAAAUAUACAUGCGCACACAUGUAGCCCCUGUUUGUUUGGAUAAAAAUUAGACUUUUAGUAGAUUUUUGAUAAAAGCUGGUGAAAUGUGUGGUUGAAAAGUUGAUAAAUAUUGUAGGUCCCUUGAAAUUUGCAAUUGAAAAUGAGUUUGGAGAAAAAUGAGUUCUAAGAAGUGGGGGGUCAAACAGGUGGCAUAGUUUUGAAACUACACACAAGCAUAUGUAUUUAUACAUAUUUAAUGAACUAGUUCUUAUUUCCAGGUUGUUUGACUCAGCAGAAGCUCUAGCCUUUAGCAAUGUACCAACUCGUGAACAGGUGACGGUGGUUUUAUACACGUACAAAAUAGUAACUUGUUGAUGCAAACAGUUUAUUUAAUUAUUGAACUGUUCUUUGUGCCUAUCAUUGGAGCCUGGUAGUCUUUGUUUUUACUUAUCACUAAGACUUUCAAGUUGCAGGUGAAGGAUGCCAUAUUUGAAACUCUAAUAAGGAAUGGGAUGUUUGAUGAGGCACACAUUAGACUCACUCUGACACGUGGAAAGAAGGUAGGCAGAUGUUAUUCUUAUUUGGUUCCUCCCUUGUAGGGUAGGCAAACUUUGAAAUUGUAAUGUAGCUUGGGGUUGCUUUUACAUAAGUGCACAUGCAUGAAGAAAAUCGUUAACUGAAUGGUAAAUUCUGAAGAAGCUUUAGCCAUAUUUAGAUCCAGAUGAAAGUAUAGAAUACCGAGAACUCUCCGAAUAAAUUGAUGGGCUUUAUGUUCCUCUUAAAAUGCCCCCAACAAGGCCCUUUGCUUAUGAUUAUACGCUCACUGUAAUUCCUCCUCAGUUUUCUUUAUGGUUAUGGUGCAAGUUCUAAUUUGGGAGGGCCAAGCCAACAUUUUCCUCUGCAUCUAAAUAAUUAGCAACAUGUAAGGAAUCCUUCCUACAUGCCUUCCCUUGAUCAUAAAAGAAAAUUUGGUAUAAUAUACCACGUUACCUGGACUGAGACAUGCUAAUGAAUUAUACAUAGCUUAAUAUUAAGCCCUUGGAUGGGUGAUAUGCAAAAGGAGACAACUGAUCAUGUUCCGUCUGGUUUCUACUCCCCUUCCCACAAAGAAACAAAUAAAAAAAGAAAGAAAGGUAUUCAUAUAUUUAAAUUAAGCAGUUGGUGAUCUUGUGGCUGGACUGAUGGGAAAAUAAAAGAGAAAUGUCUUGUGGCCUGAUACCCCCACAAUAUCACUGACAAUUCAGUGUUCAGUACUUAGAUAUUGCUAGUCACAACAAAACCACCACAAACUAAGCCUUAUUCUUGUACUUAAAUAUUGGCAUAGCAUGGAAUAAUAUAUCAUAAUAUUGAACUGCUAGUACUUCAUUUUGAUACCAACCAUGUUCGAACACAUUAGGUAAAAUAAUAAAGGUUAGUGAUGAUUGACUUCUGAUUAUGGGCAAUACUGCAGUAAAAUCAGGUUAUUAAAGAACGAUAACAUAGUGAAAUGAACUGGAAGUUUUGGAAAUCAGGGAAAGCGGGUGGUAAGGAGAUUACAGGUUUCCUGAUACUUUUAAUAGCCAAAGGAGUGCAUUUUUGUAUUUAAUUCUUUUUUAUGUUCUAUGGCAUAUAUUCCAAUGUAACUUUCCCUGCUUCUACAACAUGAACCUCCUGUUCCUCGGAUGAAAGUUUCCAAAAAUAUUACUUGGGACUAACUUGGGUAUUCCACAUUUCUCCUGUACUAGUCUAGAAUUAUUCCAUUGGUUUAUGCUUUUAGUCAUCCUAUUUUCUGGUUUUCCAGGUAACUUCUGGAAUGAGCCCAUCAUUAAACCUUUAUGGAUGUACAUUAAUCGGUAAGAUAUAUGUGUAGUGCUUAUUCCCUUACAUAAUUAGCAUUGGCUGUGGCAUAAACUAUGUCUCACGUUUAGGUUAUAUGGCACUUCUGCCCCAAUGACCUGCUUUUUGAAUCUUGGGUUGUGCUGUGGGCAUUUGCUCCCCUAUUCUCCUUCUCAUUUCCAAAGGAUCAUGUAUAAAGUCUCUGAUGAACCUUUUACAUAGAACAAUUGCAUAAACAACCAAUUGAGACUAAAAACCAUGCUCCAUGUUUUAUGUCAACUGGAAAAUAUAAGCUCUACUUUUAAUAUGACUUUUUAUUAAUUUCCUUCGCUUCCUCCUUAACCAAUUCUCAUGAUAAAAUUUUGGUGUAAUAUAAAUUUGUAAGCUAAAAAGACCCCGAUCACUAUCAAAAGAAUUUACAAAGGCUGCCCAAUAUUUUCAGUGGGAGACGAGAAAUAACUUCCUCGGACCUUUCUGUACAGCCCCAGUUCGUCAAGUUCUCGUUUUUCAAAUUAGAUGGAACUUUGCUGAAAAGAGUUUAUUGGUCUAAUGAAAGCCUGUCUCAAGUUAAGGAUGCAAUGAUGAGAACUCUGUCCCCAGGAAAUGACUAAGCUAUCUAGACUUUUUAAGUAUUAGUUUUUUCUUUUGCAAAAACAUAGAAGGGUUCUGCUCUGCUCUUAUGAGACGCACAAUAAUUAAGGGUUCCCCAGGUAAAAUUUGCUUGAAGAAUUAUUUUAUUUUUGGGAUCCAUGAGUUAUAGAACAUGAUUUUUUUUAAAGCACAUUUCGGUCAAUGAAGGGAGCAAGUUGCCCAUAGUCAUUUCACAUUCCAAAACCUUUGUUUUUCACUUUUUCUGGUGCUGCUAUCCUUGCAAAGAACAAACUUUUGUACUCUGUGAAAAAAUUACGUUUGUAUUUUGGUAAAUAUAGGCCUAGUUUUUAUUUGUACCUUCGCAGUGCUUGCUGAAUGGAAUCCCCCAAUCUAUGAGAAUGAGAAGGGUAUAACGUUGGUUACAGCAACCACAUGCCGUAAUUCACCAAAUGUAAGGCUCUUUAUUUGUAUUCUUUCAUCUCUUCCUUUUGGAUUCCACGAUCUGCUUGAAUUACUUCUCCGGAUCCCGCUUUUCUUUUCUUUUAUCUAUUGUUCUAGAUCUAACUUGGUCAACCUAAGAUGCAAGAUCUGACUGGUAUGAUACAUUUAAAAUAAUCUCAUACUGCCCAGAUUGUUCAUUUACAAUUUAUAACUAAAAUAUGUUGUGGCCCAUCCGCCCUUAAUGUGAUUCAAUUCUCAAGUUAUUUUAAUCUCAUGUCUCAUGCUCAUAAAAAUCACACAAAUGAAGGUCUUCUGUUAACUACAGUUAAUUGGUUGUACAAACUAAGCAGAAGUGCGUAUUUCAAUCAGUUCAUUAAACUAGAAAAUGUUUUACUUGAUCGGAUUGAGGUCAUGAAUUCAAGGAUCAUAUAAAUUUUCACAUCAUCAGAAUUUUCCAAUCUGUGUACACUGUCGUUGAAAUUCAUUCCUUAUUCAAUUAUAAUUCAUAAAUCUCUCUGGUAAACUUUAUGCAAUGUUGAGUUUUAUAACCAUGGAAUCUAAAAUUUUGUCUUGUUUUUGCAGAAUUUGGAUUCAAAAAUUCACCACAACAACCUUCUUAACAAUAUCCUUGCGAAGGUAUAUUGGUUAAUCUACCUGUAACUUGCUUAAGUAGAAUCCUACUGUAAUAUUUUUAUAUUCUUAAUUCUUUGUCAUAGUUAGGGAGUUAUAUAUAGUUUGACUCAAAUAACUUUUGGAGUUGGUGCAGAUAGAAGGGAAUAAUGCAAGUGCUGAUGAUGCUAUCAUGCUUGAUAAAGAUGGCUAUGUGUCAGAAACAAAUGCGACAAACAUAGUAAGAUCAUUGAUCAUAACAAACAUACAAUCUCCUUGGUUUGCACUUCGUUAUACCUAGGAAAGAGCUAGUAGCCUAGUACCGGGAUGAGGUUUCAUUGGAUACAUCCCAAGGAAGAAUGUUGAUGUGGUUUUCAGUCACUAUAUCCUAAGAAACAUUGUUAAUCAGACAAUAUUUAGUUCUUACUUGAGGUGUCAUAGAAAGAGGUGGUAUGGGGUGGGAGAUUCAUCUGGCACUGCUUGUCCCGAUCUUUUUCUUUUGGAAUUUUCAUUUGACAUUUUUUUCCCCCUUUGCUAGUAACUUGCAUUUGGCAAAAUAGAAUUAUCCCACUAUCCGUGGACCAUUUGGCAGUAGAUAAUCUGGCUCCAAAUUAUUGGCAUUCCGCAUCUUGUUAUGGAAACCAUCUAUUGAGUGUUUAACAAUUUUCUCUCCCUAUGCUACAGUUUCUAGUGAAAAAGGGCCGUGUAGCAACACCUCAUGCUGAUUACUGUCUUCCUGGCAUAACACGGGCAACAGUAAGCUUCAUAAUAUACUCUUCCAAAAUUUUCAAUAUGUAUGGAUGCAGUACUUAAUUCGCUUGAUUCUUUCUUCCCAGCUUUUUCAUGAAUCAAAUAAGAUUUAUUUUCACUUAUAAAUAUUGAUAAAAGAUGAUUCUCGAUGAUUUCUAAUUCUCCAUUGGCAAGCUCAAUAAGGAAUACUGACUGUGAUCUGUUUUUUUAAUGUCUGUGUCUCUCUAUAGCCUCAUGCAUGGAGGUUAAAUAUCCUGAAAUGUUAGUUGUGUGAAUGAAUCUUCUAAUUCAACUACAACAAUUUGAUUGGUUAUAGGAAAUAUAAGAAUUAUUUUUCUCUUCUUCGAUACCUGAAGACAACAAUUUCAAAUGAUUAACUUCAUCUGAAUAUUUUAGCAGAUUUUAUUUAUUUUAUUUUUUUGCAAAAUCAUUUUUUAAUUGUCUUAUUUGCAUAGAGGCAUGUUAAUGCAUGCGUAAUUUUAUAUUAUGCUUAUUUGAAGAUUAUUUUGACAAUUUACUGGCUCUUACAUGCUUUAUAAGCAAGACAUAUCUGUAUUUGCAGGUCAUGGACCUUGUAAUAAAGGAAGGGUUGAUUGUACAGGAGCAGCGUAUCAGUUUAUCAGAGUUCCAUACGGCAGAUGAGGUCUGUUUUGUUAUUUGCCAAGAUUUCUUCUGAUAUAGGAUAUUUCACACAUAUCCUCGAAAGAUGUGGUUAUUCCUGUGCUACGAGUCAGACACUUGACUCUUGAUACCAAAGAAAAAUAUGAGGAGCAAUAUCAAAAGGGACCAAACUGUUGGCAAAAUCCAGAGAAUAUCUUUCACUCUAAGAUACACAAGGAAUCAAUCAUAUCUGGAUGCUAACAUUGUUGAGGAGUUUGUCGAAGUGUCCAAUCUGUUCACGCCUGUUUAUUCUUGAACAUAUUGAGUGAUAAUGCAUGUGAUUUUGUCUCUGUAUGUGAGUCAGGCCGUUUACUUUCUUUCCCAUAAUUAUUUUAAGAGAGAUCUUGCUUUUUGUACCCAAUAUUUUUUGCCUCUAGGAUUUAAGCCAUUAUCUUUGGCCUCUUCAAGAAAGAAAACAAACUCACUUUUUAUGUUUUAUGUGCAGAAGAAUCAAUUUAGUCUUGGUACUGUUACUUUACUAGUUCACGCAAUCAAUUUUUAAUUACUUUAUCUUCGAUUGUCUGUAGGAUUCUCUUGAACAUUUCCUGAUUAUAUAUUUUAACAGGAAAAAUAAGUUUUCUUGUCAUCCUGUGAUCGAAAGUCACACAUAACAUACUGUUCAUGUGUUUGCAUUUAUUCUUUUCAUUGCAUAUCCAAGGCAGUGGGAUCCUAGUUGAUUGUAUGCCAUUCGAAGUGGACACUUUGGUCGUUAUAGCAUGUAUUACCACAUUUCCGUUGCAUGAGAAAGUAAUGGAUGGUUUCAUUGCGCCCUUUUUUUCUCUUUUCUCAUUGACUGUAGGGAAUUGUGACAUACAUGUGUAAUUCGUCAAAGUGGUCACUGAUGAUGCUUCUGGUAAUACUCCUCUGUUUAACCAUUUGAUUAACUGUUUUCCUGCAGGUAUGGACUGUAGGAACUAUUGGAGAGCUCAGCCCAGUAAGUCAUUAUUAAUAUAUUAUGGUCUGAUACUGAUCAUAAGUAGUUUAUGGCUCAACAAUUUGAGCCCAAAUCAUUGACUUAACUCUUUGACACACGGUUCAUUCCCUUUAUUUCUCCUUUUAUUUACUUCACACGAUUUCCAGAUAAAAUUGUCAAGACUAGAUCUUUUUUGCUUGUUAAGAUUUAUGAGUUUCCUUGCUACUUUAGUCAUAACUCCUAUUAUAAUAAAUUGUUACUACCAGAGAGCAUGAAGGAAAGCAAAAUCUUAAGGUUCUUUAAAAGGUGCUUCUUUAGAUAAACUUCUUAAAUUAAUGUAGUUUGGUUGAACUGAGAACAUGUAUGGUCCACUCGAUGGUUUUAAAAUCUUUUGUUCCUUGGUUAAAAUGAUCAUAAACAUCAUUUAAAAUUUUUUUUAAUGUUGACUUCAGGUGUGGUGAUGUUUUUCUAUUAUUCUGAACUGUACUAGGUUGUUAAGAUUGAUGGUCACACAAUAGGUGAUGGCAGCGUGGGACCUGUGACUCGAAGAUUGCGGAGUGCUUUAAAAAAGCUUACAGCAGAGUCAGGGGUGCCCCAAAACUUUCCCUUGAGACAGCCAUAUCUUCACAGGCUUUUAGUUUAAUGGUCGUUGGUGGUGUGCUGUCUAAGCACCAUUGUCCAUUAUUCUUGGGAAGCCGGGAUAGAGGUCGAGGGCGACUGAAGAAAGAACGGAUGGUAUCUAUUCUUGAGCUAAGUAGAAGGAUUAUAUAUGCAUAUGCAAUCAUUUAUGUUUGAAGUUGUCUUUUGCAAAUAGGGAAUGCAGACUAUUUUCCCUGCCCACCAACGCCCCCCCGCCCCCCAUUCAAAUAUAUAAAGUUUGUGAGUGAAUGUUCUUGAAUUAUAAUUUAUAAUUAGUAUGAAUGACAAUUCAUUAUUAAAUUUAGCUGUUGUUUGCUCACAUGAGCUUGAAUGGUAAAAAAGUUGCUCAUUUAUUAUUGAGUGAAGUAUUAUGAUGCACAUACAAUAUGAAUGAAUCUAUAUUUGGCUAAAUUUGGAAAAUAGGCAUGCAUGCUCACUUAUGAAGAAAAAACCAUGAAAUAAUGAAAAGUAAUCAUCUUACUUACUACUAAAUAUGUAACUUAGUGAAAUUUGAUCCAAUUAUUGCAUUCGAAAUUAGUUUGAAUAGUGAAAAAAUUCAGAAUGAAAAUAAAAAUUUUGAAAUACUUGACGAUUUUAAUCAUCUUAUCUUGUAUUAAUAUAGGCUACUAUGAUCGAAGAACGCAUUUUACAUUAUCUCAAUAUUAGGAAAAAAAUGAAUCAUAAAGCAAUUAGGUUGAAACGUAGGCUUUUGACAAGGGUGCUGUCAUAUUAGCACCUUGUUGGCCUUUUUUUUUUUUAAUGGAAACUCUCUAAUACCCUGUUUGGUACACAUUAAAAAUGAGAAUGGAAAUAUAGUCGUUACAGACCUUACAUAAAAAAUAGAAAAUCUAAUAUGAUGGAUUAAUGUGAUGAAUAACGGUCAUAUUUUUCAUUUUAAUGAGCAAAUAAUGAGAAUCAAACGGGGCCUAAGUGUUAUUUCUGUACUUAUGGCAUUGUUCGAUGGCAACAUAGUACGAGGUUAGUGGUUGUCUUCUAUCCACUUUAAACUAGGCGUAGAGGGAGGCCCUAAGUCACCACAAAUCCAUUUAAAAUUUCGAAGUUUUUUGUUUUUUUCCCUCUAAUAUUUAUCAACCAGUGCAGAAAAAUAAAUAAAUUUGUCCCUCACUGGCGCCGCCCCUAAUUUAAACUGAAAUGUGGAGGGUUUGUGUUGAUGCUACUAGGGCUGUUUGAGUGAUACCACAUUGAAUUGUGAUGUUGUAAUUCAGUUAUUAUAUUGUCCUGAGUUUUAUUACUUGGAAUCAUGGGGAGGUUGUGGAUAUCAUCUGUAACAUCCCGAAAAUUUUAGAAUAAAAACAUAUUUGUUUUAUAUGUUAUAUUUCAAACGUUGAGGGACUAAGAUGUAAUAUAUUUUAAAUUCUUAUAUUUUGAGUCAAAUAAUUAAAUUUGAUAGAGUAAGUAAAAUAUAUCGAUACUGGGCUCAUUAGGUAGCUUGUAAUUAAUUAUGAAUUUUAGACUUGAGAAAAAGUUAAUUUGAACAAGUUAUAGCCAAGAUUUUAUAGUUCUAAAGUUUUAAGCUUUAUUGUUAGUGAAAUUGGUAAGUAAUAUUAUUUUAAAUAAUAUGUAUAACCACGUGUGCUUUAGAUUAAGGAUUAAUUUGCUUAGUUUCCCUUAUUAGUUAGCUAGGGAAUGAUUUGGAAUCAGGCAUAAGUAAACUAUAAUUUAUGUGAUUAAGUCCCAUUGCAAUCAAAUUCUAUUAAAGUUCUCCACUUUUGCUCUCAGUUUGACAAAAGAAAAUAAACGUAAAUUAAAUAAGAGUUUUAUUAGUUAUAUUGUUCGUUUGUAUUAAAAUAAAUUAAGCCUUGUAUCCUAUGCAAGUAGGAGUCCAACUUAUCUUAAUGUGUGCAUGCAUGGAUAAUGGUAACUUAAUUGGAAAUAAAUUAAUUCAAGGGAAUGUAUUUUAUAUGUAUUUUUUUUAUAGUGUACCUUUUAAGAUAAUUAGCAAAUUAAGAUUAUAAUAUUUUAUUAUAUAAUCACGUUAAUCUUUAUUUGCAAAACAUGGAAAAAUGUCUAAUUCUGUUUUCUAAUUGAAAUCUAUUAUAACAAAGAUAGUUUUCUUGAUUAGCAAAAGGUUGUGUCUUUUAAGAUAAUUAGGAAAAGAAUAUAAUAUUUUAGUUAUAUAAUCUUGAUUAUCUUUAAUUUGAAAAAUGAUUAAACCACAUCCAAUUCUAUUAUCCCAUCCACUAUAACAAAAUCAUUUUUGGCUAUUGAUGUACACGUGCAUCCUAUCAAAUCUGUUUAAGCUCACAGUAAUCAAAAUGUGUUCCUUUUUGUUUUGGCAUGUGAAUUGGUUGGGUUUUCAUAAACCGUGAUCUUGUAUAUAAUAUAUGAAAUGAGAUUAUAAUUUUUUAAAUUCAAAUAAAUUUGUUAUAGAAUUAUUUUAUGUGUGAUUGACUUAUCUUUAAGUUGAGAAUAUAUCUAAUCCAAUCUUAAUCAAAUUUUUUGGUUUAAAUCACAAAAGUGUUUAUAUAGCAUGUGGAUAAAUAUGGUUAGUAUUUUAAAGAAAAUCGUAUAUGGAUAGAGUGAUCAAUAUUUGAAAUUUAAAAUCCAAGCAAAUUAUCCUAAUCCUUAUCAACUACCUUAUUCAAGCCAAGUAGCACACUGCACACCAUCGUGGUUUUAUGCCUGGAAUAUAGCCUUGUGAAUUUUCUUCCACAAUGAAUUUGAAGCGUAACCAAGAAAGUAUUGGACCGAAGAAACGAUCUCAAUAUGUGCUCUAUCCCCCUGAAGAAACCCAUCUCAGUAUAUGCUCUCUCUCUCUCUCUCUCUCUCGAUGGAAAUCUACUAGUCUUAUAUGGGUAUCACCUUCAGUAACUUUUUUUUCUCUCUCUCUCGACAAGCACGAACAAAAUGAUUGAAAUACAUUCAAAACAAACCUGAAUUUGUUGGAUGCCUGUCAGAUCCUUGCAGAAAUCACUCAGGAGUUGGUUGCAAGUUGGUUGCACAUAUGUUUGAAAACAUGCGUCCAACUGUCCAGUAAUGCUGUUCACUAUUACUGAUGGGAACUCAAUUAUCUCUUGUGGAUGAGGAUUCUUUUCUUUGUCACACGUUGCCUCAAAAUCAAUAACAAUAAAGCAUUGAAAAUCUUGGAAGCAGUAAUCAUGUGGAUAAUUUGGAGGAAACAUGUUUGACGGGGUAUACUGAAAUUGAUAAUUUAUUGCAAAUGGAUAGAACCGUCCCUCAAAGGCAGUAGGUUGGUGCGUCAGCAUAUUACUAGAAUCGGGAUAGAAGGCUGACCAUGAGCCAAAGUCAUGACUGACAGCUCUUUGUUUAGAUUCUUCAGAAGAUUCAGGAGGCUUGCUGCUUAAUGUGGCCUCUGGUUUUGUAACAGUUCCACCUGGGUGAGCAUAGAUGCCCUCUUGGAGCCCUGGAAAGCCUUCAAGAGAGUUACCAUUAAAAUACAGAUUGCAAGGAUAACCCUUGUUCUGGAAGCAUUUUAUGGAUGCCUCACAGUUUCUUUCCAUGGUAUCUGCAUUUCAAAAAAUAAAAUAAUAUCAUGAAAAUAUUAAAAUCAGAAUUCAAAUAGUGAUGGUUCGGACGAUAUAAGAAAUCAUAUAAGCUCUUCUCUGAGGCAAGUGCUAUCAAUCUAAUUUUACUGGGAUAUGGAGUCAUCAAUCUAUUCCAUAUUUUUGUCAGAAGUCGGCUAUGUUCUAAAUAAAAUGAGAAGUUAUCUCAGCGAGAGAUUGGUAAUUUUGAACAUGAUUUCCCAGGGACCAAAAUAAAGUAUGAGCAGCAUAGAUCCCACAAGCAUGUUUGAUAAGCAGUAUUUGACAUCAGUGGAUAGCACAAGGAUAAAAAUUAGACUUAUUUUACUUCUCCAAUCCUAUUCAAUAUGGUCCAAUAUAAAAUACCAAACAUGGCACACGAAUUCCCACCCCCACCCCAAUGUUUGUCACUGGAGGUGAAUGAAAUAUAAUCACCACUCACUACCACUAGUUUCACAUUCUACAUUUCUACAGAGAGAUUGUUUGCCAUUUAUGGGGACCCUUUUUUGGCUUUGCAGCAAAGUUUGCCAGAGUCUGCACUUAAGUAAUGGGGCUUGGAAGGAAAUCAAGAUGAUGAUGUUUUAACUCCUCUCCAUCCACCUCUAGUUUGUCCUCUCAAUGAAGGUCCUAAAAGGAAAAACCCAGGGCUCUGUCCUAUAAGUGCAGCAAAAUUAAGCCAUAGACCAAUACAGAUAGCAUAUCUUGCUGUCACGGUCUGUUCAUUUUUAGGUAAAAAGAUAAUAAUAUAACAAAAGUACUAAUAUCUUUUGUUUCGGAUCAGAUGUGCUACAGAAACUAUAAAGGCUUCGGGUAAUAUUAUUUGGCUCAAUCCAUCUGUAGAAUUUGCGUUUCAUUUUAUCGAUACAUAUUUACCCUAUUAUCUAUAUAUGUGUGAAUUCAUAGCUUCCCCAUUUUUGCCUACAAUGAGUAUAUUUAUUAAACUAGAUGUUUUUCUUUUCUGCGAUAUCUUAUUGCUGAAUUAUUUUAGUUGCAAUGCAAAGUGUGUAGUAGCGCAGGGUGGCAGCUGACAUAUAGAAACACUAAAAGAAUUAUUUUGGCAACUAGCAUCAAUAUUUUGGUAUUUCAAGUAGAAUCUUCCCUCUUAACUCUAGCAAGAUGAGACGGAUCAGGAAUAUGAUACCAUGGCUAGUGUCCUACAUUUACGUCCCAGCUCAAUUUGCUCCCACCAUCUCUAAGACACAUAACCUCAAUGCCAAUCUCAAAAUUGAUUCUAAACAAUAUUGUCGCAAACUGUAGUUUUCCGUAUGUAUUUUCAAGUCAUAUAACAUUGAAUCCAUGAAAGCACCAAACUAGAGGGGUAAAGUGGGUCUUCCCAGUCUGCCUUCACACUACUAUGCCCCAGUAGGCCUUGUGGUUAAAUGUAGAGAGCCCAAAGACUUCCACAUGGAUUGGUGAUGUGCUGGGCCUGGACUACACGGCACAUCUUACACGUCUACAGCUACUCUUACAACCAUUUGGCUGACAUAGAGUGGAGUGCUUUGCAACGAAGAAUGUGAGCCAUUCUAACAUUCCCCUUUCCUUUUUAAUGAAAUUAUGCUACUAUUACUGGUAUUGUAGUGUUUCUUUUUUCUUUUUCUUUUUAUUUUUAUUUUUAUUUUUUUAUUAUCUUCUAAAAUCAUUUGCGUUGUUUCAUGAUCCAAAAAAAUAAAUAAAAAUAUUCAUUCCAGUCUCAUACCCCUUAAGAAUUUGCAGUGGGCAUAUAUUUUUUGGUAAUUUUGGAUGCAUAAAGGUUUACUGGUCAAAGAAGAGAAUAUUAGUAGCUGUUUUCGGUUUUGUCUCAUUUAAACUUAGAAAAAGAAAAUAAUAGAAGGAGAAGAGAAGAGAGAGAACUUUGCCCUUGCAAGGAUCAAACCAGAUCUAGCGAAGGGAUUGCCUUGAAGCCCAAACGGUGAAUGGUGGUGUCAACACAACAUUCUCACGUUAGGAAGUAUAGUGUCAACACAACGAUCUCAUGAUAGGAAGUAUAGACUCCAAAACAUAGCACGAUUCAAAUUCUAAUUUAAUAACUUAUUAAUGUAUUCGUAAGAACAUUGGUUUCCAGAGUUCGUGUAUUACAUAUUUUCUAUAUUUACAAAAGUCCUUGACAUUAAAACAUUUGAAUUUAAAUUUAAAGGUAAUUUAGUAAUACUAUUUCAAUUCUAAAAGUGAUUUGAGAUGCAGAAUUUCGCCAAACAAGUCUUCAUUCAUCCAAAGAUUAUUUAAACUUUCUUUUUCUAGAUUUUGUAGCCUGCAUCACAAAUCACAAUCAUCUCAUCUCACAAGCAUUCCACUCAAAAUGCCAACUAGCGUAUACAAAAAGGGAAAGCCAGAUCAAUUGUUAAAAUCCCUGGAAGCUUUAAACAGGACGUGCAGUGCACUUCAAAAUAUUUGACAUGCUUCCCAUCACACACCAAAAUAGGUGCAUGGGACAAAGACAUCAAUCCAUAAACCAUUAUCCCUCCCAAAACUCGUAUAUAAUUGCUGAUUACUAAGAGGUUGGGCUGCAUAGUGAUAGGAUACCAGUUGAAGGAACAAGAUCAAAUACUGAAUAAGCAACUCUUGAUUAAAGAAAAGACUGAUUACAGAAAAUAAGAGAACAAUUCUAAGCUUUCGAGAGGCUUAGAUCUCUCCCCCUUGACUCAACAUCAACGUGAAUGCCUAAUCCCCCAACCCCCAUUUCCAUUUAUAAGCAAUAUCUACUCGACUUAUUACAUUUUUGACCCUACAAACUAACUAGCGAACCUUCUAGACUACAAUGACGUGGCAGCACCCAUGUGAACUGGAUUGGCAUCUAUCAUUACCGGCCGCCUCAAAAUCCACCUUGUCCUCAAGGUGGAGAUGGGGUUGAACUUCAAAAUUUGAAAUUCCAUAUAGGUGAACCAUUUUUGGAGUGAACUCGUAGUUGUGCCGUCCACCAACAGUUAAAAUGUUAUUCAUACAAACUCCAUAACCAGUCGUACCCCUUUGCGGGAUUUCCAAAAACUGAACCAAGGUGAUAGGAAAUUCGUAGCUCGUAUUUUCUGUGGUCUGCAGCUCCAAAGUCCAAAUCCCACCAUCAACGCUCUGGACCACUUCCUUGCCCAAGUCCAAAUCCAUCGAGUCCAGUAACUUCCCAUCAUUCUUCUUCUUCUCCAGUUUCAGCACAUUACCAGAGAAAUUCCUCCCCUCGAUGAGCUCCGACAUCUUCUCCUCGGGCGGCUUUUUCUCUGCAGGCUUCGUCCAGUAGUCCCAAUCAGAAAAUUGAUUCCUAUUAAAGUAUCUCUCCGCCCUAAAAAGCCACUUGUCGAGGAUUUCGCCGUUGAAAUCCGGCAUCUCCAAUUUCCGGCCUCGAUUCUCAGAUUGCCAUGUCUCAUUGAGACGGCUCCUGCCUUUCACUUGAGCCCAGAUUUCCUCGAUUUUGAGGGGAAUUUUAGUACUAAGAGGGGGCUUAGGCGAGCUAGCUAUCACUCCUUCCUUUCUGACCUUCACCCUCUCCAACGAAUAAUCUGGUGUAUUUUGGGCUAUAUGUAGUUAUUGGGCCUGAAAUAAUUUGGGCCUCUUUUAAAGAUUUACUACUAUCAUUAACCCAUUGGGCUAGCUCCAUAUUAUGGUCCAGGUCUGGAGGUUUUAGCCUUAAAACUUCAGCCCUAAUGAUUGGGUUCAGCCUAAUAAUAAAGCUGCCUUCCCUCACCGAUUCAGAACUUGCUCGUAAUGGAGCUGCAAGUACUUCGAAUUGCCUUCGGUGAUCCCUGUCUGUCUCCUCUUGCCUCAACGCCAUAAAAUUCUCCAGAAUUGUCCCUUCGUUUGACGGUUGAGAGUGUUUGAGCAACAAUAUCUUUAGUUCUUCCCAACUUAUCAAUGGCUGCCGGAUCUCUUCUCUAAAACAACUGCCGGUGAUAUUAUCUCCCAUGAACCGCGGCAUUUCUGGUGGUCGACUUUCAUUUUCUACUUCCCCAAACUCCUCUCGACGAAUCCUUACUGCUAUGCUUUUUCCUGCCUCGUGGGUUUUAAGUGGAAUCUCCGAAUCGACUGUGGUUUCAGUCGAAUUGGUUGUGAGUCCCUUUUCCUUCCUGUCCUGUUCUAGUCCUUCCCAUUUCUUCGUCAUCACUUCAAACUUCUCCAGCAACCUGGACAUAUCCUUUCGGAUCUCAGACUUCAUUACUCCAAUCUCUUCCUGGAAAUGUGAUUGCAGUUCAUCGAUCCUUGAUUUCAAAUUAAUAACCCGGACUUCUACCUGCUUUUCUUCAUCGGAUGUAACACCCCAGGGCCAGAAUGGUUGCUCUGAUACCAUUUGAUAGGACACCAGUUGAAGGAACAAGAUCAAAUACUAAAGAAGCAACUCUUGAUUAAAGAAAAGACUGAUUACAGAAAAUAAGAGAACAAUUCUAAACUUUCGAGAGGCUUAGAUCUCUCCCCCUUGACUCAACAUCAACGUGCAUGCCUAAUCCCCCAACCCCCAUUUCCAUUUAUAAGCAAUAUCUACUCGACUUAUUACAUUUUUGACCCUACAAACUAACUAGUGAACCUUCUAGACUACAAUGACGUGGCAGCACCCAUGUGAACUAGAUUGGCAUCUAUCAUAUAGCUCAAAACUCCUUGUCCUAGUAUUCUAUAUAUAUGUUAUGACAUAAUAUGAAGUACAGUGCUGCAACAGCUAAAAAAAAUGCUUUCUUCUUGACUCUUGUUAACUAAUAACUUUUUCCUUCUAGCAAAUUGUGUCCCAGUAUUUCAGUUUCCUUUUUAUUGCAAGCCUACACCUCAUGUAAAUAGGUCUUUCUUUUAUAACCAAUACAGGCUUUACUUCCAAGUUCCACCCCUCAGAGGUACAGGUGAAGCCCUCACUAUGACUUACAAUCAUAAUAAUCACAUCUAUGGUUUGAACGGACACAGAAGCUAGGACACAAAAAAGUUAAAACAAACACAAUUUAUACAUUCAUGAUCGCAGUGAAUCAUAGCCCUCCCCCUCAGCAGGAGUUCUGAGUAAAUAUUUUUUGGUUAGUCUGAUCCACAUACACAUUAGCCCCUAUCUCAGGAUUACUAUAACAUACAAACACGGAAAGUCUAAUCUUGCUGCACGCAAAUUAUGAACAAAAAUCAUUUCUUUCUAUUCUUUUCCAGAUAGAAAGAACACGCAAACUAUGAACAAAAAUCAUCCCUUUAUAUUCUUUCCAGAUAGAAUGAAAUGAAAAAACAACCACAAAUUCAAUCGACGGGGCAACUAAAAAGCGUAAAAAAGUAAAAUCAAAAUUAAAAAAAUAAUAAUUUAAUUACUCUAAAUUUAACAAACUCCACGCUGUCAAACGAAUAGUAAAAAUUAGAAAAAUGUUCAAUCAAUACAAUUCGAACCAAUACUUAUACAUACACUCACACUCCCACUCCCACACCCAUAUAUUCACACAGAGAAAGGGGCACUGGACAGAAAUACCUUUAUGCUCUACGGCAACCUUCAUGAAGCAGUAUGCAGAAAUCCGGAAGCAAGUACAUCAGAUCUCCCUCCCUCCCCCCCCCCCCCCCGCAACACCGAAUUUCACAAUUCACAUACAUAAUCAAAACGCCCACUCAACCAAUUCAUCAAUGUAACUACAUUUACACAUAUACAUACAGCAUUUAUGGGGGGAGGAGAGGAACCUGUGUGCUGUUGUGAUUCCGGGGAUGGAGUAAAAAGGGCGCGUUGUUUCACUUGUUUGGGAGUUUCUGCCAUUAAUAUAUACUUUAAUUACCUCUAUUUAUUUUGUUAUUGUAAAUAUUUUUAUUAUUGGGAAAAUUAUUUGCCGAAAUUAAUUAUUUCUUUUUAAUAUUCUAAAUAAGUUGUUCGUAACUCCUCACCUGCAACACCCAAUUUCAUAAUUCACAUACAUAAUCAAGACGCCCACUCAACCAAUUCAUCAAUGUAACUACAUUUACAUAUAUACAUACAGCAUUUAUGGGGGGAGGAGAGGAACCUGUGUGCUGUUGUGAUUCCGGGGAUGGAGUAAAAAGGGCGCGUUGUUUCACUUGUUUGGGAGUUUCUGCCAUUAAUAUAUACUUUAAUUACCUCUAUUUAUUUUGUUAUUGUAAAUAUUUUUAUUAUUUGGAAAAUUAUUUGCCGAAAUUAAUUAUUUCUUUUUAAUAUUCUAAAUAAGUUAUUCGUAACUGAACUGAAAUCUAUCCUGCAGCGUAUGUUAACAUUGGGCCACCUGCAUCGGCGGAUAUUUGGGAUACCAUAUUCCUAUUAUAUGGAUAUUAGGACUGUAUUUGGUAGAUAUUAAAAUUUUAAUUUAACUAUAGGUUUUAUGGAAUCAACAAUUUUUCAACUAUGUAUUUCAUCAAAUUUUAUUAAAAUUUACGAAAAAUCUAAUUUUAAUCUCUACCAGUUUGGGUUAGAUAUUCAUAUCCUAUUGAGUUAAGAAUAUUAAUUAGGUAUUUCUUUUUUGACCUUUCUUUCUAUGAAGUAUUACUUUCAAGUAUCUUCUCAAUUCUUGUGACUUUUCAAAAUAAUCGAAUUAAAUCAAGCUUAAAAGAUAGUUUGAUGCAAUUUGAUAUUAGGUUCGAUAGAACUGAUAUUUUUCUCAUAAGCAUAGUUAAGACGAUCCACUUUAGAGCCUAUUUGAAAGUAAUUUUGAGAAUUGAUUUUCUGACCGUUAAAAGAAAAGUGGGAUUCACCUGUGAGAGAAAAAGUCCAAUAUGACAAUUGAAAUAAUAAAAUAACGAUCAAAAAAUCAAUUUUUUUGAUGAAAAAAUCGCCCCCAAACAGGCUCUAAUAUAUUGCUAAUAAUGUUAUAGUGAUGACUUGAUAUGUAAUUAAAACAUUAUGAUGAUAAUUUAAAUGGAUGCUAUGAAAUUAGUAUUAUGAACCUUUAUUUAAGUUUCAAUUCCAUCAAUUCAAACAAUUAAUAAGGUUGGGGUUGGUUUUCCGUUUUCGAAAAUACGGAAAACGCGUUUGGUCUGUUGUUUUUUGAAAAUGCAUUUUCGAAAACGAGUUAAUAUUUAUAACUGAAAAUACAAAAGGACUUUUUAUCAUUUUGAACAUAUGCAGUUAUAAAUUCUCAAAACAUGAAAUACGUCCAAAACGUUUUGAAACCGAAAAUGAAAAUGGAAAACUAAACCAACCGCACCCUAAUUAAUCAGUUUGAUUCUAUUACAUCUUAAAGGUUGAACUCUUAGGCUUGUAUGAUCGCGAAAGUGGAAAAGGCAAACCAAUUAUGUAAGUUAGAAAAGAAAAACCAACCAAAACCAUAGAAAUGCAUUUUCCACUCAAUUGGCCAAAAAUUUACUUCACGCGUUUGUACAUUAUAAUUCGAACCCCAUUUCCACUUUCGUAUCAAUCAGUUAAAAUAGAAAACAAAUUCCUCGAAUGUGACAUUUUUCAUGGAAUUGAAGCCAACCAAAUCGACCCUUAGUAUAAAGAAAGGUUACCUUCUCAAGGAUCAUUAUCAAUUCAGUAAAUUUCAUUCUCACCUUUAGUAGUAACAAACUGAAGAAAAUUCUAAAGCGUUAUUCAUUUUAUGUGAGAAUUUGAUGUCGGCAAACAAAAUAGCAUCUCUUGAAAUACCUUUCCAAAGAACCAACAGAAACUGAAGUGCUUAAAAAAUUUCUUAACAUGAAAUUUCUCUUCGAAAUUCAUUGGUUGACCACUGAGAGAUUAUGGAGAUUCGAUUGGAUCAGGCUGUACAGCUUUCUGAACUAGUUCGGUCUGCUCUUUGACAUGAACCUGGUAGAAACCGGUAGCUGUGGCAGCAGAUGGAGCACGGCCAACAUACUUGGUGUCCUCCAUAGUACCCCUUCCCAGUGCUUUCAUAGCAGUACGUAGACGAGGCGCAAUGUAACUGUAAGCUUCCAUGUUCAUUGGCUCUUCCUGACACCAAAUAACCUCUGCAUCUGAAAGAAUCAACAAAGAAAUAAAACCAAAAUGAGUUGGCAAGAUGAGUCAAUUUAGUCCCCGUGGCCAGAAAACUGUCUUUGAAUGCAACUUCAUUCAUCUUGUAUCUAUUUUUCUUGUGCCUAAAUACAAUUUAGUUGAGACAAUCUUGAUAGUGUUUCUCAUAUCCAACAAGCAUGGAUUGGCUUACACGUUAGGAGUAAAUAAAAAAAUGGAUUGAAAAACUUCGAACAGGAUAAUACAAUUGUCAAUGUAAAAGACAUACUUGGGUAUCGCUUAAGUUCCCGCUGGACGAGGUAAUAAGGGAAGGGACAAAGCUGCUCCACCCUACAAAUUGCAAUGUCCUAUCAAUUUGUUUUCUUCCUCUCCUCAUCAACCUGCACAGCAAGCAAAAAUGCUUUUUGUGCAUAAAAAUUUGUACAAUGAUGUACCCAAACAGGGGAAAAAGAAAUAACUAAGGAUUAGUGAAGAAAAAAUGGAAGACAGGAACAACAGAAUAGUUUUUCACACCUUUCCUGAGCCAAGAAUCAGACGUCUAAUUCCCUCUUCAAGAUCUGAGUGAUCAUUUUGGCCCUUUAUCAGGCGUUUAUCAGGCGUUUAAAUCUGGUCCCUUGUUUGUCAAAUCCUGGAUGGCCUUGAACGUCGUCAAACUCAGAUAAAUUUGACUUGCAGUCUUUGUGACGAAGUAAGUCGGUGACAUCACAAUGAGAGGCUUGCGGAAUUCCCUGUGUAUCUGUGGCAUAAAGAUGUGAAAGACAAGAAAAUCAAGACAACCUAUAUAAGAGCACAAAUAUAUGCCCAGUUAGUUCUACUUGACGCCGCAAUACAUGGAAAUAAUUUGCAGGAGUGGUGACAUUCACCACCUGCCAAUUGUACUCCUGUAUUUGUGUCCUAAGGGUAGGGUCCAUCUCAGGGAUAUUAUAAGGAUGGUCGUCACUCAUCUGAAAUCAAAAUUUAUAAUGUGAUGGGUUAAAUUCAAUUUCUUGGACAAGCAACCAAUUGUAGUGAACUAAAGGCAUAAACAAAAAACUUGCGAUGUGGCUGAAAAUAUGAUAAUCACGAUAGGUAUAACUUAAAUGUAUAAGAAGUCCAAAAGUUAACAAUUGAAACCCAGAGAAAUCAAAAAACAAAGAUAUACAUGAUUUCUUCAUUUAACCCUCCCCUAGAUGUCAAGAGGUCAUAUCAGAACUGCUUGAUUGUAUGUGGUGAAGCAGAUAUACAAAACACAUGGAACAAAAGUAGAUAUAGAGAAUACCAAUUCCAACAUAAAUUUACUUCAUUAAUGUAAGUUCGAAAAUUUGAUAUUUGAGGUGAAAUGGGGUGGUUAAUUUUUGUGGCACUAAUAUUUCCUUCACUAACCCACGCACCCAUACACCCUUCCCAGGGAUCACAGACACACACACACACACAGAGAAAGCACAUCCAUAUACCCAUAGAACAGAAAAGGUAAAAGAAAAGGAGUAGACACUUAGAAAUAUAAUCCCCCAAAGUAAAAAAAAAAAAAAAAAAAAAAACAUACAGGAUACAGCUAAUUUUGGUAUCAAUAAAACCACAAGUUCCCAUACUUAUCAAGCAUUCUCUCAACAAUAGUCUCCAAUCUAGGAUCCACCACUGCAGAUUGGUCAUUCCCUUCAGAAGCUUUAGUCUUGAAAUUGGCAUACUCAUCUAUUGCUUUAGCUGAGUGACACAAGAUAUAAUAAAUUACUAUUAGCAUGCAAGGAGUCAAGAAAGCAUCUGGUAAGACUGUGUUCUCGCUCUGUAAUAAAUUAUCAAGAAAGCGUACUAAUUUUUAAUAAAUUCCAUAUACUUCUCAUGAAAGGUGUGAGCCAGAGACAUUAGUCUUUCUUGAAGAAAUAAACAUAUUUACGCAGUUCAUCUGAGAAAAACUGAAUGAGGAAUAAAGUCAUACCAAGUAGGGUAUUAACAUAGUCCGAAUCCUCUGAAACAUCAAAUAGAGGGCCAGCUCCAAGGGCAUAGGAUAAGGAGUCGUUAAGUUCGCCUAGAUAAUAAAAAACCUGAUUGCAGAAAAAGAGAGCUCUGUUAAAGACGAACAAAAGAUGCAUACGACGCAGAAAAUAAUUAAUUCCUGGUUUUCAUUAAAAUUCUUGUUAGAUAUAAGUUCGAUAGGAAACAAAACUAUAAUUAUAUUUUCUGCACUCCAAUAUUUCUUCAAUUUAAAUAGACUGUCUUCAGGUUAGUUACAGUCCAGCAUACGAUUCUUGACGACAUAAAGUAGGACAAAAUGCCUAAACACCCGAUCUUUUCAUAGAUAUAUUGCUUCAGGGCAAAGCAGUGAAUCUUGGACCCGAAACUCACCAUUAAGUGCAUGUUUAUUAACUUACCUACAUUCAUUCUCACUCCCUUUUGAAAGAAGAUUUAGCCCCUGUUUGAGUCCCAUUCUUCAUAAAGCAAUAAAGCCCUAAAACUUCAGGAAUAAAAAUGCAUAAUGUCAAACAUUUCUUUAACAUGAAAGGAAGGAUUUUAUGGACUAAAUUUGGAAAAGAAAAAAAUUAUAUUUACUUACUGGUUUUUGUUUCAAUUCAGUUAGUUGAGCUAGGAUAAAGAUGCAUCUCAUGUGGUUAUAAACUUUGUAGAUAUUAUAAUGCAAAAUCCUAGAUGUGCCUGAAAGGAGGGUUUAUUUUAUUUAAAUUAAAUAACUAGAGUUUUAUCUUUUGCUGAAGAAGUAAUAGAUAUAUCUAUCCAUGACACACUCCUGUAGAAGUCUGAUUACUGUCAGUAUGCAAUGAAAUUAUCCACCUUGAACCUGACAGACUUCCUAAUUCUAAAAAAGCCUUGUUGAUUUUAUAUGAAUAGUGGGGGGAAAAAAUCCUCAAUGAGAUACCAUGGGUAAUGCAUACAAAGACUUCACACCAUGAUGCAAUAAAGCCUUAAAACUUCAGGAAUAAAAAAGCAUAAUGUCAAACAUUUUUUUAACGUGAAAGGAAGGAUUUUAUGGACUAAAUUUGGAAAGAAAAAAUUUAUAUUUAAUUAUUGGUCUUUGUUUCGAUUCAGUUAGUUGAGCUAGGGUAAAGAUGCAUCUCACGUGGUUAUAAACUUUGUAGAUAUUAUAAUGCAAAAUCCUAGAUGCACCAAUGGACUAAAUGCAUCAGCAUGUAAAUCAGGUAAAAUAGAAUUAGAAAACAUCGAGGAAAAAAAAAUCUUUUUUGGUUUUAAACCUGCGACUAAAAGGAGGGUUCAUUUUAUUUAAAUUAAAUAAAUAAAUUUUUAUCUUUUGCUGAAGAAGUAAUAGAUAUAUCUAUCCAUGAUACACUCCUGUAGAAGUCUGAUUAUUGUUAGUAUUCAAUAAAAUUAUCCACCUUGAUUCCUUGAACCUGAUAGAUUUCCAUAAUUCUUAAAAAGCCUUGUUGUUUUUAAAUGAGUACCAUUAAUGGUUCCUCAUCCGAGACUCAGUUAAAAUCAAAGUGCAAACAACAUAUCCAAAAAAUAAUAAUUUGAGAAACAAUUUAAUCAAAAUUUCCUCCAUUUCAAAAAUAACGUCCUGUUUGACAUGUCUUGCAGCCAUCUGGACAAUUUUUCAAAGUGAAAUUCAUGAUAAUAUAUGUUAACGUGUGGACAAUACCGAAAUUAAAAGUAAAUUCAAUCAUGAUUAGAAAGGUUUCCAACUUGCCAAGCUUAUAACCAGCAUAAAACCUAUUCCGUAAAACUUUUCAAAUUGACACGAAAAGGUCUGCCAGGACACAAAAGGAAAGCAAUAAGGGCAAAUUACAUAUAUAGAAAGCAGAUAUGGUACCACAACUUACCUGUUGCUUACAGUAAACAUCUCUCCAUUUUGGUUCAUCAUAACAUGAUCCAAGGGGCAGUACUGGUCCCCCGUUUCCUGGUCAUGUAGAACAGCAUGUCUGUGACUGAAAGUGCCUCUCUCCACAUCCAGCCCACUCAACCUCACGUGAUUUCCCUCUACAAGCAAUGUUGCAAAAGCAAGUGCUUCUCCCACUGCCCAAUCAAUACCCUCACCUGUCUCUAUCAUCUUUGCGCGAUCGUCAAAAAUCCUCUUCACUGCUCUAUGAGGUUUAAAAUUUUCAGGUAGGGUUGUAAUAGCCUUUCCAACAUUCUUCAAGAUCUCUGGUUUGACACUGCAAAUUAGAGAAGUUUACAGCCUCGAAACUCAUUGACUUAUAAUAGAAAAUAUAAAACAGAUUGAUGAACAUAAUAUUACCCAGUGUUACAAAUACGUGAAAGUUGCUCAGGAGACUUGAAACCCAUCCAGUAAGCUGAAAGCCAGUCCCUUCUUUGAGGGACAUAAUAUUUGCUGGCCAGAAAUUCUUCAUUAAGAAUCGAUAGGACCUUGCUGUUUAUCUUAUCGACGUCUUCUUUUGAAACCUGGCCAGAUUCUAACAGUUUCUUUUGGUAGAUCUCAAGUGCUGACGGAUGAUUUCAGAUGACCUACAAAAUGCAUCCAGAGGCAAAGUGAAACUUCUAAAGAUCCGUAAAGGAAUAAUACUUUCAAAAGUAUAGCACCAGUGAGAAAGAAAUUUAAUUUCCGCCCAAAGGCAAAGUGAGAUUUCUAAAGACUAGCAAAAAGAAUUUUUACUAUUAAACAGUGAGAAAGAAAGUUAAUUUCCAUCCAGAGGCGAUGUGAGACUUCUAAAGACCAGUAAAAGGAAUGAUACUCUUACAUAUCUAGCAUCAGUAAGAAAGAUAGUUAAUUUUGAGAAGAAAGAGUUCCACUUAAGCUAACAAUGAGGGUCAUUGUCCCUUAAAACAGAUGAUUCCAUUAAGUCAGAAGGAAAAUAAACAUCACCAACCUUGUACAUUUUAGGCUGGGUGAAGGAUGGCUCGUCAAUCUCAUUGUGCCCAAAUCUACGAUAGCAUACAAUAUCUACCACAACAUCAGUAUGGAAUGUCCGACGCCACUCUGCUGCAAGUUCACAGGCGUGAACAACUGCCUCUACAUCAUCACCAUUGACAUGGAAGAUUGGAGCACUCAGAGCUUUGGCAACAUCUGUACAAUACUGUGAGGAUCUUCCUGAUCUUGGGUCAGUAGUGAAUGCCACUUGAUUGUUUACCACAAUGUGAAUGGUCCCACCAGUAGUGUAAUUUGGAAGAGCGCUAAGAUGUAAUGUCUCAUACACGACACCUUGUCCAGGGAAACUACCAUCUCCAUGAAUUAAAAUACCCAUGUUCUUCGUUCUAUCCACAUCAUUGGAGUAGUAUUGUUUGGCUCUAGUUUUCCCAACCACGACAGGGUCCACAGCUUCCAAGUGACUAGGAUUUGCAACCAAAGACAAGUGAAUUCUUUCCCACCCCUUGUAGGCCGGUCAUAAGAUGUUCCCAAAUGAUAUUUAACAUCUCCAGUUCCAAUGUAGAGGCGAAUCUCAUCCACAGGUUUUGUACCGCCACUAAAUUCGCUAAAUAUCUGUCGCAGUGGUUUCCGAACGACGUUGCCCAGAACAUUUAGUCUGCCUCUAUGUGACAUUCCAAUGACAAUGCUCUCUACCCCAAGAUCUGCUGAUCUAUCAAACAUCUCCUUCAUGCCAGGAAUCAAUGUCUCGCAACCUUCUAGCCCAAACCUAUUUGCUGCAGUCCAUUUUGUUGCCAAGAAGUUCUCAAACUGGGUGCUCCAUAUAAGCCUGUCAAGGAUAACCUCACGGCGCUGACGGCUGUAUUGUGUUGGUGUCGGAGUCUCAAUCUUGUCUCUUAGCCAAUUACACUUUUCACGAUCAGCAAUAUGCAUGUAUUCAUAACCAAUUCUUCCACAAUAAGCCUGUUCUAACCUAGUCAGUAUCGCUUUCAAGGUUUGCACAGGACGAUUCUCAGACAAGAACCCAGAUAUUCUCCAAACACCAAUAAAAAAUUCUCUAUCGAGAUCAGCUUCUGUAAACCCAUAAAGGGCUGGGUCUAGAUCAUCAGGAAUAGGCCUCUGUUCCAAAUCUAAUGGGUCCA
rnacentral:lncRNA from 1 species